rnacentral:lncRNA from 1 species
UUCUCGAGGACCUUAGUUUGGAAGGAUGCUAUGGUUUAAAGCGAACCAUCAAGGUUUGUUCGAGAACUUUGAGGGAAAUUGCGGUCAAUGGCUGCUUUCGGUAUGCACUUGAUGAGGGUUUCCCCUUGGAGAUAUCAAGUCCUCUGUUGCUGUUUGAGAGGAUUUUCUGGUAUGAUGAGGCAGCUGGUAACGGAAGUCUCAAUCCUUGAUUGAAGCGGAGUCAAACUUUUUUAUGAGAGUGCGAGGAUUUUGGAAGGCCAUCUGAUUGUUUUGUUCAAAAUCGGUUUGAGUCUUACAGAGGGUAUUGCAACCUGGUUGAGGGACUGCUUCAGAAGCUGCAGAACGCAUCUAAGCUUUUGAUUGGUAGUUGGUGCCUUCAGGUGAGCAGAUUGUUUUUGAUUUCAAAUUUAACUCGUUUGGUUCAUACCUAUGGAUAAUUCAUUGUUCCCUCUCCCUCGAGUUAAGGAAAUUCAUUCCAAACUUCAGCACAAGGAAUCUGGUUUGCAUCGUUUGCUACUCUGCCUGAUGACCACCGGUGCAAAUAUGCAUCGUGCCUUUAGAAUAACUACUGAAAAACCAAAGAAAAGGCAGCUGGUUUAGGGUCAUUCUUUUUCCUGCUCAGUAGUGCAUAACCAUCAUUCCAAAGAUCAUAGUAUGUUAUUAAUGAAAAGUUGUCGUGUCCUGUUUUUUUAAAGACUGAAAAAGCAGUUGUUGACUAGAAUUAGUAUAUGAGUUCUACUAUUUCAAACUCAAAAGCUUUAGCAUCACUCAAUUUGUCAUAUAGGUGGGAACCAAAGGUGUUCUCAAAGCAUACACUUGCUGGGUUUUUUAAACAGUAUUUUGAAACCUAUUAAUAGAUAAUUGUUAAAUAAGAAUAAUAUGCUUUUUGGGUGGCAAGUAAAACCUAUUGAACAUUUUAAUUAACAUAGCUAUUCCUUGUUAUUUAAGAGGAGCUGCAUGCAUAUAUGUUUAAGUAUUGUAUAAAGUUAUAUUUAAUCUAAAAUGAACCAAGGCUAAAUGUUUCAGCUCCAUUCAAUGAUAUAAGUAUUAAUACAAUAAUUUAUAGGUGUUUAAGGAAGAUUGCAAUCGCUUAGCGAAACCACGCAAAAACAUUGGCCGGCAAAAAUUUGAAGAUUUUGAUUUGUCGAUUUGUCUGUGGGUUAAUCAAAAAAUCGUGAAAUCAAUAAAUUUGAUUAAAUGAUGAAUCGGUAACUUCACAAUUAAAUAGGGAGAAGGGUAAUGGGCCCGGCGACUCGUUUGAAAUAAGAAAUGGACAAAAGGCAACAACCGGUGGGACCCAGCCAUCAAUAGACGGAAGAAAGAAAAUUAUUACGAACUAUCUAAUUACAAAUCUGCCCAUGGAUUCUAAAACCCCAUGAAGCGCCUCGACUUUUGCUUCCCUCUUUUUUCUAUACUCCUAGUUAUCUAAAGAUGCGGAAAUUUUAGAUUGAGUUUUUAUUUUUAUCCUGAACCUUUUUUUUCUGAAAAGCCUCUUAAUUUUAAACCCAAUGCUACAUCAGCCCCCAAUUUUUUAUUUAAAAAGAAUUUCCCAACUUUUUGUCCAAUUCCAAAUGGAUCUCCAAUAAUGAGAGGAUGUGCUCAAGAGAGCAAUUUCCAUCUUGACAACUGGGCAAUCUCGACAUUCAGGGACCAGAAUUCACGGCCAAAGAGGACAGGAAAAUUUGGUCAUAGAAAAAAAGUAGAGAAUUCUCGGCCUAGUCAUUGUCCUGGCGCUUUGCGUAUUUUUAUCAUUUACUGAGCACUUGUCUAGAAAUUAUUGGAACGGACGUAUCUCUUUGUCUCUUUCUCAUCCACUUUUCAUUUUCUCUCGCAAAUCCAUGUCAAGUCUCAUCCUAAGUCUCUAUCCACUUUUCCUCUUCCAUGCAUCGUUCUAUGCGUCUAGGUUGCACGGACAUUCUCCAGACUUUUCGUGUCGUGUCCGACACGCUUCAACACGCGGUCAACUGCCUUCGACAUGCUCCAACACGCGAGUCGAAAAUUCCAGCACGUGACUCCGACACGUAUGGAAUUAUUUUUAUAAAUUUCCAAAACUUCUGGGGUCUAAAUAUAAAUAUAUGAAAAAACUAAAAAAAAAUAAAAGCUAAAACAAAUUUCCAAUACUUGUUUGAAGAUGUUACGGUGCCUGAAGUUGCAAAUUUUUCACUUGAUAAACCGGAGAUGGAGAUUUUUUUUUUUUUGAGAAGAAGUGGAUAAUGUGGAUGAAUGACUUUUUGUUAUAUUUGAUGAUGUAAUGUAAUUAUUUUUUUCUUAUUAUUAAAAUUUAAAUUUAAUAGUGGAAUGUGGAUUACUUGUUUUUUCCUCCAAGUUUUAUGGAUUAUUAUAAUGAAAUGUAGUUGAAUUAGUCAAAUUAAAAUAAUGAAUGAUAUUAACAAAUGUAGGAUUAAUGUUUUUAGUAUAGAUUAAUUCUAGGCUCUUUUUAUUAUUAUUAUUAUUAUUUAGUUAUUUAUGCAUUUAUAUAUUAAAAUAAUUGUUUAAUAUAUAACAUGUCGGAACGUGUCGAAAUUCUCUACUUUUGAGAAAUGUCAUGUCACGUGUCGCGUGUCCGUGUCGGUGCAACCUAGCUAUGCGUAUCAUCUUUGAUUCUCUUGUGCACUAAGAUUUCAGCCACGUGAAGGCAACAACUCUAAGCACGUGGUUGACAAAGCUUGACUUAUUGGUGUGAAUUCUAAUUUCCAAUUGGUUCCUUUGCAUAAAUCAAACCACAAGAGAAUGGGCAACAAGAAGGCAUUUUCUAUUUCUUGAGACACAUUCUGGCUUUUUUCUCCAUCGGACUUGAAGGGGGAAAAUCAAGGACAAAGCCAGAGCAAAGCUGAAAUGCAUUGUCCCAUUUUUGGGCAUUCUUAUGCCGUGUUCAUGGCAUUCUCUCCAUGCUUGCGUUCAAUUUUCUCAAUAAGAAGGAAACUAAUGUGAUAAUUUAGCACUUGUAAAGUAUUGUAAAUCAAUACUAUAAGAUCGUGCCAUGAGCACUCUUUUGUUUUUUUGUUUUUUUUUUUAACACUUCAUGAUGUCAAGUAUCGACAGUUUAGUUUGGAUUGUUGGUAUAUAAAUAGCAUUGGUAAUUCUUUUAGCUUGCAUUGUCACGAGUGGAUAUCAAAAUACAGCUUCUUCUAUUAAACAUACACAUUGCUUCACAUCUUGCGCCAAACAAGUUGAAUAACAACGUUAAUAUGCUUGGAUAUAUUUUGAGUGAUUAGUAAAACCUAUUUAACAUACUUAUAAAGAUAGUUACCCCUAGAUCUAUAUAAAAUAAAUUGUUGAAUGAGAAUAAUAUGCCUAUGUGUAUUAUGGGUGGUAAGUAAAACCUAUUUACAUUUUCAAUAACAUAGCUACCCUUCAUUAUUUAAGAGGAACCGCAUGCAUUAUGUUAAAGUAUUUUUUCAAAUAUUGAACUAACACCGCAUGUAUUAGUUCCAUUUAAUAAUAUAAAUAUUUGAAUUAACAUGCAUUACAAAUUAUAAGUGUUGAAGGUAGAUCGCAACCACUAAACUAAACCGAGAAAAAAAUUUGGAAAAAAUUUAUGAAUUUGGCUUUGGGUUGAUUAAGAAAUUGUGAUAUCAAUAAAUUUGAUUAAAUGAUUAAUUGGUAACUUCAUAAUUAAAUAGAUAGGAGAGUAGUGGGCUUGGCCACUCCUUUGCAAUAAGAAAUGGACAAAAACUUGAUACAAAAGAGGAUAGCCUCAAGUUAAGGAAUGACUUGUGGGGCCCAGCCAUUGUGAGUAGGGGUAGAAAUAAAAUUUUUAUAUGCUAUCCAAUUACAAAUAUGCCCCCUGGAUGAUGGGAAUAGCUGAAGUCCUCGACUUUCUCUUUCCUUCUUUUAUACAUCUUAAAAACCCUUAAAUUUUAGGUCCAAUCUUAAUUUUAUUUCGAAUUUUUUUAUUUCACAAAAAUCUCAACUUUAAACCAAAUGGUACAUCAAUCCUCAAUUUCUUCGUCUAAUUUUUUUUUUUCAAAUUUUAUAUACAAUCCCAAAUGUGUUCCAAAUAACAACAAAAAUUCUUGAGGAUGAGGUCAAGAGAGCAAUUUUCAGCUUGACAAGGGGCAAUCUCGGCAUUCAAAGAUUGAAAUUCACGGUCAAAGAAGACAAGAAAAUUCGGGCAUGAAAAAGUAGAGGAUUCUCGACCAAAUGGGUGGGGCAUUUUUCCACAUGCAAUAGUUGCCAAAGGGAGCUCGAAAAAGAAAAGGAUGGUGCUUCUUCCNNNNNNNNNNNNNNNNNNNNNNNNNNNNNNNNNNNNNNNNNNNNNNNNNNNNNNNNNNNNNNNNNNNNNNNNNNNNNNNNNNNNNNNNNNNNNNNNNNNNNNNNNNNNNNNNNNNNNNNNNNNNNNNNNNNNNNNNNNNNNNNNNNNNNNNNNNNNNNNNNNNNNNNNNNNNNNNNNNNNNNNNNNNNNNNNNNNNNNNNNNNNNNNNNNNNNNNNNNNNNNNNNNNNNNNNNNNNNNNNNNNNNNNNNNNNNNNNNNNNNNNNNNNNNNNNNNNNNNNNNNNNNNNNNNNNNNNNNNNNNNNNNNCCAUAAAUGCAUGUUUAGAGGUCCUGAUCAAUGAAUUAUUAAAUUUAUAUCUAGUUCGACAAAUUUGAAUUAUGGAUGCAUGCCCACCUGAUUAGAUUAGAUAAAUUAAAUCAAUAAUAUAUAUAUAUAUAUAUAUAUAAAAUAAAGUAAAUGCAAAAGCGAAAGCAAAAGCAAAAAGGCAUUUUGACUUAUUUAUGAGAUUUGAAGGGGAAAUUAAGACAAAACCAGUAAAAAAAUAAAUUAUUCUCAUUGUGUUACGGUACUGAACGAAUAUAUACACAUUUAUGCAUGUUGAUAAUUUUUUAUAAUCCUUGACACGCUUUGAUAGCAUAAUUUUUUAGAACAAGUUAUCGUUAAUGAUACAACAUUUUAGUACUAAAAUGAAAUUUAUUGGUUUGCCUAUAUAUAUAUAUAUAUAUAUAUAUAUAUAUUAGGCUCAAAGUAAGAGGGGUAAAUUCUUAAGUGUGAUUAAGAGCUUAAGAAUAUUUUAUGAAAAACACAUUUUCUAAUGGAAAAUAAAUUAACAAAAGAAAGAGGAAAGUUUGUCGGUAUAGGUGGUGGACUAAGCGUGCCUUCUUCAUUGUCUUGACGCUUUGUAUGUUUUUGUCUAUUUUGAGCACUUGUGUGGAAAAUAUUGGACUAGACAAAUCUCUCUCUCUCUCUCUCUCUCUCUCUCUCUCUCUCUCUCUCUCUCUCUCUCUCUCUCCACUUUUCAUGUGGGGGAAGCAAUGACAACAAGGGAAAGAUAAAAUUUGGAGCGAGGAAGAAAGAAAUGUGCAAAGGAACUAGGAAGAAUUGUCGUGGAGUGAAAAGUCUACUUGGAAAAGAAAUUAGACAAGAGGAAAAACAAAAUAUAUGCGGAGCAUAUGUGUUCAAAGUGGUCUCCACCUUAAAAGAUAGUAGUGAUGGUUAUAGAAAUAUCUAUCCUCAUACUGAUUCUUAUUCAACAUUGGUUGCUCUUUGGUUAGUCCAAGAAAUAAUAAAAUUAUCAAUGAUUCAUGCAUCUGCACGUGUCUUGUCUAGAUGGAUUGCAAGUUGCUGUCCAUGUCCUAUUAUAUAUUUAGAAAAUCUUCCCUUUAUAUUUGCCAAUUGUACUCAAUUACUAGCAAAAUUAAGGCAAAUGUGUGUAAAAAAUUGUGUGUCGGUCGGUUCUUUGUUGGGUCUAAUUCAAUGCUAUUGGCUGUCCUUUUGUUUGUCCAAGAAACAAUAAAGGGAGAAAUGCAAGGAGUCCUAAAAGUAUUCAGAAUAUCAAGUCACUAGAAUUUUCCUCUUUACUUUCUAUGGGUUUAUAAUCAUCUAAAGUCUUUAUACACACACACACACACACACACACACACACACACACAUACAUAUAUAUAGUAGAUUUUAAGUGAUUGUUGAUAAUGCAACGUCUCAAUAGUGAAAUGAAAUUCAUCAAUUUGAUAUAGUAAUACUUAAUUGAUUCAAGUUAAAUUUGUAAUUGGGACCGAGAGUUUAAAUAUAUUCAACAAAAAUAACCUUUCUAAUGGAAAAUAAAUUAGAAAUAGCAAAGGAAAGUGCAAUGGUGCAGCAAUUAUCCUAUGCUUUGUAUGUAUUCAUCAAUUAUGACCACUUUCUAUGGAUACAAAUAAAGCAGUUGUCUUUUAUUUUUGGUUUUAUUUUUUUCAUUGCUUUUGCAUUGAAACUUGCUCACAUGUUAUUUUCUUCUAGGGAAGGAUCGCCUUGGAUUCUCCUGCCCUUUAAAACUUCCCCGACAUUAAGGCAACGACUAUAAAUGCAUGGUCGGGUUCCCGGUCAACAAAUUACGUAUUUAUAUCCAGCUCGGCAAAUUUGAAUUAUUGCUAUAUGCCAACCGAUUGGGUUAGAUAAAUCAAGUCAAUAAGGAAAUAUAUAUAAUAAAGCAGGAGCAAAAGCAAAAAGGCAUUUUGAUUAAUUUAUGAGAUUUUAAGGAGAAAUUAAGGCACACUAGAGCAAAAAAGAAAUUCUUCUCAUUGUGAUGGGUAUAAAAUAAAUAAAUAAAUAAAUAAAUAUAUAUAUAUAUAUAUAUAUAUAUAUAUAUAGCAUGUUGAUAAUUUUUUGUGAUCCUCGACACGUGUUAUCUCAUUAAACUUAUAAAUAUUGAAAUGAAGUUUAUCAGUUUAACAGGAUAAUAUUUAACAGGCGUAAAGUGAGAGGGAUUAAAUUUAUAAGUGGGAUCAAGAGCUUAAAUAUAUUCAAUAAAAAUACAUUUUCAGUGAAAAAGGAAAGUUCAACGGUGCAUGCAAUGGAGUAAGUUCAACGAAGAGUCGUCCAAAGUCUCUUUCCACUCUCUUUCCGCUCACUUUCCACUCAUCUUCCCAACAAAUCCACCGUAGACUCGUCCAAAGUCUCUUUCCACUCAUCUUCCCAACAAAUCCACCGUUAUAUAUGGGUAUCGAAAUUCUAUCGGAGCUUGGUUAUUAAUUCUCAUCCUUUUUAGAACUUCUUGGCAGACAUCUUUUUGUCUCUCUCUUCUCUCUCGUGAAGUUUGUUUUUCCUCCUCCUCCUCUUCGCAUAGUUCGCCGGAGAAGACAGAGUCGCGACACCUUUCCUCCUCCUUUGUUGCCGCAACUAGUCUUGAGAAACGGUAGGCGUCUCUCUCCUUGGCAAUUCUCGCUCUCUCUCUUUGGCGAUUCUCGCUUUGUUUUUCAUGGCUCCCCUUUGCCUUUUUUUUAAUCAGGGUUUGAUUUGUCGCUCGAUUGAGCGGAGAGGGUUAGUCGUAGAUCGUUUGCGUUUUGCUGUUCGUUCGAUUUCUUCCUGUUGUAGCUCGUCUCGUGUCGUUUUUGGGGGUGCUCUCACGUUCGCCAUCGACGUACGGACCGUUCGUGCUCUCGCUUCCCGUUCUUCUUAACAACAAAUCUGCAAUUUGGGGUUCCCUGCAAUUCUUCUUUCCUCGUGGGUUUCUCCCCCUUUGCGGAAUCGAAGUAGUGGGUAACAGGAAAAAUGAGAUUUUGGGGUCGAUAGUUCGUGUGUUUCACAAGUGUGGUAGAAGCGGUUGCUUGAGAAGAUUACCAGUGUCACAAAGCGGUGGGUUCUCAAAUAGUGCCGUCAAAUCCUCGAACAUUCUCGAACUCGCUCGAAAUGCUCCCCUUACCUUAUCUAUGCAUUUGUACCUGUCUGUCCCCAGCAGAGUUUUGGGUGGGCUUUUUCUCGAAUAUACGUUUUCCAGAAUCCAUUCUUGAAUUUUCAUGCCUUUCUAUUCUCUUGUACGAGGUUCUUUGAAUUGAAAGAUUUAGAAGCAACGUAUUUUUGUUCACAGUUCUCUGGGUUCUAGCAAUUUCAUGAUAAGCUCUCCAUGUUUUGAUUGUUUUAAAUUUGCUUUGAGAUUUAUUAUGUGAUGAAUAAAAGUUGGGGUUUUUUUUUGUUGGUGUUUUGCUUCUUUUUGUAGGGUGGUUGUGUUUCAGAAGCGCACCUGAAGUUCGGAUUCUGGAGUCGAAAGACCAGGAGAUAAAGUAGCAUUUUUUGACUCAAAGCAGGUAUGAUCAUGAAAACUUUCACCCGCAAUCAGACAUGCAAAGUUUUAAUUUUUGGAACUGUGUUGGUGGCUUUUGUGGAAAUGAGCAUGUAAAUGCGUGGAGUGGCCUCUUUUUACAGCCUUUUUUCAAUUUCUGUCUGUGUCGCUCGCUCAAGGAGGUCGGUGGUUUCGAAAUGAUGGAUGCGCUGAAAAUGCAUGACGAAUGUGGGAGGGGAGAAGCAGAUGGUAAUGAGAGGGUAUAGAGCUUGCGGGGUGUUGUGGUUCAUCCGCGUUAUAGAUUACUCUGGUACUGCAUUGAGUGAGGUUUUACUAUCGUAUUAUUGUCCGUGAGUCGGUUACAAUGUGAUUUCUUUUGAUUGAAUAAUGACAACGAGGACUUAUUUGAAGUAUAGAAAAGAGAAUAGUGAGAAUAUUUCUACACAGUUUUUCCUUGUUAAGGCUCCAUGUGCAUUUAGCCUAAUCUCUGCCGAUUGGCUUUAGUUCGAAACACUGCAGGAAUUAUCAAUGGCGAUAGUUAUCUAGCAUAUUAGGCCUCAUUUGAGUUUAUGAUUCCAAUUAGCCAAUGACGGCAUUUUUUUUUUAAAUUUAAAAAACACGAGUUUAUGAUUCCAAUUUCACCUUCCUCUUUCAAGAAUUUUAUAUAAUCAACUAUAAUUGACAUUUUAUAAAUUAAAUGAAAAAAUUGGGAAUAAAUUUUUUUUGGGAAUAGAGAUUUUUAUUUUCGUACCAAAUGCGUUUUGUUUAGGGAACAAAAAUUUUAUGCAAUUACCAAAUGCGUUUUUUGUCUAGAAACUAUUUUGGGGAACAGAAAUAGAAAAAAUUAUUUUUAAAUAGAAAUUGUUCCUGAGAACAAAAACGUUACCAAACGUACCAUAAGUACCUUCAAGUUAAGCAAGGACCGGUAGGACCCAUCCAUCGGGCAAAGGGAUAGAUAGGAAAUAGAUGCUAUCGAAUUUCAUAUUUGCCCUUGGAUGAUUAAAACAAGUGAAACUCCUCGAUUUUCUCGUCCCUUUUUUAUAUGGGCCCGCUCUCCUAAAAACUCUCAAAUUUUAAAUCCAAUUUUAAUUCUACCCCAAAAACUUUUAUCUAAAAAAAAUCUCUAACUUUGGAUUUGGUCGUAUAUCUACUCCCAAUUCUUUUCUCUGAAAAAAUCAAAACUUAAUGUCCAAUCCCAAAUAUGCUGGACAUUUUUUUAUCUGAAAAAAAUCAGUAACCAAUCUCAAAUUUACCUCAUUAAUCCUACACUCAAAAAUUUUGUAACUUGUUUGACGUGGCAUUAAAAAAUCCACGUUAAAAAAUGACAGAAAAUUGGGAAUCAGUCCGCGUAGAUUAGUUCACUAAUCCAAUUUGCUAGCAAAAAAGGGCACACAAAUAUGUGAUUGAUUUAGAUUAUCUAGGGAAAUGAAUUUAAUUUCUGCAAGGGUUGAGAGCAUUUAAUCAAUCUAAUGAAUAUGUUUUUGAUUAGUUUUGUCGCUAAAAUAAUUUAUUCGGAUUAAAAUCUAAUUCACAAGAAUAUGAUGAUCAAAAGUUUACUUUCUUAGAACGUCUAUGCAUAUAAUCAUCAUAUAAGCGUGUACAUAGGAGCUUGUACCCUUCUAGAUUAUCAUUUUGUCCAAACACAGUAAUAAAAUCAUCUUAUAACAUGCAAGGGCAUGACCAUUUCAUAAUAUUAAAGAAAGUAAAUUCAAAUUUAUUGAUUUCGGAAUAUAUAUAUAUAUAUAUAUAUAAUAUUGAAAUUAAGUACUUUAUUCUAAAAAUGAUAAUAAUCCGGAAGAUGAGACUACUUUUGAUACUAUGUGGGUAAGGAUAUAGCUCUAUAAACUUUGUGGAACUUUUUGACCAAAAAAACUUUGUGGAGUUAGAAUUAUUUAAGUUUCUAUGGUUAAAAAAGCUUUAUUUAAGUUCUAAACAUUAUCUAUUUAUACAAAUAUAAAACUGAAAACUUGAGAAUUUCUCGUGCUCUCCCAAAAAAAUUCACUAUAUCCUUAGCUCUCCCAAAAAAAUUCACUAUAUCCUUACCUAAUAUUAUGAUCUAAAUGAAUGAGAUGAUGCAAAACUGUUAUCCAAUGCCAUAAAAAUGCCUACACGCGUCUUUCAAAGUUCGUUAAUGUUCUAGGACGAAGGAAAAGAGGUUCUGAUUGCGGGGCCUGCAUUCAUGCCAAAAGUAUUAUUUUUUCACCAAAAGAAAUAAGAUUUAGGUAGUAGGCCUCAUCUAUUUUCUCUUCUUCCCAGAUCUAAGGCUAACCGUGAGGUUUCAUUUUUAGUGACCCAUUUUAUUAGAUCAGAUAGGCUCCAGCCCUGGUUCCAAAAAUUAGUAAUUAGUUCAGUUCUCGAUUCGUGGAUAGGAUAAGACAUGGAAUCGACCAUUCUAAUUUACGGUAUCAUAAUAGCAAUUCUCUUUUAUUUUUGGUUUUAUUUUUUUCAUCCCUGUGCACCGAAACUUGCUCACAUGUUAUCUUCUUCCCAGGUAGGAUUGCCUUGGAUUCUCCACUGCAUUGAAACUUCCACCACACAAAGGCAACGCUUGAAUUUUAUUGGUGCGUGCCAAUUGUUUGCAAUAGAUAAAUCAAACCAAUAAAAAAAUAUGUAUGAUAAAGAAAAGCAAAAGCAAGAAGGCAUUUGGAUUUAUUUAUGAGAUUUGGAGGAGAAAUUAAGGUUCGACAGAAAAAAGAAGGGAAAAUUAAGGUAGAACGAGAACCAAAAAUACAUUGUUCUUAUUGUGCUCGGGUACAAAAUAAAUAAAUAAAUAAAUAACAUAAUUUUUUUUAGAAUAAGUGAUUGUUGUAAUACGACAUUUCGGUAUUAAAAUGAAGUUUAUCAGUUUGAUGGUAUAAUAUUUAAAAGGCUUAAAGUAAGAAGGGUAAAUUCCAUAUGGGAUUACAACCAAAAAAAUUCCUAAGUGGAAUCAAGAGGCUGAAAUAUAAUUAACAAAAAUACCUUCUCUUAUGGAAAACAAAUGAGCAAAAGAAAAGGACGGUUAGACGCUGCAAGCAAUGGACUAAGCAGGGGACUUUUCAGUGUCCCGACGCUUUGAUGUUUUUAUAUAUUCCGAGCACUCGUUUGGAAAAUAUUGGACAGGACGAAUCUCUCUCUCUCUCUCCCCCAUCUUUCAUCUUCUCCUGCAAAUCCCUGUCACAGCCUCAUCAUAAGUCUCUCUACACUUUUCAUCUUCCGAACAAAUCCACCGCUUCAUAUGUAUUGAAAUUUUAACAGACCACAAAAGAAGAGGCAAGAAGGCAUUUCCUGUUUUCUGAGGGGCAUUCUGGUUUUUUUCUCUAUUUAGGGCUUGAAAGCUGAACUCAAUGGCAGAGUCAGAGACCGAAAUGCAUCGUCGCAUUGAGAGGAGGAAAACUAAUGCGAGUGGAAAUGCCGAGGAUGUUGAUACUGGUGCAUCUGCUAUUAUGACUGUGCUGACGGAAACUAAUUUCGUUGGAUUUGGUUCAUCUCCGACAGAAAUUAACAAUAGUGCAUCAAAUGGAAAGUGCUACGAGGUGUUCUUGAGUUUCAGAGGCCUAGAUACUCGAGAUGGCUUCACCGAUCACCUCUACGAUGGGCUCCUCAGAGCCGGAAUUCACACUUUCAGAGAUGAUGACGAGCUUUGCCAAGGCGAGGACAUCAGACCAGAGCUCAUGGCAGCCAUCACGAAUAGUAAGGUCCUGAUCCCCAUUUUCUCUGUGAAUUAUGGUACAAGCAGUUGGUGUCUGGAUGAACUGGUUCAAAUAAUGGAGCGCAAGAAUAAUAACGGGCAGAUGGUGGUGCCUAUAUUCUACAAAGUGAAACCAGCUGAAGUGCGAUAUCAAACCGGGAGGUUUGGAGAGGCAUUUCAUGAACGUGAGAGUCGUUUGCGUGAGAGGUCUCCUUUUGACCCCACGACUUUGGAGAAAUGGAAGCAAGCACUCCUUGAAGUCAGCAACUUGAAAGGAUAUGAAGCCGAUAGGUAAAAUUUCUCACAAUGGCAAUCUCCACUUUCUUUUAAUAUGUGCGGAUGAUUACUGAUUGUUUUGAUUCUCACCCGCUUCAUUUUCGUUAUAUAUAUAUAUAUAAACAGAAAGAUCAUGUCGGCAGUAAGAUCCUGCAAAGCAUGAGUUCUAUAAGUUAUUCCUUUUUUUUUUUUUUUGCUUUAAUGAUAUUGACAAAUCCACUUGUAGAUUUUAUUGGUGUGAUCCCAUUCACUUGAAUGAUAAGAUUUUUGAUUGAGUUUUUACUCUUAUAUCCAAAGACUUUGUGACAUUAUGCCAUUUUUUUUUCAUGUUUAUAGUGUACGUCACAUUAGUCAUCGUCACAAAUUUUUUAGAAACAUAUUUAUUUGAGAUUAAUAGUACAGCUUAUUGGUGAUUUUUAUUUAGAGCUUGUAACAUGAUAUACUGUGUAUCAUGAUUGUCAAAGGCAUAAUUCUUUAUCUUCUCAAGUUACAUUUAUUAAAUCAUUAAUAUCGUUGACUAGUUGCUAUUAAAAUUAUUUUACAAAAGAAAUGUUUCAUUAGUUAUAUAUGACGAUGGAAAAUAUAAAAAAAAAAAGGAAAAAUGGAUUAUUUUUAUUAUAUAUUUGUUUGAAUAACUUUCAAUGCAUUUCCUAUCUUCAGCAAGUAAUUUCUAUCUCAUACACCUAAAUAUAUUGAAUCGAUGUUCUUAUUUUUGGAAAAAUUUAUUCUUCUACUUAGAUAAAUUAAAAUCAAAGAACAUAGUUACUCAAAGAACAUGAAGGCAAUGAAAACUUAUAAGAACACCAAUCUAUAUUGAUAACGCAAGUAGAAACUUGCAACGUGUAGAAUUGUGCAAACAAGGAGAAAUCCCCCUGAUUGCAUUCAAGUUGUUCACAAUAUCACAAUCUGAACGAUUUUUUGGAUUGGUAUUACAAGAGUUGAAAUUGUCUCGCAUCAAAAGUUAGGACUUGUUUAUUGAUUGAUUGCUGACUCUUAUAUUGGGUUGGCUUAUUGGAUUUUUUAUUGUUCAAAGGCUCUAGAAAGUUUUCAAAGUUACGUCCACGUCAUCUCUAAUAUCUUUAACAAACAACAAGUCCAAAAUUUGGUUCAAAUCCAUAAUGUAUACGACAUUCAAGGUUCAUAAGUGAUGCCUUCAAGUUUCUUCUAAUUUAAUAAAUUAUGUUGGAGUAAUAGUGGAAUGGGGCACGCCACGUGAAACAACCACAAGCAUUUCUCAAACUUUAUUCUUAGCAUAUAAGAUAAUAUAUGGAGGUGUGACAGACAAUUUUUAAUUUUUUUUUCAAUUUAUCCCGGAUUCGUUUAUUACAACGUUCUCAAUAGAUAAACAAUAUAAAAUUAUCGUUGCCACAUAUUUGAACUCAUCACAUUUGACAGGUCUGAAGUAGAGUUGGUGAAAUUGGUUGUCCAAAAAGUGUUGAGUGAACUGAGGAAAAAGUUUGAGUUGAUUAUUUCUGAGAAUUUGGUUGGAAUUGCUAGUCAUGUGAACAACAUUAUGGAACUUCUAGAUGAUAAAUCUCAUGCCCUCCUAUUUGUUGGCAUCCAUGGAAUGGGAGGCAUUGGUAAAACUACUCUUGCUAAAACCAUUUACAACGAGCUAUCCAAUCAAUUUGAGCAUCGUAGCUUCAUUGCUGAUAUAAGGGAAUCAUGGAAGUGUGGAGCUCAUGUUUUACAGAAUCAGUUAAUCUAUGAUAUCUCGAAUCAAAAAAAUGAAGUUCAUAAUAAGGAUGAAGGAAUUAAUUUCAUCACCUCCAGGUUUAAAGAUAAAAAGGUCCUUCUUCUUCUUGAUGAUGUGGAUGAUGUUGAUCAAGUGAAUUGUUUGGCCGGUAAGCAUGAUUGGUUUUCUUUGGGAAGUAUAAUCAUUAUUACCUCCAGAAACAAGAGAAUUCUUGAAGUAGCUGGGGUGGACCACAACUAUGAACUUACGGAAUUGGAUUACGAGCAAUCUUUGAUUUUGUUUAGCAAACAUGCAUUUCGAAAGGACGUUCCUCCAAGUGAUUUUGAGGGCCUCACUCGUGAAGUUGUAUCCACCACCGGAGGACUUCCCUUAUCCCUUGAGGUUUUAGGUUCAUUAUUGUGCGGAAAAGAAUCAAAAGAAUGGAGAGAUGUGAUAAAAAAGUUAGAAAAGAUCCCUCGUAUAGAAGUGCAAGAAAAGUUAAGGAUAAGUUAUGAUGUAUUAGACAAUGGACAAAAACAAAUAUUUUUGGAUAUUGCUUGCUUUCUCAUUGGCACUGACAAGAGAAUCGCAUUCUACAUGUGGGACGCUUGUGAAUUUUUUCCAGGGGAGAAUAUUAAAGUGUUGACAUUUAUGUCAUUAAUAAAAAUUGGAGAUGAUCUUGAGCUCCGAAUGCAUGACCAAUUAAGAGAUCUUGGUAGGGCAAUUGUUCGUGAGGAAAAUGAGCAGCAGCCUUGGCACCGUAGCAGGUUAUGGGACUACGAGGAAGCCUUGAAAGUGCUAAAGAGAAAUAAGGUAACUGUUUCUCUUACUUUUGUUCCCUUAGUCCAUGUUUUCUUGUUAGAGUAGUGUUGGUCGUCAACUUAGUGCUUGCUCUAGUGAACAUAGAACCUUCUAAUAUUAGUAUCCUUGUGUUGUUUCAUUGACAUGAUUAGCAAGUAGGAGGUUGCUUCUCUCUUAGUAAGUAUCGUAGCUUAUCUAAGAUAUUUCUUAGACAAGUGUAUAUUACAAAGUUAUCGAAUGAGGUACUUUCAAAUUUUCUAGAUAUUGAUAGGGGUAUUCUAUACUGACAAAAAUCUUGAAUUUCUAUAUUGAUUUAGUUGUGUCCUUGACACAUGCAAUAAAUAACUUGGCUAUACGACUGUAAACCGUACAUACUCGGGAUAUAUAAAUCAUAUGUUAGAAUUAAUAUAAUAGGACUAACGAUGUCCACAUUUCUCAUGAAAUUUUAGUCACUAUUCCAUAAUAGAGAAUGGAAGGGAUACUUAUUUUCUACAUUAAAGGUCAAGGAGAUGAAUACUCUAAAAUUCUAUUCUGUAUAAUUAAGCAUAAGAUUGUAUUUGCAUUUGUGAAUUAAUCAUGAUUGCGAUUCUACUCUUUUUAAUCCAUCAUUUGGUUUGACUCCAGUUGUUGAUCAAAAGACUCUCACUUACUUACAGUCUCAACGUGCGCCGUAUGUAUAAUCACAACAGCCAAUUCAUAGAUUGACACGUUCGAAGCCAGUGUACCUUUAUUGUGUCUUUCGUACUACAUGAUAAAACAAACUAAACUAAGCAAAAUAAAAAUGAAUAUGCUGUAUAUUUUAUAUACAAAUAUAAUGGUAUAACUAAAUUUUACAACUAAAAAGGUACAGUUUGAUGUAAUUAUGUCAGUAUUCUUCCAUGAUUCCAUUUCGUUCUUCAGCCAUGGCACCAUCGUAAGUUGAAAUCAGAGUGGUUCUGCUAAAAAUGAUAUAAGUUCUUUUCAGUUUAUUCCAACAUUGAAUGAAAUAUUCGAAGUUAUUUUCAUAUAAAUUAUCUAAAAUACAAGCAGCUGAAAGAACCACAAUAUGCACCACUUCCAAUUGAAAAACAAAUGCCAAAUAUCCUUCUUUAUUUUCAAAAAGUACUGCUACCCCUUGUUGGUCCCAAGGGACGAAGGAGGCUGGGUCUGCCACUCAACUCUCAGCCUCUUCCUUUUACUAUUAUGCCGAACCUUUAGAAGGACCUUCUAGCGUAGGCUCCAUCGAAAUGCCACUUGAGAUCUAUCAAGGAAAUGAAGAAUUUCCUCCACAUCCUUCUUCUCAAGUGUUGCGCCUAAAGUACAUUGUAGAAAGAUUGCUUGUACAAGACGUCCUAUAACAUGGCAAAGCGACGUGAGAGGUCACCCAGUACUCUCCUUUGUCGAAGUUUUUAUGAAAAAAAUUCAUGCCAAGUGCGAAGCAAGGACAAAGCACUAGCACGACUUACUAAAUAAACAAAAUAAAAAAUGAAAGACAUUUAAAGCAUAAUAGAAACACACUCAUAACUCACUCGUUGGAUAUUAAUGAGUACACAGCCAAAUAAAAGAAGUACCGACUUUCUGGAUUGGGAUAAAGAUUUCACAAGUUGAAUAAAAUCCUAAAACGACCCAGCAUUUUGAAUGUGGAAUGAAAAUGACAUUACCUUUCAAACUCAUCCUUUUGCUCAUGGGACAAAAAUGACACCCGCCAUCAAUUCUGCCUAUUUUCACUUGAAUCACCUCAAGUCAUUCUACACAGCUCAUUGUGCGGAUAUGCACAGUGAACCAUGUUAAUCAUGACUAAAACUUUUUUCCUUUACAAAAAGCCAGGAAUUUUGUAACAAAUUGUUAACAUGAUUACAAAGUAAAUCACAACAUCCUUUUUGGUGUGGGCUGACAUGGGUCACUAUGUACGUUAGCACAAUGAACAAUGGUGGGUAUCCGUCUGUGGCGAUUUAAUAAUUAUACUAGAUAAAAUUUGUAUGUGGUGUCAACUUUCUUCUACGGUUAAACAGUUGGUCUUUUUUAUUGCAUUUGAAAGGUUAUGUUAUCUUUGUCGUAGAUGCUGAAGGUGAGGCUUGAUGGAUGUUUAAAAGGUUUUGCGACUUUUAUCCGAGCACAAAAGGUUGGUCUUAUUUUUGGGAUUUGGCCAAACCCUAGCUAUCAAUUUUUUAAGUUGAAAAAAGUUACACACCACACAAAGAAAUCUUGAAGAUAAAUUGGGCAUUCUUAUAUCUUGAGAGGAAGUUUAUGGAGGAAAAAGUACUGCUAGCAUAACAGUCUUUGGGCUAUUGUAACAAUAAUAACAUGUAAACCACAUAUUCUUAAAGGAGUGGAUCUCACAAUAAUUUUUAAUUAUUUGUUAUUUAUUUUUUUGUGAUUUACAACUGGUUGUUAAUCUUAUAGUAGAUUAAUAAAAGUCACUUAAGCAUUUCUUUGGGAGAAAUGACUAAUUUGAGUAGAUUACUUAUGUUGAAGAUUUCAUCCUUUUUCCUUUUUAUAGUUACUCUUCUCAUGGAUUCCUUUAGAGUGUUGAGAUCUAAAUCCUUCCCAAAUUGUUAUGUUGUUCACCUAUGAGUAUCCAUGAAAUCUUGUACAACAUUGUGAAGUACAAUAGCAAAAUUUCUGGUUCUGAGAAAAUGACGUGGAAGUCCAUCAACUUUGUGUAUUACUUCUUGACUUCUUAUGCAUAAGUGAAAUUUUUUUUGGUGAAAGCUUGCUACAAUUUGGUUCUCAAGAAUAACUAUUCUAUUUCCAUUCUAUUUUAAUGAAACAAUCAUACCUUCAUUUGAUUAAAAAAUAGAUUAGAAAUUACUAUACUGUCAAAAUGAGGAGUAGUUGUUCCUGGGGGGCCAAGGAAUAGCUAUUCCAUGUAGGCUUGUAGCCAAGAAUAGCUUCAAUUUUAACAUUUCUAAAAAUGCUUUGCACUUUUCACAAUUAAUUUUUCUAAUAUGUUUAUUAUAUAUAUAUAUUAUACUUGAGUAACUUGGUUAUUUAUGAUUAUGAUUAUAUCAAAUUGUAAUCUGUAGUUAAACUAAAAUUUAUGAUAAAAUCAUAAGUUAUAGAGAUUAUUAAUAUAGCUAAUAAGUUAUUUAUGAUUUUGAAUAUAUCAAAUUGUAAUCCAUAGCUAUACUAAAAUUUACGAUAAAAUAAUAAGUUGAGGAUAUUAAAAUAACUAACAUUAUUGUCUUAGUUAUUUAUGAUUAUAAAAUAAUUAAUUAAGAAUAUUUCAAUUUACUAUUGUAAAUAAUAAGUACAUAAUAUAUUAAUAUAACUAUUGUCUCAAUAUUCAGUUUCUUGUAAUUAGUUAUCACUCCAAUGGAAAAUAAGACUUUCUUUUUUUAUUAAGCAGCAUAGUCAAGUAAUUUACACAAAAUUAAUGUGAAAUUUACAUAGAGAAAAAAUAUAUUUCUAUUUAAAUAGAUCAAAUCAACUUUUGAUUUUGCACAUUGCAAUUUGAUUAAAUUCCUUGCGUUGCACGCUUGUCUUAACUACUAUGGUAAUGAAGUUACAGUACGGAAAAGAAGAAGAUUACAAGUGGUAAAGUUUUUACUUUGAAUGAACUGUGACAUCAUAAUUCUUUUUGAGAUCCGAAUGUGUAUGGCCAAAUUUCAAAAUGGAAGUUGACAUCCUUCACUUUGUUAGCCUUUAUAAAUAUUGUUUAGGGUUAAUACCCCGAAAAACCCCAAACUGGUAUAUCUGUGACAAAUUUAUCAUAAACUAAUUUUUUUACCACAAAAAACCCUAAAUUGGUAUAGCUUUGACAAAUUUACCCAAAACCGGUACAUUUGUGACAAAUUUACCCUUUGUUAGUGUUCGUUAAAUUUUAUCGUCAAAUUAUUAAAGUUAAAUGACACGUGACAGUUAAUUGGUAUAUCAAUUUGAGAUUUUAUGCUCUAUUUGUCACAAUUUACAUUUUUUGUGAUUUUUUGCUGUAUUAAUCCAAUUUAGUAGAUGGUAUAUUUGUCAUCAAUUUACCAGUUUAAGAUUUUUUACGGUCGAAUAAAUUAGUUUUGGGUAAAUUUAUCAUAAAUAUACCAGUUAGGAUUUUUUAUGGUCAAUCGGGGUAAAUUUGUUACAAGUGUACAGUUUGAGGUUUUUCGUGAUAAAAAAAUAGUUUUUGGUAAAUUUGCUACAAGUGUACUAAUUUGGGGUUUUUCAGGGUAUUAACUCUAUUGUUUAUUGGCGUAAAAAGAAAAAUCAUAUCUUCACAUUGCUGGUCUCUUGAAAACAUUAAUGCACAAUUGCAAUAUGAAAAAAUAAUGUUAGAUUACUUUAGUUGGAUUUAGUAUUAAUAAACGUUGAUUCUUGCUUGUAGGGAACAGACAAGAUUGAGGCCAUUGAUCUAAGUAGAGGCAACUCAGAAGGCCCCGACAAAAUAGUCGAGCGAGAUGGCGACAAUUACACAGCAAAACAAUUCAAAAAAUUGAAGAGUCUAAGAUUCCUUUUCAUGAAAGGGGCACAUCUUAGUGGAGAUUUUGAGGACUCAAUGGAGGAGUUAAAAUGGCUUCAAUGGCAAGAAUGUCCUGGGAAUUUUGAAGUAAACAAUUUUCACAUGCAAGAAUUAGCUGUACUCGAAUUGAAAAAUGGUAAGAUAAAUGAGAAAUGGGAAGGAUGGAAUUUUUUCAUGGUAAGAACUAAAAUCUUUUUUUCCUCCCUUUUUAUGCUUUCUUUUGAAUCAUAAUCACUCUAGACUCACCUCUUGACAAUCAUUAUUAUUUUUUUUUUCCCAGAAGGCAGAGAAGCUCAGAUAUCUAAACCUUUCAUGUUGUCAAUCCUUGGAAAAUACGGACUUCCUCUCAUCUUUUAAGAAGUUAGAGGUUCUCAUCCUCAAUAGGUGUGAGACACUGAAGCGAAUCGACACUUCCAUUGAAGACAUGGAGGGCCUCCUUCGCUUGGAGUUGUGCGCGUGUUUUUGCCUCAAGGAGCUUCCAACAAAAAUAGGUAAAUUAAAAUCACUGCAGCAACUCAAUCUAUCCAAUACUACAUCCCUUUUUGCAUUACCAAAUAGCAUAGGGUCCUUGGAGAAUCUAGAGAUUCUAGAUAUUUCUCGAAGUGGUAUAGAAGAAUUACCCAAUAGUAUUGGGAGUCUGAGAAAGCUCCGAGAGUUAUAUGCUUGUGGUUGCAGAGAUCUGAAAGGGAUAAUGGUAGAAAGCAUGUGUAAUCUUUCUUCCCUACAAUGCCUUGAUUUUCUUGAUUGCGACAAGCUCCAAUCCCUACCAAACCUUCCUUCUGGCUUAACAUAUUUGGGCAUCACCUGUCAGAGUCGCAAAUUGCCUUCGCUUUCCCACCUAGCCCAUCUUAAGGAACUACAACUUCUGCGUUGUGGAUUUCUUGAGUGCUUCCAAGAUCUUCCAUUAACACAAUUAAAGAGCUCAAAAUGCUCCCAACCGAUGGACAUUGAAGAAUUACAAUCACCACAAUCCCUAAACAUGCCCUCCAAGUUGAAAUUCUUGGAGGUCCAGAGCUGUGGAUCUAUCAAAACGCUGGACGUUUCACAACUUGUCCAUCUAAGGACAUUAAUUGCCAUAGGUUGCAACAAUCUACUUGAAGUUCGAGUCCUUGACAAAUUGAUAUAUUUGGAAAGCUUGACUAUCCAAUUUUGUGAUUCAAUCAAAUGGUUAGACCUUCCAAUAUUCGAGGGUCCGAAGAAAUUGGAUGUUUACUGGUGCGACAAAUUAGCCGAAAUUCAAGACCUUGAUAGUUUGGAGUACAUGGAACACCAAGAUAUAAAAAAUUGCGCUUCAAUUGAAAGGCUAGACCUCCCAAAAUCCGGGAGGCUGAAGAAAUUAGAAGUUAUAUGUUGUGAAAACUUAGCCAAAAUUGAAGGCCUUGAUAGGUCGGAGUAUUUGGAAAGUUUAGAUAUUUGCGGGUGCACUUUAAUUGAAAGGCUAGACCUUCCAAAAUCCAGGAAGCUGAAGAUAUUAUAUGCUAGUUCGUGCAAGAAAUUAGUUGAAAUUCAAGGCCUUGAUAGGUUGGAGUAUUUGGAAAGUUUAGAUAUCGCGGGGUGCAAUUUAAUUGAAAGGCUAGACCUUCCAAAAUUCGGGAUGCUGAAGAAAUUAGAUGCUGAAGGCUGCAAAAACUUAGUCGAAAUUCAAGGGCUCGAUAGUUUGGAGUAUUUGGAAAGUCUAAAUAUCUCUAUGUGCACUUCAAUUAGAAGGCUAGACCUUCCAAAAUCCGGAAGUAUGAAGAGAUUAGUUGUUCGUUGGUGCAAGAAAUUAGCUGAAAUUCAAGGCCUUGAUAGGUUGGAGCAUUUGGAAAGUCUAGAUAUCGAUUGGUGCAAUUCAAUUGAAAGGCUGGACCUUCCAAAAUUUGGGAGGUUGAGGAAAUUAGAUGUUAGAGGCUGCGAAAACUUAGCCGAAAUUCAAGAGCUUGAUAGUUUGGAGUAUUUGGAAAGUCUAGAUAUCUCUGAAUGCACUUCAAUUGGAAAGCUAGACCUUCAAAAAUCCAAAAGUAUAAAGAGAUUAGUUGUUGGUUGGUGCAAGAAAUUAGCUGAAAUUCAAGGGCUUGAUAGGUUGGAGUAUUUGGAAAGUCUAGAUAUCGAUGGGUGCACUUCAAUUGAAAGGCUACUCCUUCCAAAAUCCAAGAGUCUUAAAAUAUUAAAAGUUAGAGACUGCGAAAACUUGGUCGAAAUUCAAGGUCUUGAUAGGUUGGAGUAUUUGGAAAGUCAAGAUAUCAAUGGGUGCAAUUCAAUUGAAAGGCUGGACCUUCCAAAAUUCGGGAGGCUGAAAUUGGGAAAUGAUGGAAUAUGAAGGGGGACUCUAUGGACGACUCGGACGAGUAAUAUACCGGAAUGAUCUACAUUUUCUAAUGAAGGUACAUAAAGCAGGUAAUCAACCUAUGCUCUUUUGAGAUCUGCUGCCCAAUUUUCAUUUGUAUUUCUUACUUGCGAUAUCUUUCAAGAUUUAUGAUCAUCAUUAUUAUUUCUUGGUUGAUAGUGUUACCAUUGUUAUCUUGCUUGAAUUCAAGGAAUUUAGGGGAGAUGUUCAUGGAAGUUAAUGUGUGCUUUGGCAAAAUCGUUCUGCUUGUCAUGCCAGUAGCGAAAAUAGAUGAUAGGGCUUUCCAAGCGCAUCAUUUGACAAUAGUUUUCAAGUAAGAUCCUUCAUCCUAUACAGAAAAAUAGAGAUUCUCCACAUUUGAUUGAUUUUGAAAUGCUAGAAGUACUAAAAAACUGAAGUGUACAGGUUUUUGAUAGCAUGCCAAAGGUCAUUGUAUAGGUUGAAGAAAAUGCUAAAUGAAGGACCCUAUAUGGCGAUCCUUCUAAUGUGAGGUUUUAGUUUGCUCUACACUCAUCAUGUAGUUCAUGACUGCAUAUUUCUAAGGUACACUUAGGAGCGAAUUUCAAUGCAAAAGGAAUAUGUUGAUAGGGGAUCCCUUACUCUGCAUAUGCUACUGACUUGUCCAAUCAUUGAGUUUCAUGCAUUUUGUCUCACAGAACUGUCUACAUUUGUAGAUUUAGAUAAUCGUCUCAAUCUAGAAAUGCCAAAUGCAAGCACAAGCUCUUCGCCUAGUGGUGUGGCUAUGAAUGAACUAGCAAAUAGGGCAGAAGCAAAUGCAUCAUGAAUUAUUUAGAUGCAUCGAGAAAAUUGCAAUUUGAAUUUUUCUGACUAUGGAUCCAUGUUCAUUUGGUUUGAGUCUAGGGUAUACCUACUCCAAGACUUCCAAAGAAUGCAUCUUGAUGUUUGUAGAGUUGGUAAAGCCAUCUGUCGUAUACCUGAACUAUUGAGCCAGGCAAGACAUUAACUAGAAUGUCUUUUGACAUAAUCGGCUGUACUGCGAAAUAAUUACUUAUAUUGUGCAUAAGCUCUUGUUAGUUCAUUUACUUGCUGAAAAUAAAAACAUAGGAAUCAUUUCCAUUAGUUUCUUGAGGAAAAUUUUCAGUAUCCUAUAUUCCAUAUGAAAAUUGUCUUGCAUUAAUUCUAAUGCAUGAAUGGCACAUAAUGACAAGGAAAAAGCAUCAUACUAUGUCCCACAAAACAACCAUCUUGAGUUAAAUACACUAUAUUAAUUUGAUCAAAGCUUCUAUGGUUGAUGAUGUUAGAAGCCCUAUUAGUUGGAUCCAAAGAGUUCAGAAAGAACAUCAAGUUUGACUAAGUGGGUUCCCAUAAACUUGGAGCAUUAUUAGUAGUUUGUUGAUGUUAGUUGCUGGAUUGAUUUUAUCUUACUCACUGGCAAGAUUCAAUUAUGAUUCCAUUGAUUGAUGUAAAUGCUGAAAUAUCCAAGAGAGCUUUCACAAGGCGCUCUAAACAAAUGAAAUCAUAGAAGGAUCAAGAGUUCGAUGUUUCUUGAGCUUCUUCAAACCUGACAAUGCAUCCUUGGAAUGGUAAAAGGUUGUUUGCAUGUUGUCAUCCCACAUUUCUUCUAGUUUUUAAAGCUCUAUCCUUAACAACCCCUCUUUCAGCUCGCAUCCUUGCGAUUUGUUUUGGCACUGCUGCUGCAUUUUCAGCUACUCAUGGAGCUUUAGCUAUGGAGGCCAGCAACAGACCACUGUGCGUCAUGCGUCCAUUUCAAUUCUAGUUUUAAAAACCUCUAGCUUCUUAGGUUCAACUCCUAGCGUUCUUUUGCAACCUAAUGGCUGGUUGACUCAAUUGUUUUGACUCGGUUUUUUGAUGUUUGCUCAAUUUCUGACUGGCAAGUGAAGAUGACGGAGGGGAAUCAGAGAAGUGUUGGCUGGUGAUGGUCAUAGAGGACUCGAAGUUGGUGCUUCAUCACUUCAAUUGGCAGAGGCUGUGGACAAUCUCUCCUUGUAAUUGCUUUGAAGUGAGAAAGUUGGUUAGCUUAAUAUUCCUUGGAUACUACAGAGUAUGGUCAGCUUAGUAUUCCCUUAUGUACUCUAGCUGCUAUUUUGGUAGGCCUCCACUGGGUUGUCCUAUCCAUUUGUGUGCCAGAGAUUUCUAAUACCAUUGUGUAAUGGAACUUGGUCAUGUGUUAAAGGUCAGAAUAAUAUGCUGUCAUGCCUAGUAUUGUUUUCAUGUGCUCUAGCAGUUGAAUCAUUCUUUAAUCCAACAUGACCAAAUUACUUGCUAAACUAAUGAUAUGCAACUUUAAUGAUUCCUGGUUUCUGGGUUAGUUCUUCAUUUCAUGUCAUCUUGCUACAAUCUCCAUAAGUACUUAAGAGCACUUCAACUAGAUAAGGUUGACUCAAGUUAAGGUGGUUUGCUGGUCAUCAAUCGUGGGUUUUGUUGGUCCAACGCUAUUUUAGUUAUCCACACGGUAACGAGGGUUAAAUUGAUGGGUUGACUGUUGUUCUCAUUGGAUUGGAAGGUUCUCACUUUUUGAAAGAUCAGUUGUAAUUUCUUGCACUUUUUUGCCUUUGAUUUAUUCUGCUAGGUCAGGUCAGCAAGAUGUCUUACACGCAUUAUUAUGCCAGAGAAUUACUGCAACUUGGAGGAUUUGGGGACAGUGAAUAUCUUCAAAGGACACUCGCGAGGAAUUUCAACAGAUGGAACUUAGGUAUUGGCAAAAGAAUUAGAAAUGUGAAAUGCAAUAUAAUCUUAUUAGUGCAUAAAAGUUGUUACCUGAAUGCGUUGUUUAUUGCUCUUUCAUUGUAGAUUCUUCUUAUUUAUACUAUAUCUAGUUUUCCAUGCAUAGGUGUUCUUACACAUGCCACCUCUUUGGGAGAAAUAUGAAUUAUGGGACAAAACAUUGCUGUUACCUGUCGUUUGAAGAAAUUGCUUUUUUUCCCCUUUCAAGUCUAGUCCUCAUGCUAAUAUGUGUACCAAAUGUGAAAUUCUUGAUCUCUUUGUAUGCAUAACAGGAGAUUGAAUAUGAUUACCUGGGUUCAAAAUUGGUUUAUGUGAACAUCACAAUCUUUCACCUAAGAGCUUGUGCUUUUGUGUUACCGAACUCAUUAGUUUUUUGAGUUUGUUCGAAGAUCUUUCUAUCCAUUUUCCUAUUACCAUGAAAUUGUACAAAUAUUUUUCAUUUCCUUGCCUGAGUAGGCUGAACUUUGAGACUAUCGAGAAGGAGAAAAAGAAAAGGAAAUCCUUGGGGGGUGGGGUGUUGUCUUCUGGAUUGUGUAGUCAACAAUGGUUUUUCACUUACCCUCUUUCUAAUAAUCUUUGUUUCGUAUUUGAUCUCAGGUUGAUCACUUGACCAUGUAAUUGGAACUUAAGUUGGGUGAUCUUGUCGGGUUGGGCUUUCUGUCUAGCUUAUGAUAAUUGUGUAUGUAAAAACAGUAUCUCAUUUUUCCAAAUUAGUAGGAAAUAAUAUUGCCACAAUUCCCUCCUACAUAUGUUUUAGCAUCCACCAGAUACAUUCUCAUUUUGUUGUCCUUCUAUAAGGUAUAUACCUUUAAUCUGAAACUGCGAUUUUCUUCGGAGAUCUACAUAUGCAGAGUACAACUGCUUUUUCUUGCUAAUCAUUUCUCUAUAUGACUGCAGGUGCCUGUUACUUUGCUUCAUCUAAUCGAACUCGUGAAAUUGGUUUUACAGAUUAUAUCUCCUUCCAAAUAGUCUUUUUUAGAUGUUACAAACGGUAUUGCAAUGGUGAGGUGAUUUAUAAAUGAUUCAAGCAAUGUGAAGUAGGGAAGGCCUUUGGAAUCAAUCUUGUUGUACAUCCCUUCUGGUUACUAUUAUGUGCAUUUGGCUCUAUAAAAGGUGAAAGCUAGGUAUAUCAUACAAUAAAUCCAUUAUUUGCAAAUGUGGCUAAUAUAUUAUGUCGGAAACAUGAACUUCAAAUUGUUGUGUUGCUAAAUAAGAUUAAUGAUGCUUGUGAAAACUUGGGAGAUGCCUAGAUGAUGAUUUCGCAGACCAGUGACCUUCCAUUUAUGCAUAUUUCAAGAACCUCUUGUGCAAUUAAUCGAGAGUUGGACCAAUUGAAGGUAACUUGUGGAUCCAAAGCUUGCAUAAUGAUUCCUUACUUGUGAGAAGUAUAGGAUGCUCCUGAGUUCUAUUUGUCCUUAUACAUGUCAAUUCCUUAUUUAAGACAUUGAUGGCAGAAAAUAAAAACUAGGACAUUGUGCUUUUCUUUUGAGUCUGGUUUCAUAGUAGAAAUAGUGGUGGUCAACAACUGGUGGUAUCGACCUUGUCGAACCAGUAGCCAUGUGUACCUAUCAAUUGGUAACUCAGCAAGUCUGUCAACUAGUCUGGACCACUUCUAGGCCUUCCAAAAACUUUAAGGAAGAGUGUUGAAGUUGGGUUGGGGUUUGGAACUCUAACCUCUUGUAACUAAAAGGCAUGCCAACCAUCUACUCCAGUGUCUUCUUGCUUGAUUUUGUGGUGGAUUACUUAUUUAUUGACCGUAUUGGCUUAGUCUAUGAAAAAUUUGGACGAUUCUAUCGAGAACAGGAAUCCUGUCUUUGUGCUCAAGUAGCUUUGUCGAGUGACUAGGGCUUCUUUUGUUUAGGACAGGUGUAUUCUAUUUGAUAAUGUUACAUGCAAUCGGCUCAACUAGUUGAACUGUCAGAACAUGGUUCCACCAGUUUGACUGGUUGAACCACUAGUUUGGUUUUAAAAACGUUUGUUCCUUUGUUCUUCCUAUUAUGUAUCUGCUCUCCUCAUCAGCACAAGGUGUGGCAGCUUAGUUUCUCCUCAUACGUGCAUAUACAUCCUAUUUCAUCCCUGCAAUUUUUAAGGAUGUUAUACUUUCUGCCUUAACAUAAUUGCAAAAGUUGUGUUGACAGUUGGAGCCUUGUACUUGAAUGUAUGUUAAGGAAUGUGCAUUUGACGACCCUAAUGGGCUAGUAGUGCCACUUUUGCUUGGUUGUCUCAUUCUCACUUCUAGAACACUAACCCAGUGAAAUUACACAUCUUGGACUCUAUCUUACACCUAGAGAUGGAGAAUGAGAAGAUUUGCUACAGUCCCCAUACUAUAGUUCCUCCUUGUUCGUGGUAAAAAAUUUUACACCGCCAUACAAUUGAGCUAAGGAUCAACUUAUUGUGAUGCCAUCAAUUGUAUACUCUGAAAACUAUUUUCCUUGAGCUUUUUACCAUGUCCAUUUGUAGUUUGGAUUUUUGGAAACUUAUUGUUGCUCAUAGUCUUUCCUUUUUGUAUCAUUGUUUGAAACUUGCUAGUAUCAGUAACAAAUUCAUUUCAUUGACUAGGUGGUGGAGUUGAAUUAUCCUGUCCAUACUCCUUACUAAAUUCCCACUUUUACAACCUACUCUUAAGUUUAAAUAUGACUAGCAUAGGUACGUUGUGUCUCUCUAAUGGACAAUUUCAUGUUUGUUUUGACGGUUGAAAACGUGCAAAUUUACACCCCAAAUAAUAUUUUUUCAUUUGAAGAAGUAAAAUACUAAAGUAGUGCAAAAAAGAUGAAUCUUUAGUGGCCAGACAAAUACCAAAAGAAUAAUUAUCUUCUUAUGGUAGGUUCAUUAUAGUCUGAGUUACUGAUUAAGAACUAGUACAUACAUGUUCAUGAUGAUAGAUACUAUUUGGGUCUUCAGUAUAGAAAGAUACUAUAGAGCAUGUCACGCCCUGAUCCUCAGGCACGCACACAUCUCGUACUUUUGGUCGAUUUAAAAAUGCGAUAUCCCAGAACAAUAUAUCGCCGACCCUUUCAUUUAUAUAUGCACAUGCGAAAGCAAUUAUAAUUUCCCAGACAAUAAAGCAAUGGGAUAGAAAAGUAGGCCAUAUAUUUUUCUUUCUGAAAAUUCGCAACUACAUCUUUUUACAUGCAAACAAGGUCUAACAAGACAGGAUAGGAUUUCGAUCCUCAUCCGGGUCGUACUCGAUGUCAUACUCGGGGUCCUCCUCCAAGUACUCCUCUUCGGGUUCCUCAACAAGGAUCUCCUCGUUAAAUUCACGCUCCUUAGGCUUCUCAUCUAGGUCCUGAAAUGAUUAUUCAAUAACCACUGAGACAACGUCUCAGCAAGUUCUACCUCCCAAGACCCGAUUAGUAAAUUAAUACACCUUAGGGCUGCUUACGCACAAUAUGAGUUAGAGGACUUACCUUAGCCUCAGAUUCCACCUGCAUAUUAGUACAGAUCGAAUAAGCACACAAGCAAUCACAUCACAAAUCGAAGCAUCGAUCUAAUCGACUUAGUCGAUUUCACAUCAGGAAGACCACUCACGAUCAUCUCUCUUCAAUCAUUCAAUUCACAACAUCAAACCAAGGCAAUGAAUCACAUCAAGUCACAGUCAGAUCGAAUCAUCGAUCAAUCGACCUAGUCGAUUACCAGUCAGUCGAAUCAUUUCUAGGUCAUUCAUCCCACACCAAGCAAUUCCUUGGAUUUAGUGGCUUUACGGUCCCACCCGACCCUCUCAAGAUCUAGUGGCUUUGCGGUCCCACCCGACCCUCUCGAGAUUUAGUGGCUUUACGGUCCCACCCGACCUUUCCAAGAUUUAGUGGCUUUACGGUCCCACCCGACCUUUCCAAGAUUUAGUGACUUUAUGGUCCCACCCGACCUUUUUACAAUGCCAUACUAUGUCACCAAGCCACGUGUAUUCUCUAAGGCUACCUUUUCGUCAAGAUGACAUAUCUAAUCACCGACCCACGUGUCUUUCCCGAGCAACAUUCCAAUUCACUGGGCCACGUGCAUCCUCAAGGUGAUUUACCAACUCACUUUCGAUACUAACAACCGAUACCCGACCAAUUCUCAAUCACAAGGCCAAAAUUGCAUUAUUUAAUAACAUACUUAAAAAUGCACCGAUAAAUCAAUUCGACAUGAGUUAAAGCUCAAUUAAAUAAACAGACCACUCCACGACAAUCAGCACGAAAUUCCGGUCACCGGCCAUCCCGGUUGAAUUUCCGGAAAAUAAAUAAUUAAAUAAUUAAUUUCGAAAAUUAAAUAAAUAAAUACAAUAAAUUCAAUUUAGCACAAUAUAAAGCUCAAUUAAAUAAACGAAUUGCGCCAUGAUCAUCAGCAUAAAAUCCCGGUCACUGGCCAUCACAGUUGAAUUUUCGGAAAAUAAAUAAUUAAAUAAUUAAUUUCGAAAAUUAAUAUUUAAUUCCUAAAAAUACCACUUAGGCUCGAAUCGCUUAAUUAACACCCGAUAAAGGACGGGAAAAAUCCCAAGAAGCAUCCAAUAAAUACUACAUGCAAUUCUCUAUCUAAUUACACUAAUUACAUCACUAAUAUACAAAGCAAUUAACUAACAAUCACUAAUCAAUUCUAAUCUAACAACCUAAUUACACUUAAUUAACACUAAUCAACCUUUAAGUAUAAUUAGCGCACUAAUAAGGCAUUAGUGAGUAAAACUCACUUGGUACAAGCAGGGAUCGGGACACCGCGAUGGCGACGCGAUGGCGGCCGAAAUCCGAAUUUUCGGUGGUGUCGACGGACACUCGGGCCGGACCUACAAGCUUUGCAAGCCCACAGAAAUUCUGGACUUAGAUCGAACUUGGGUCAAUUGACUUCGCGGGCUGAGUUGCUGAAACUUCUUGGGCUUCAAAACUGGGCCUGCGUUACUAGAUCAUUGGGUUUAAUUGUAACUGAACUGGGCUGAGCUUCAUUGAUUUGUGGGCCGAACAAGAAAGCUUCAUGGGCUAAACAAACAAACUGGACUGGCUGUCUUCAUGCAUGGGCUGUUCCCGGCCCGGGCUUCUUGCUGACUCACGGGCUGAAGGAACGCCUUACGUGAGAGACACGGACGAACGGUGCUACUUCGUUUGUGGACUGGCGCGGCAGAGACGGGGAAGCAGCUGCUGGCGAUGAAGACACAUGCGGCUUCGUGGAUUGAAGAAGCUGGAGACAUGCGGAGAUGCGCACCAAGAGGAGUCAACCUCAGUGGUCGUACGGGUUGAUUUGCUGACCGACUUCACGAGUGGACAACACGGGCAGCUCAACCGAAAACUGAAGACGCAUGGAGAUUUCUUCGGUGGAUAGUGUUGUUGGCGUCUGAUCCGUGUGUGGGCUGUUGCGGUCAACUAAGGGGUUCUUGUGAGUGCAGCUGUUGACUGAAGGAGCUGGCUUCGGAGGAGGACUUGGAGCAUUGAAGAUGGAAGCAGCUUCGUCUGAGUUGCGACAGGCGCACGGCAGCUAGCACACGGUCUUCCUCUUCGCUGAACGCUGACUGGAGAUGCGGAGGAACGGACGAGUGGCGCGGCUGCUUCGUGGGAUGUGGGCUGAGCGAAUCAGCGAGGGUUUCGCUCGGUGGCUUUGCCGGGUCAACCAAGUGGUGUUGCUUGAAGACUUCUACUGAAGAUUGACUGUGGGAAACCAAGCAUAGUGGAGCAGGUUGGUGCGCAGAGGAGAACUCGGUGGGUCGGCUGAAUGGGGAAUUCGGUGGUGUUGAGUGCGUGUAAAAGAAACAGCAAGGUGGCAGAGGGAUAGAGGAGAGAGGACGGAGCUGUUUCGGUCUGGUUCGACGGAAAGGAAAGAGAAUAGAGGAAAGUAGAAAUAGAAGAGAUAAGAAUGAGAGAGGUGCCGUGGAGAUGAAGUCGGCGAGACUUGCUGGAGAAGCCGAAUGAGAGGGAGUCAAGUCAAAACAAAAUAUCUCAUUCAUGAUUAACAAACCAUAAAAGUCUUUAGCCCAACCAAUGGAGAAUUUGCUCCAAUUUCACUCCAAAUUAAAUCAUUUUGUUGUAGAUAAUUAUGCCCAUUUUCAGCCAACCUUUCCAAUGGGUCACUCAAGGGGCCAAUUUCUCCACAAUUCCACACCAAAUGAAGUCAAUUUGAGGACCGAACUGCGGUAGUUCAUCAUCCCUACGAAUUUGCACCAUCUCCUCACCAUUUACUUAAAUUUGGUGACCCAAAAUUCCUCUAAUAAUGCCCAUUUCAUAUAUUCGGGACGGGGCCGAAAUUCGGGAUGUCACAGAGCAUUCAUGGUUCACAUGUAUACGAUAGCCUCUUCAAGUACAUAAGUAUUGCUCCUGCCUAUGUUUUAGUACGAUGCAAGCAUUAUACUUAUUAAUUUUACCUAGCAAAGGUAUCAAAACGUCACAUUAGUUAUGGCCAUAUUAUAGGAACAUCGGAGUGAAAUCAAGUGGAAUUAUUUAUUCUUGGCUACAGCAGGUAGAGGUGUGGCUUGUGUUUUGGCCACAAGAAAGCUGGCCCUGGUCUACAUACUUGGACGAGGUGAAGAUGAAAUCUCAGAUUUAGAACGAACGUCUAUUGGGGUGGACCUCUAAUGCUGAGGACAGUCACUCCUAGCAAUUGCUCCAAAUUGAGAAAGCUCUCUUUUUUCUAUUCAGUGUGUGAAGUGCUUGAAUGUCUUCAAUGAGAACAUGAUGUUGAACUGAGGAGUUGGCAUUUUACAGAAAAAACCUAGUGUGAAUGAAGGUGAUCCGAGUGCAAAUCUAGAUUCUAUUCUAGUUUAUGUGGUGGUGAUUGUACUUGAUAUUACAAUUAUAUUAUGGUUGUUUAUGUGCACUAAUAUUUGUUUCGUUGGUAUCUAACUUAGUUUGGUCAUAAGGAAAGUAAAACGUGAAGUACCUCAGGAUACUACCAUCAUCCUUAAAAAGAAAUGGAUGGUUAAGGUGGAGCAAUUUUGAGGCAGUUUUCUUAGAAAUAACUUUGAACUUAACAUUGUGGAAGAACUUUCCUGCUGAUAAUUUUUAAUGCUUGAGUUGACUUUCGAGAGUCGCCAUCAGCUGAACAACAUGAUGCCUCAUACUUGGUAGUCUGAAUUAUCUUGUUUAUGCUUCAGAUUUCUACUCAACUGGUAAGUAUCGUCCUUUUUUUCCGUAAAAAGUCUCUAAAAAUCUAUUUAGUUUAGAUGUUGGAUGUUGUGAGGCAAAUUUGUUGCAAAAUUUUAAACACCGUCACAUGAUUCACACGUCAUUUUUAUUCUCGACUGCUCAAGGUCUACUUAAUUUUAGAAAACGCCUUUAGUUUCCAUUUUCAUAGAAACUUUUUUCAAUGUUUUGUUGACAAAAUAUUUGUUCAGUGAAAAUAAUGUCAUUAGGGAUAAAAAUUGUGAGAAUAUGCUCGGGUUACAUCACUUUCAAAAAAUAGUCAUCUUCAGUUUGUAAUUUUGAUUCUGAGAAUAGUUUUCCUUUUAUUUGUCGACUGCUUUCGGAGUGUUACCAAACUCAUUUUCUGCUAUGUUUUAAUUCUCAAAUUGAAAUCCGAACGGUCUUUUGAGAAUCUUUAUCAGUCGAAUGCCUCCUUAGAUUAUCAAUCUCUUUCUGUCUGCAGAAAAAAUGGACUUCAUCAAGUUGCUCAACAGGCUUUGAACAUUGAAGAUUUACUUCAUGUCAUUCGGCCAUCAUUAUCACUAAUGCAUAAGCAAUGGGCUGAUGCCAUUAACAUAUUUCAUGAGGAAGUUUGAUUUGCUGUCAAAGUUUGUUAGCGACCAUGGCAAGUAGUACUAUUAAUACAAAGCGGUAGAUGGCGUUUCACUUUUCUUCAUUUAACUGUUUUCGUUUGCUUAUCUAGGUCUUGACUCUCCCUCAGGAGGAAUUUUUCAGUCUAUCAGUUUCGUGUUGUUUCUCUGGGUGAAGUGGUAUGGCUAAUUUUUUAAGCUAUGGUGCUGCUAUAGGACUUUGGCUUUUUGGUUGGUUUUUAUAAUCAUAGUCUGCUAGUUGGUUUAGUGAUAGGGUAUGAAGUGUGUAUCAAAAGUUGUUUGUGGUGCUGGAAAAGAACUCCUGCUGGUUGUCCUCAAUCAUUGCAGGUGUGCAUUAUUAUCUUUGCAUUUGGCCUUUUUCCCAAAUAAUUAAAUUUCACGCAUCUCAAUGAGCAAUCUUGGAGGUGAUCAGAUAGAGACAGGAAUUUGUUAAAGGAAGUUAUGCUUAUGCACAUCUUGAGACACACCAUAAUUUUCAGAACAUCCUGAUGUUGAUUCUUCAUACGAACAUAUCGUAUGCAAUGAUCUGAAUUAAAAUCUAAUUUGAGUCUGAUUCAACAUGUUGGCAAUAUCUCCUAUAAGCGUAUAAUGGAAAUUGUGGGUCAUUAAUCAUUGGUUUGAACUUGAACUUGAUCUAAGUUUGAGCUUUGAGUGUACUGUACAUGGAGAUUUGGAUAUAUGAUGUUUAUACAUUCACAUUAUAGUUAGCAGGUGUAGAGAUAUGUUCUCAAUUUAAAAGGAAAUAGUUUAUCGCCCACUUUGAUCUUAGCAUAUAUCUCCUCACAAUUGCAAGUCAAUUUUUGUACUGAAAGAAACAUGGGAAUUGAGUUAAUCCCACUUGUUGUGCUGUAAAGGAAUGCCCUGCCAUGCCCAAAGUUCUUGCCUAAUAAAACCUCUGAUAACCCAAGAUAACAUAGCGCAAUCAUAGGAAACUGUCCAAAUUCUUGUUGAAGAACAAUGAAGGAGGAGUGCCGCGCAGACUCUGCCUCUUUUUGCUAAGGAAACACCUGUUGACCAGUAUUUUGUCUCAUUUCUAAAGUAAGGAUUUGUUCCCAGGUUGCUUCCCAAGCAAAAAGAGAAACUCUAAUUGGAAUUCUCACUUUUCAAAUCGAUUUCUGAGGAAAAUCUGUUUUGCCACGAAUCUCCCUAUCGAGCAGCUUGUAAUAAGAUUUUACAGAAAAGAUUCCAUCUCUUCUGUUAAGCAACAAAAAUCUUUGAAUUAUGCAACACAUAAAAGAAGGCAGGNNNNNNNNNNNNNNNNNNNNNNNNNNNNNNNNNNNNNNNNNNNNNNNNNNNNNNNNNNNNNNNNNNNNNNNNNNNNNNNNNNNNNNNNNNNNNNNNNNNNNNNNNNNNNNNNNNNNNNNNNNNNNNNNNNNNNNNNNNNNNNNNNNNNNNNNNNNNNNNNNNNNNNNNNNNNNNNNNNNNNNNNNNNNNNNNNNNNNNNNNNNNNNNNNNNNNNNNNNNNNNNNNNNNNNNNNNNNNNNNNNNNNNNNNNNNNNNNNNNNNNNNNNNNNNNNNNNNNNNNNNNNNNNNNNNNNNNNNNNNNNNNNNNNNNNNNNNNNNNNNNNNNNNNNNNNNNNNNNNNNNNNNNNNNNNNNNNNNNNNNNNNNNNNNNNNNNNNNNNNNNNNNNNNNNNNNNNNNNNNNNNNNNNNNNNNNNNNNNNNNNNNNNNNNNNNNNNNNNNNNNNNNNNNNNNNNNNNNNNNNNNNNNNNNNNNNNNNNNNNNNNNNNNNNNNNNNNNNNCAAAUUGUAGGAUCUGGAAUCUUCGGUUGCUUCUGCGUUGUACCUUUUACCGGUUUUGAGCAUCAUGUUCUGUUUCUCUAUACUCUUCUAAUGCUUCAUUUUUGUUUGUUUUUCUUUUGUUUUGUUCUAAUAUAUACUGAUGUACUGGAACUUUUUCUUUCAACAAAAUCCUUUAUUAUCUGGAGAAAAUAUAUUGCCAAUUUAUUCCCUUGCCAGAUCUUUCUCCAUUUACGUAGGCAUUUUUGUGUGUUGUGAACAUGUGCUUGGGUGUGCACAUGCAUGCGAUCAUGUGCUUGCACAGGUGUGCGCACAUGUACAUGCACUCUGUAGGGCUGUUGUUAAUUAAAUCAGAUUCUGUGCUUCUCGCGGGUACAGUGACUCUCAUGUACAUGCUACAUAUUCUUCUUGAUUACUACUAGAGUGAGAAAUGAUGUUUCCAGUUACAUUCUUUAAGGUUAUAGACUCUUGUUUCCUUUUUUUGGAUAAGUCUAUUAAAGAGCACCAAGAGGAUGCCUCCUAUUUACAAAUUUCCACCUAUAAGUUCAUAUUUACCUUAAAAAUUUUAGGAAAAAAAAAAAAGACUUGGUGUCUAAAGAACUGCCACCACAAUGUGAAAAAGAUAAGGUAGAAAGCCAAAUAUCUUUAUAGCACUUACAGAACUUUCCUCAUUUUUAAAAGCUUGCCUAUUUCUUUCUUACCAAGGCUUAUGAACUCUCUCUAACUCCAUGGUACUGCCGAUCAAUGCUUUCGGGCUCCUUUCUCCUUUUGUCUAGUCAAAAUGUGCAUUCAUGACGGUGUAGAAUUUUGUGGAAAAAUUACCAAGCGAUAAAAAGAUUAAGCUAUGAAAUAAAGAUGUGGUUUACUAUUUAAAAGUUAUAGUACUCCGCCUCUCUCGUAAGCUGGGACUUCACCUUACAUUGAAGUGUAAACAUUUGAUACUUGGGGAGUGUAAAGAAGUUAUCCUGUCAAUAUUGUGCUUAUAGCCCACAAUUGUCACAUAAAUGGCCUCUCUCUCUCUCUCUCUCUCUCUCUCUCUUAAAUCAACUUUGGGGCAGGACUUGAUAAUUUCACAUGAACAUUCCAAACUUCUAAUCUGUUUGCAUGAAUUGGAUGGUAGACUAGGCUCCAAUUCUUUAUUGAAUUUUCCAGUAUAACUUUUAUUUGGCAGAGACCCUAGAGUAUGUUGUUUAGUUCAAACACAGUUUGCAGAAGAUGAACAUGGCUCGUAAUGGCCAUUUACUGUGUAAAAUAUUUUCUUUUGUAAACUUUUAACUUCAAUGGUUCCAGCAAGUAACGUAUGUGGUCAAUGCUAUUUUUAUCCCUCAUCAGUGUCAGUUUUCUUAAGAGAUAAUAGUUGAUUUACGGGGUUAAUUAAUUGAUUUAUUGUUAUUUACUUAGCAGCCUGCUGUAGAAACUAUUGGCUUUAGAAUGGGUGAGCUCAGGGGUCUUUCAAGAUGGCGUUCUUGUUAUCUAGGUAUUGGUUCGGAUGAGACACUGGCGGAUAAUGCAGUGGAAAAGAUUGGAAUGUUGCUUGUACAGGUUGAGUGAUUCAUAAGGGUGCUCUCAUCUGUUGCGUAGCCGGUACGCUAAUUACAAUCUUUCUUGUGAUUUCUCUACCUUUCUUGAUAUCUUCUGUUUGCAACUAUUGUAAUAUCUUGCCUCUCAUCAUGUAUGGUAUCAUGUCUUUAGUGACACUGAAUUACUAAAAUUUAAACAUGAAGUUGAACUAUUUGUGGAUAAGAUAUGAUAUGGAUUUCUUGGAAUGACAUAUUGAUCUAAGUUAAAUAGCCUUUAAUUAUUUGAAAAAUGAUCUUGUUAUCAAUAUUGUAAAGGAUUCAUCAUUAGACGGUGGGCUUUACACGUGACUUGAACCUGUUCAACAAAGGUCCAUUUAGUACCUGUUAAGGUCGUUACGGAAUACUGACAAUAGCACAUUGUUGUCUUGUUGAUAUCGUCAUGCUUUUGAAGCAGCAAAAAAGAGAAAUUGCACGACUUUUCUGCAUCUUUGCUUCCCAUGCCUCACACAACUUGGGGUUUUUACCUUCUCAAUUCUCGCAUGCUACCCUGAAGAAAUGCAAUUUUACUUGUUUCAAAAUGAAAAGAUCAUAGUGUGACCACUAAUAUCUAGAGCAAGGUCAAAAUAUUGGUAGGAUCCUAUGGAGUUCUCGAGCCUGUGGCCGGCAUGCUUGUAGAAUUUGCCUUAGGGAUCGAAAGCAUAUUGUAUUGGUUAAUAAUGUGCAUGUUGCUGAAGCUUUUGCUUUUGUCUCUCUUUCAGUUUGCAAAUUUCUUCAGCUGGCUUCUGAAAUGUAUAAAGCAAUCGAUGUCAGAGCCAAGUGAUCAACUUUUAACAUACAGUAGGUUUGUCUAACUUUUGUCAAUCAGGGUCCUUCCUUAUGGUGAAUUCCUAUAUACUCUUUUGAGUUCAAUGGUGAACUUGUUGUAGUGUUCUUGAAGUUUCUAUAUGAUCAAGAUGCUGCUAUGCAUCUUCUAGAUCUUUCUGAGGCUGAUGAAGAAACUACCAUUGAUCCCUGAGUGAUUUUCUCUAACUUGUUCUAGUUCCUAAUUACAUGUCCUUUACAACAUGGCACCUGGAACCCCAGAAUCUUUAGUUCUUAGUUGCUCAUACCUGAUGGAGGCACCAAGUGGAAUCUUUGGCAUCACCAUGUAUAAAAAGCUUCCAGUAGAAAUUCCUUGUGUGUAUAUAUAUAUUGAAAGCUAAACUUUUUCCUGUCAUUUUAGCUCAGAUAUACUUUUACUUGGUCAUUGUUGAUAGAAUGGCUAGCCAUUGAAUAGUAAAUUUUUUCUCUUGUGAAUUAUCUCUUGAGUUUUGCUCCUCCUUGGUUUUCUUAAUGAAUUUCAUUCAGCUAAUAAGAAAAGGUUAACCUGGCCCUAGUCAUAGAAUCAUAUGUAUCGUCCGGAGACAUGAAGUGAGACUGGAUUCAUAAUUAGACGUAAGAUGACCUUAUAAUUCCAAGGGUGGUGGGUCAUCUCUUCAUCCUUUGUACCUGAAAUUUGGUGUGGCGGUGGCUUGGAUACUACAAGGUGUGGUCAGCUUAGUAUCGCCUUAAUGUACACUAGCGGCUAAUUUUGUUGGCCUUUGCUAGGUUGUGCAAUCCAUUAAUGCAGCAGAGAAUUAGAAUAUCAGUUUAUAAUGGAAAUUGGUCAUGUUUUAAAUAUCAGAAUGACAUGCUGUCAAGCCUAGUAUUAUUUUCAUGUGCUUUAGCAGCUGACUCAUGCUUUGAGGCAAUGUGACCAAAUUAGUUAGCAAAAUUGUGAAUGUGAAAUUGUAAAUGACUCCUGGUUUGGGGGCUAGUUCCUCAUUUCAGGUCAUCUUGCUAUCAUCUUCACCUAUAUUCAUUUUUGAAUUAACGGACACCCACCAAAGUGUGAAAGCUAGGAUCAUUCCCGCAAUAACACCUACAGGUUCUCCCAAUUCUGUUCGAUGACUAGAACAGGAAAUACUUGAGUGCACUUCCACUAGAUGAGGUUGACUCGAGCUAGGGUGGUUUGCUGGGCUUCAACUGUGGUUAUUGUUGGUCCAGCACUACUUUAAGUAACCACAUGGUAACAAGGGUUGAAAUUGACUGGUUGAUUGUCGUUUCUCAUUGGAUUGGAAGGUCAUAUUCCAAAAUAUCAAAUGCAAUUCCUUGCGCUUUUCUGCCCUGAUAUAUCUUGUCAGGUCAGUGAGAUGUCUUACCCUCAUUAUUAUCUUAGACAAACAAUGCAGAGAAUUGGAGAAUACUGCAGUGUGGAGGAUUUUGGGGACACGGAAUAUUUGCAAAGGAUACUUGUGAAAGAAUUUCAAUAGAUGGAACGCAGUUAUUAGCAAAAGAAUUAAAAAGCUGAAAUGUAAUGGAAUCUUGUUCGUGGAUAGGAGUUCUUGCUUGAAUGUAUUGCAUAUUGCUCUUUCAUUGUAAAUUCUUCUCAUUAAUCCUAUAUCUACUUUUUCCAUUUAUAAUUGUUCUUACACAUGCUACCUCAGUGGGAAAAAUAUGAACUAUGGGAUAAAUCAUUGCCGUCAUCGGUUGUUUGAAAAGAUUGCUUUUCCCCCCUUCGAGUCUGGUCCUUGUUGCUGAUAUGUGCACCAAAUGUGAAAUUGUGGGUCAACAAAAGUUUGAAUAUGAUACCUGGGCUCAAAAUUUGUUUAUGUAAACAUUGCAAUCCUUUAAUUAAAAGUUUGUACUUUUGGUUUUACUCGACUCAUCAAUUAUUUGAGCUCAAAUAUUCAUUUUCCAUUUGGCAAAUUCAGGACUUAUGUUAAUAGGUUUGGGGAUAAUUCUAUCCAAAUGCUUAUUAGCAUAAAGUUGUCCUAUAUUUUUCAUUUCCUUGUCUGAGUGGCCAGAACCUUGAGACUAUAAUGAGAGAAGGAGAGAAAGAAAAGGAAACCUCUGGGGGUUAGGGGUUGUCAUCUGGAGGUUGUCCUCAACAAUGGUUUUUUACUUACCCUCCGUCUAAUAGUCUGGUUUUUCAUAUUUGAUCUCAGGUUUGAUUACUUGACAGUGUAUAUGGAAGCUUUAGUUGGGUGAUCUUAUGGGAUUGGGCUAUGUGUUUAGGUUAUGAUCCUUGUGUAUGGAAAUACUGUAUCUCAUGUUUCCUGAUUAGAAACUAAUUAGAUAAUCACAUUUUCAAGGAAGCUACCCAGAUGCCUUUCUCUUCUAUUUUGAAAAAGAUACUUUGUGAGAAUUUAUUGCUACAAUUCCCUCUUACAUCAGUUUCAGCAUCCACGAGAUAUAUUCGCAAUUCACGGUCCUUUUAUAGGGUAUAUACCUCUAACCUGAAACUACAAAUAUUAUCUAGAAAUCCACAUGUGCAGAGUCCCAACUGCUUUUUCAUGCUAAUCAUUACUCUGUAUGUUAUUGCAAGAUGACUUGAAUUUGCUUCAGAUUAUAUUUCCUUCCAAAUACCUGAGGAGUCUUUUUUAGAUGUAACAAAAUGUAUAGCGGUAGUGAGUGGACUUAAGAAUGAUUCAAGCAAUGUGAAGAAGGGUAGAUCUUUGGAAGGACCUUGUUGUGCAUCUCUCUUGGUCACUGUUGUGUGGAUUAGGCUCUAUUUGAGGUAAAAGCUUUGUAUAUCAUAUUUUGUAGCCCAAAUUUGCAAAUGUGGCUAAUAUAUUCUGUUGGAAGAAGGAACAUCAAAUUAUUAUGUUGCUAAAUAAGAUGAAUGAUACUCAUGAAAACUUGGGAGACGUCAGGAUGACGAUCCUGCAGGCUAGUGACCUUCCAUUUGAGCAUAUUGCAAGAACCACAUAUGCAAAUAACCGGGAUUUGUACCAAUUGAAGGUAACUCUUAGAUCCGGAGCUUGCAUAUUGUUUUCUUACUCGUGAUAUCUAGAGUUCUAUUCCGAUCAUGUCAAUUCACUAUUUAAGACAUUGAUGGCAAAAAGAAAAAAAGUAGCAUAUUGUGCUUUUCUGUCGACUCCUGUUCGUGUCGGAGUUUUAAGAAGUGGCUCUGGUUGGACUGGGAACCAGACCUGUCCGGUCUGGUUUCCCAACAGAAAUAGUAUUGAUCAAGAACCGGUGGUAUUAACCCUCUUCAACCGGUAACCAGGUGUACCUAUCAACUCAUACCUAGCAAACCCGUCAAAUAGUUAGGACCAGAUCUGGGCCAUAAAAAAACUUAAAGGAGUAGUGUUGGAAUUGGGUUGGGGUUUGGCACUCCAACCUCUUGUAACUAACAAGCGUGCCAACCAUUUGCUCCAGUGUCUUGCUACAAUUCGUGGUGAAUAAUAUAUUUAUUGACCAUAUUGGCCUAAUCUAAAAUUGAACAGGAUGCUAUUAAGAUGACAUCAAGCGUGCAUAAUCUAUUAAGAUGCUAUGGUGUCUGCUGAUUCACUGGGCUUCUUUUGUUCUGAAAGUGUGUAAUCUAAUAUAUGCAAAGCAUUCUAUUAGAUGACAUCACAUGCAAUCGGUUCACUCGGUCGAACUGGAAGAGCACGGUUCUACCAGUUUGACUGAUUGAACCACUGGUCUGGUUUUAAAACAUUUGUUCUUUUAUUGUUCCUAUUUAUUAUUUAUCUGCUCUUCUCAUCAGCAUGAUUAGCAGCGGAUUAGUUUUUCCUCCUAUGUGCAGAAUGCAUACAAAUGUCAUUACGUGCUUGCAAUUUCAAAGGGUGUUUUACUUUCUGCCUUACCGUAACUGCAAAAAGUUCCAACAUACCUUGACAGCUGGAGCCUCGUAUGUAGGUUAAGAAAUGUGCCUUUGAUGGCCCUAAUGGGUUAGCAGUGUCCUUUUUGCUUCUAUGUUGUUAGGUUAUUUUUGCUUGGUUGUAUUAUUCUCUCUUUUGAAACACUAAUCCAGUGAAACUACACAUCUAGGACCAUAUCUUACGCCUAGAGAUGGAGAAUGAGAAGCUUCGCAGCAUUCCCCGUACUGUAAUUCCUUCCUUGUCAGUUGGUGGUAAGAACAUUUUGACACUGUCAUGCCAUCGAGCUGAGGAUCAAUUCAUUGCUAUGCCAUCAAUUGUAUAGUUCUGAAGGUUUUUUCUUUGAGCUUCUUGCCAUGUCCAUUUGCAGUUUUGGAUAUCUGGAAACUUAUUGUUACCCAUGCUCUUUCCUUAGGGAUCAAUGUUUGAUAAACUUGGCAAUGUCAGUAACAAAUUUAUCUCGUUGGCUGGGUGAUGGAAUUGAAUUAUUCCUGUGCAUGCUCCUUACUACAUUUCCACUUAGAGCCUCCUAUUAAGUUCAAAUGGGACUGCAUAGGGACACUGUGCCUCUUUAAUGGACCACUUCAUGUUUGUUCCUAUAGAUUGAAGAAGUGCGAAAGUAUGCUCCAAAGAAGAAAAUUUUUUGGUCGAAGAAGUAAAAAAAAAUUGAAGUAUCAGGUUUUCCCCUAAAUUUUAAAUCAAUUGAGAGGACAAAGCACAAAAUGAUUUUAUGGUCGCCAAACAAAUUCCAAAAGAGUAAUCAUUCUCUUGUGGUAGCUGCAUAGCAGUCUGAGUUACUGACUGAGAACCACCAUUUACAAGUUCAUGACCAUAGAUACUACCAUGGUAUCUAGCGUAGCAAGAUACUGUAGAGCAUUCAUAGUUACACGCAAGCGGUAGCCUCUUUAGGCGCACAAGGUUUGCUUAAUGCCUGUGUUUUAUCAUAAUGCAUGUGUUGUACUUUUACCUUUACCCAACAAAGGUAUCUAAACAUCACGUUAGUUAUGGCCAUACAUUCAAGGAACACCGAACGAAAAUCAAGUUGAUUUUUUUUUUUUUUGGGCAACGGCAAGUAGAGGUGUGACUUGUGUUUUAGCUGCAAGAAAGCAGGCCCUGAUCUACAUACUGGACGAGUAUGAAGAAGAAAUCUCUGAUUCAAAAUGACUGUCUAUUCAAGAGUUUGUGGUGGUUAUGCUCAUGUUGCUGCUGUGGGUGGACCUCUAAUGCUUGAAGCUGCAGACAUUGGUGUAAGAAGCAAUGCAUGUGGGCUUUCUCACUGAAGCUCUUCGACUUCACCCUUUUUGGAGGUCUUAAUCUAUACCUGCCAUGUGCCUUUUCUGCUAGGCGGGUAUUUGUCGAUAGAAAAAGUGGAGUAAAAGGUAGCGAUUAUCUAUUGAGUCGGAUAGAAUUGAUUGAAAGAUGCUGAAUCAUGGCUUCUAUCCGGUGGUAACUGUCGUCAUGGUAUUGUUGUAAGCUCUGAGACCUGUUCGAUGGUGCCAAGCUUUUGCUUCAUCUGUAUAUGUUUACUAUUUGCAUGUGUAAGAGAACCAAAUGUUUGGUUUGGAUUAUCUAUGCUUUUGGUUGAAUGGUUCGGGCAGUGUACUCGACUAACAAGCUCUGCUUUUGAAUGUUGAAAUCUCUCGCCUGAAAUUGACUUGCUUCUCCAUCAUUGUUAAGUGACACAUCCGAUCCAAUGUAGAAAAUACAUUCUUGUGGGGAACGUCCAGAUAUAUGGUUUCAUGGAGUCUUUUAAUUCAGUGAUGUACAUUCAGGAAUCAAUAAUUCUUUAAUUGCAGUAUUCUUUCUCUCGGAAUUAUUGCCAGUCUCCAGGAGAAAGUAUGCACGAAUGUAACGUGUUCGUUUGUGAUACUUCUUUUCUUAUGUUUAUUAUUUGUCGUGAUGAUAGCUCUUUGGGAACUUAAAGCUGAAUUUACUCUGAAAUUAAAUCCUUCUUUAUUUAUAGCCCUUCCAAAUCUUUUACGUCUUCAAUCUAUUCUUCCGAAUGCAAGUACAGAAAUAGUGACGUUUAACAUUAAUUAUUAGAUGCCGACCAAAAAAAAAAAACAUUAAUUAUUAGAUGGGACAAUAACAUUAUCAACAAAAUAAAUGAUUGUUAAUAGGUUCGCUGCCAGUGCAAAUCCCAUGUAAACUUUAAAUUCCACGACCUGUUUUACACAAGUUCGUUUUGGAGAAAUGGUCGUUAAAAGUUUUGACGACUGAGAAAAUAAGAAGAGAAGGUUGGGAAAAGAAGUACUGCUAAGGAAGAAGCUUUACUGUUAUUAGGAAAUGUCUAAGAAGACAACUUGUGUCUAUCGAACCAGACAACUCUGGCUAAACCUUCUAUUUAUUGUCAUUGUAGAACCUCAAAAAAUUUACUUUUGCCACUAUUCUCAGUAAUAAUAGAACUUAUGAUCAUUUGUAACUCAACAGCAUUAUUAAACUAACCGUCCGAAUUGUUGGAGAAUAUCAAGGUAACCUAGCAUCAUGUCUUCACUGUGUGUGUUCCAAAAAAUAGCUUCAUUGCCUGUGGAUAGCAACAAACAGGCAAGACUUAAUACAUGGGAGUUGGGACUUUGAUCAGAAAAUUAGUCACUUAAGAAGGCAACAAUGCUGAUCUAUACACAAACAAAUAACUUUAUUAAUGAUGACGAGUUCAAAAUCAGAUAAGUACCUAAUAUGCCUUCAUAUUAGUUUUGUCACGCCUCGAACCCUGAGCACGUGCAUAUCCCUCAGCGGUCGACUAAAUUGCAACGUUCUUAGGACGCGUCACCAACCCUUCCUUUUUAUGCACAUGCGGAAGCGAAAUAUAAAACCUAAACCCGAACAACAUCAAACAUGGGAUAGAAAAGUAGGAUAAUCAAAUUUUCACAAAAUACACAUUAAAUACAAGCCUGUUCAUUCCUACGAGUCUGUACACUAAAGGUCUGCCCUAAAAGAACUACCGGACAACUUAUACUUCGAACCCCUUCAACUCUGGCUCGGGAUCCUCCACGACACCCUUCGGUAUCUCCAGACUAGGGACCUGAAAAAUUGUAAACCACGACGGGGUAAGAAUAAAUCUCAGCGAGUCAACACUCUAAAUCCCGAUUAUGACGAGAAUUCACUCAAAAGCGUCCUAAACAAGCACAACUCAGAACUUACCUCGCCUCAACAUCUUUCGGCACAUUAGUGCAUCUCAUAUGCACUUAUAAACACAACACGCGUAANNNNNNNNNNNNNNNNNNNNNNNNNNNNNNNNNNNNNNNNNNNNNNNNNNNNNNNNNNNNNNNNNNNNNNNNNNNNNNNNNNNNNNNNNNNNNNNNNNNNNNNNNNNNNNNNNNNNNNNNNNNNNNNNNNNNNNNNNNNNNNNNNNNNNNNNNNNNNNNNNNNNNNNNNNNNNNNNNNNNNNNNNNNNNNNNNNNNNNNNNNNNNNNNNNNNNNNNNNNNNNNNNNNNNNNNNNNNNNNNNNNNNNNNNNNNNNNNNNNNNNNNUAACGUCGCAAAAAACUUCAACGCCUGUGUUCUAGGCCCUUGAUUAUACAAGGCGCAUAGCUUAAGGUUCUAGAGGUAACUCACACGAAGUUUCGCUAUCGUGUAGCACUUAGCCUUUAACUACACAAAGCAAUAGCUCAAGGUUUUAGACGUAGUUCUCAUGCGACUCAAGUCGCCAUGUAGCACUUAGCCCUUGACUACUAGGUUCUAGAGGUGACUCACACGAAUUUUCGUUGUCAUGUAGCACUUAGUUCUUUACCCAAUUACAACACAUUUGACUUCCUCGGCCCAACACAUCAUCUCAUCUUUCAAUGGUCAUCACAUGAUCACAUGAUCACAUAAUCACAUAUUGCCCUUCAAUGGCCAUCAUUUGCCAUGACCAUAAACCAUCACCAUAGCACAACCAUUCACAUCUCAUCACGCACAAGUUCCAAGCAUAUCACAGGUCAACUACAUCACCAAAUAUGCAUUUUCCAACAAGCAUAGCAUCAAGAACCAUCAUAAACUACUACCAGUCCUAAUCGGCAAAAAUGGUCCACUCGUGUGUUUCCAAGUUUAAAUCCAAAAACCUAAUCAAUCGAGUUUGGAAAAUUCUGAAAUUUGAAUAUGUUCUAAAAGACAUAUAAACGAGAAUUUUUCAUGAAGAUACCUCAGCCCAGAUCUCUGGAUUAAGAGCAGUAAAUCACCUAAUCCGGUACAAAAACUGGGUCAAUUUCCAGAGAUCAGGUUUUCCAAAACUAGCUUGGUUCGAGAUCCAAAAAUUGUCCAUUUGAUCUGAAAUUUAAUUAUGUUAAACUAAAAGAUGUGAUAAACAACUUUUGUGAAUAAACCAUUUCGAAAAUCGAACCUUAAAAGUGAAUAAAAAUCCAUUGAACAACAAAAGGUCACAAGUUUAAGCCCAAAUAGAGGUUCCGUUUGCAAAUGACGAAACUAAUAUCUCUUUCUUUUAAAUCCCUAAAAAUCUUGAGAAAAAUAUAUGUCAUAAUUGAAGAUGUCUAAAACAUUUUUCAAGUAGGAAUAAAUCUUAAAAUCGUAGCCCAUUUUGAUCCACAAAAAUGGCAAACGGCAAGAGUCCAGUGAACUAAUUUGGGAGAAAUCCCAUCAAAUAGGCUAAACCAGCCUCAUUAGUGCUAAUAUCACCAAUUAGAUUAAUAUUAAUCUAUAUUAAGGCUAAUCUAACUAAAUUAGAUUAGCACUAAUCCAUCUUAAGGUUAAUCUCACUUAAUAAUAAUUUAACUAAGCUAAUGGACACUAAUAUAAUCUCCUAAGUGCAAUUAACAACCUAAUCAAGGAUUAGUGAAUUAACUCAUCGGAUUAGCAAGCAAACGGGUUCACGGCGAUGGCGAUGCGAAGGCGGUGAAGACCUGUGUCUACAGCGGCUCCAAAUGAGGCUCGGAAGGCACUGAAAAACAACUCGCAAGCCUUUGCUUGUGGUUGGAACAAGUUCCACUUCUGGGCUUGUUGGUCGGUCAAUUUGCUGGCUGAGGAGCUAGGCGGCUGGUCACAGAGGCUGGUCACUGUGUGACAGUGAGGCGGACGUGGGGUGGUGCUAGACACAAAGCUGCUGGACUGGACGCUGGUGACUGGGGCUGCUAGACAGAGGCGUGCGGCUGUGGUCGAGGUUGCUGGAUGCAACUGGGGUUGAGGGGAGGUUUGCUGAACGUGAGGUGGUGUAGGGGGGUGCUGUGGCGGUGGGGGAGUGANNNNNNNNNNNNNNNNNNNNNNNNNNNNNNNNNNNNNNNNNNNNNNNNNNNNNNNNNNNNNNNNNNNNNNNNNNNNNNNNNNNNNNNNNNNNNNNNNNNNUUUGAAUUUGAAUUGAUGAUGAUGUCGCAAAUGGAGUGUGAUUGUGAUAAAUAUGGAUUCUUAUAAAUCCUAAGUGUAGAAAUUGAUGGGAGAUUGUCUGUGAUUGACCACCUAUUAGAGUUCGUGCGCAGAGAGGCUGUGAUGUACCACCUAGGAGAGGUCGUGCCCAGUGAGGCCGUGAUUGACCACCUAUCAGACGUUGUAUCCAGUGAGGCCGUGGAUGUGGGCGAAUUGAAGAGAGAGAGAGAGGGAUGAAAGAGAGAGGGGAAGCCAAAGAAGUGUUAUGCCCCCAAGGUCAAGGCUCCAUCCAAUUGCAAAUUUCCUCUUAUUUCUUCACCAUUUGAGGCCUUUUUGGUGUCCAAAAUUCACAUGGCAGCCACCCCUACGAAUUUCCAGCUAUUUUCUUUCAAUCUCACACCAAUUACUUCAAUUCGAUGGCCCCAAAAAGCCAUGGCAGCAGCCCAUACCAUUUCCCUUCAAGUCUUCACAAAACAAUUCAAUUUGAAGGCCAAAAAUCCCAUUGAAGGUGCCCAUCCGAAUUUCUUGAUUUUUAAUUUGCCGAAAUUGAAUUUUUCGCCAAAAAUUCUGGGCUCGACGGAAUAUUUUCAAAAGAUGAGACGAGGUUUUAAAAAUGAAUCAUGACACCCUCAAAUGUUCAAUUCCCGAAACCGAGUUCAAUUUCGUGGUUAAAAUCAACGGGAUGUGAUUUUAGUCCAAUCCGACAUACCGAGUAGCUUUUAGGGAUUUUACCGCGGUUAUAUCCCGUAACGGCUUCACCUAAUAGGUUAGUUACUUGUGAGUGAUCAGCUCAGAGAAAAAGAACCAUAGGCACAUCGGUGAAAAGCCUAUUUCAUUUUAUCGAGACUCGGGAUGUCACAAGUUUAACCAACCAAUUCUUUUCUAAUAUGAUUUUCAAGUCACCUAUUGAUAAAAAAAAAUGCAUAUAGAAACAUGUUGCCGUGUGCUUGUUACAUCCUUUCGUAUCUACUUAGUGGUAAAAAUAUCUUGUCAAUAUCCACUUGGCAUCACCCAAGUGAAAGGGAGUUUUAGCUAUUCAAAGUGUGGAGACAAUUGACAUCGUUUCAAGCCAAAUGAGUAUUGGAUGUUUUCAUCACACAAUCUUAGGGGAAAUUACUAAGAAAGUCAUGAGGCUAUUGCACUUGCACUAAUUCAGUUCUAGACUUUCAAAUUUGGCUAAUUGAGUUCUAGACCUUUUGGCUGCGCAUGAUAAAAUUUAUGUUUCUUGAUUUCUCUAUUUCUCUAUUCCCCGGAACAGGUUUGGAACAGAAAUUUGUUUGAUAACCCAAUUUGAUUUCUCUAUUUCUGAAACAGAUUUCUAUUCUAGAAAUUGAUUUGGAGGAGAAAUCAAAAGCUAGAAAUUGUAGCUUCUCUGUUUUUGAAAUAGAAACAGAAAUUAUUUUCUUUUCUCCAUCCUUCAAAAAUAGAAUUUUUGUUCUCAAAUUAGCAAAAGAGGUUAUCAUACCACCUUCCUUUGAUGUUGUCCCACAAGAAAUUCUUAUGGAUCCUAAGCAUAAACGUUACUUCAAGGUAGAAUUCUCAUAUAUUCCUUUACACCAUCAAUUUUAUUUUGUUGAUAAUCUUGUAUAAUACUAGUCUUUGAUAAAAUGAUAGGGUUGUAUUGGCUCUAUUGAUGGCACCCACAUUCAUGCUUCUAUACCUGUGUAGAAGCAAAUCCCAUUUAGAGGUAGGAAAUGCACCACCACUUAGAAUGUGAUGUAUGUUUAUUCAUUUGAUAUGAAAUUUACUUUUGUAUAUGUUGGUUGGGAAAGCUCUGUCAACGAUUGUUGAGUGCUUGUAGCAACACUGGAGACUCCUCACUUGGAGUUUCCUCAGCCACCACUAGGUAUUUGUUUGUCUUUUAAGGAGUAAUUUUCUUUAUGAUCAUAUUUAUAGUUUAUAAGUUACGACCAAUAUAUGAAUACAUUGUUGUAGGCAAAUACUAUGUCAUGGAUUCUGGUUAUGCAGCAACUCCGGAAUUUUUAACUCCUUUUAGAGGUGACUGGUAUCAUUUAAAUGAGUAUAGGGGUAAAGCGAGACGGUAAACAACUGCAAGAGAAUUUUUCAACUAUAGGCAUUCUUCUUUAAGGAAUGUCAUUGAAAGAUCAUUUGGGACAUUGAAGAAUUAUUUUUUCAUUUUGAGACACAUGCCCUCAUUUGCAAUUCGAAAGCAAGCACAUAUCGUAAUUGCAUGUUGUGUUAUCCAUAAUUACAUCCGUGAUCAAGACAAGAUGGAUAAGAACUUUUCCCUAUAUAGAGAUCCGAUGUACUUGGCUGAACCUACGCAGGAUGAGCUUGCAAAUGUUCAGUUGACCGAAGAGGGAAACCAAAUAAAUACGCUUAGGAAAACCAUUGCCAAUAAAAUGGCAAGGGAUAAUAAUGUGGCGCAAAUUCCAUGAAAUUGUAUUUUCAAAUUUUGUAAUGUAUUAGUAUUAUUUUGACUAUUAUUUUGUAUUUGAAGAUUUCAUAUGUUGUUAUCUAUCCAAUUUUUAUUCCUAGAAAUAGAAAUUUUAUUCUGUUAUCAAAUGGAUUUCUGUUCCAGAAAUAGAAAUUUUGAAUUGUUAUCAAACGGGUUUCUUUACUCAGAAACUUGUCUGGCGAAUAGAAAUUGAGAAAUCAAUUUCUGGCCAGAAAUCAAUUUAUAUUUCAAAAAUUUUAUCAUGCACAGCCUUUGAGGAUUUACCAAUGUAAUCUAUUUAGUGAAAUUUUCAGUGAAAAUUGCCAACGUAGAUAAUGAUUCCCAUUUUUUAUUAAUUCUUUUGACAUUUUUCUUUUCUUUUUUUUUUAACUUUUCUUUUUGCCAGUGGAUGAUUGCCAGAUACUUAGGGGGUGCAUGACAACCACCUGUUUCUAUUCCAGAAACAAUUUUUCUAUUCCAAACUUGUUUCUGGAAUAGAAAUCCGUUUGAUAAUAUUAUUUCAUUUUUCUAUUUCUGAAAUAGAUUUUUGUUUUAAAAAUAGGUUUGAAAUAGAAAUUAGAAGUAAAAAUUUUCUACUUCUCUAUUUCUGGAAUAGAAAUAAGAAAUAAAAAUUAUUCUCAUUAUUUGUCAACCGGUCCUUCAUCCGUCGCCGCCAACCACCAUCCGCCACUGCUAACCACCAUUCGCCACCGCUGCCGGUUGUUGUCGAUCGUUGGCCACCGCUGAUCAUUGGUUUGCCGCCGUCCGCCGAUCUGUCACCGUCCGAAAGGAAAAAAUUUUGUAUUAUUAUCAAACGAAUUUCUAUUUUUAGAGUAGAAAUUUUAUAUCGUUAUCAAACAGUUGAUAACCAUUCUGGCCAAAAAUUGAUUUCUGGAAGAGAAAUAGAUUUGUCUAUUUGUAUUUCUAUAUGAGUUUCUAAGCAAAAAUAACCAUUUGAUAAAGAUAUAAAAUUUCAACUCUAAAAAUGAAAAUUCGUUUGAUAAUGACAAAAAAUUUGCGGUGAAAGGUAGUGGACCAGUGGCGGCUGGCGACCGGCGGUGACCGGCAACGGCGGCGGUCAGUGACUGACGGACGGUGGUUGGCGGUGACAGAUGGAGGACACGGUGAGAAGAAUUUUUAUUUCUCAAUUCUGUUCCAGAAAUAGAGAAAUAGAAAAUUUUUACUUCUGAUUUCUAUUCCAAACCUAUUUCUAGAAUAAGAAUCUAUUUCAGAAAUAGAAAAAUAAAAUAAUUUUACCAAACAGAUUUCUAUUCCAGAAACAAUUCUGGAAUAAAAAUUAUUUCUAGAACAAGAAAAAUGGUUUGUUAUGCACCCCCUUAGAAACUCAUCUAAAAAUAAAAAUAGAAAAAUUUACUUCUCUUUUAAAAAUCAAUUUUUGGCCAGAAUGGUUAUCAUUCAUGCCCUUAAGGCGCACAUGAUAACCAUUCUUUUCAUGUUCCAAAACUAUUUUUCUAUUCUUGACUUGCCCUUUGGUAAAAUUAUUUCAUUUUUCUGUUUCUAGAAUAGUUUUAUAUUCUAGAAAUAGGUUUGGAACAGAAAUUAGAUGCCACACCUCAAACCUCGAGCACGCGCACAUCCCUUGAUGGUCGAUAAAAUUGCAACGUUCUCAAGACGCGUCGCCGACCCAAUUGAUUAUGCACAUGUAGAAGCAAAUUAAUCAAUCCCCUGACAACAACAAACAUGGGAUAGAAAAACAUAACAACCAAUUUAAACAAACCCACUUUAUAACAAACCAAAUCAACCUGCAAGGUUAUAUACAAAAGUUAAGGCCCAAAAAAGGACUAGCUAGUUAAUCCUACCCCGGACCCUCCUACUUCGAAUCUGGGUCCACUACAACACCGUCAGGAAUGUCAAUGUCUAGUGGAUUAGCUACCUCCUCUACUGUAGGCUCCUCCACCUCGAACCCUUGGUUUAUCGCAUUGUCAGCUAUAAUGCUGGCGUGCACUAUAGAGUCGAGUACCAUCUCGCCCUCGCCUUUAGCGGUGGGUUUAUCGAAACCAUCCACAGUGUGACACCCCAAAUUUUCUUUUGUUCGUCAGUUAAGUUAAGUAUAUUAUAGAUUAAGGUUAUUGAUUUGAUUAAAACAUCAAGUAUUCUUUUAGUUUGACCACGACCCACUCUUCCGUGCAUGGGAGGAUUUUCUUUCAAGAGGAAUUUUAUUCCCCUUGUAGCAGCCAGGUGGAGCUAAAGAGGAAGGGGGGGAGAUCACAUGUGUACUGCUAUUCUUUUCUUCUUUCCUAAACAGUUCGGCAGCAGCGAUUGAUUUCUUUAGCUGGGUUCUUUUCUUUCUUCCCCCGACUGAGACACCCAACUUUUCUCAUUCUUAUUUUCACUUCAUUCCGCCAAAGAUUUGACCCACGCUCAACCCUCUUAGCCCCGUGUCUUCUUCCUGUAGUGAGACCGUCACUGCCUUGCCCCAUUCGAAACUCCCGCUGUCAGCCAUGAAGCCCCAGCUUGCCCGACGCCUCCUCCAUCUUCUGUCGGUGAAAGAUCCAGGCAAGUGAAGCUGUCUUUGUGGUCUCGAGUUCAUGGGUUUGCCCCGCCUUGUGUUGUAUGUUGAUUUAGGGUUGGGUGGUUGCAUUGGGGGUGCAGGGGACGGCUGAAACGUUAGGUUUUGGGGUAGGAUAGGUUUUGAUUUUGAAUUGCCGUGCUGAUAGGUGGUGGAUAUCGCGUUCCACCCAGUCGACGACCCACCAACCCAAAAUUUCCUUCCCUCUCUCUUCCAUUUCUCUCUUUCCUCCCUCGGGCUUGAACAAACGAGCCCUUGAUGUCCCUAUNNNNNNNNNNNNNNNNNNNNNNNNNNNNNNNNNNNNNNNNNNNNNNNNNNNNNNNNNNNNNNNNNNNNNNNNNNNNNNNNNNNNNNNNNNNNNNNNNNNNNNNNNNNNNNNNNNNNNNNNNNNNNNNNNNNNNNNNNNNNNNNNNNNNNNNNNNNNNNNNNNNNNNNNNNNNNNNNNNNNNNNNNNNNNNNNNNNNNNNNNNNNNNNNNNNNNNNNNNNNNNNNNNNNNNNNNNNNNNNNNNNNNNNNNNNNNNNNNNNNNNNNNNNNNNNNNNNNNNNNNNNNNNNNNNNNNNNNNNNNNNNNNNNNNNNNNNNNNNNNNNNNNNNNNNNNNNNNNNNNNNNNNNNNNNNNNNNNNNNNNNNNNNNNNNNNNNNNNNNNNNNNNNNNNNNNNNNNNNNNNNNNNNNNNNNNNNNNNNNNNNNNNNNNNNNNNNNNNNNNNNNNNNNNNNNNNNNNNNNNNNNNNNNNNNNNNNNNNNNNNNNNNNNNNNNNNNNNNNNNNNNNNNNNNNNNNNNNNNNNNNNNNNNNNNNNNNNNNNNNNNNNNNNNNNNNNNNNNNNNNNNNNNNNNNNNNNNNNNNNNNNNNNNNNNGAGAGAGAGAGAGAGAGAGAGAGAGAGCUUGUGAGAGAGGUGCCGAUUGAGCGAAUUGAGAACGAUUCUUGAUUUGAUGAUUCUGUUUUGGGCUCAUUCGGGCUGGUCGCAGGGUUGGAUGGGUGUUCGGUGAUUUGUGUGUGAGGCUUGUGGAUGGUAUGGUGUAAGUCAAGGCGAGAGAUAGGCUUUGGUCUAUCAUUGUUGGGUAGGAAAGGCUGAUGAGCUACGAAAUAGGCUUACAUGUUGACUUAGGAAGGUCGAGACUUCAACUGUGGCUUUGGAUGGAUUUCUCGAAUUGUUUGUGAUGAAUCACUAGUGGUUAACGCUCAUUUAGGUGCUACACAUGUGUGGUUGAGGCUCAAAUGGGGGUUUGUGAGGGGAGUAAUUAGCUAGGAGUAGCUGAAUGCAGAUGCUAGAGUUCAUGGUUGGUCUGUCCGGGAAGAAUAGCUCGCUGAGGUUGUUGGUUUGCCGAUUUUCCGUCAUCAAAUGUAUUAAGAAUUGGAUGAAGUUAUUUUCUAGAAAGUUGUGCAAUACAUUCUAAGCUACAACAUAUAUUUAAUUGAGAUUUUUAUGAGUUAAACUGAUCCGCAUGAAGACUUGAUUUUAUACUGUUAGUGAGCUAUUCAGUACCGUGAAAUCUCGACCUCAGUGUACUUUUGAAUUUCUAUAAAAUUAUUGAGUUAGAAUAUGGAUUUACUUCCUUCAUGAAAGUAGUAGGAGACAUGUAGGUUCAGAACAUAUCAAAAUUUCAAAGAAUUUUAUUGAGUAUUGAACUUUGAAAUGGGCUAAACCUCCCGGUUGAUAGUUCUAUUCGGCAGAAGGAAUUUUGAGCUGCAUGGACCACAUUGUUGCUCUCUUUACAGAAGGAACCAGACAUGGUUUCCUUCUUGAAAAGUGUUCAUUUAGAGCCUUACUAUCACAUAUUAAAACUUGAGAGUUUUUUGUGAUGGUUUACUAUAGUUUUGGCUCUAAACACUGAGACUAGUCGCUUUCGCCUAGUUCUGUCUAUGUUAGUAGAUUCUAAGUUUUCUGCAAGAAAAUGUUGGACUCUUACCUUGUUGCCUCUAAUGAGGGUUCUUAUAUACCUUUUAGUAUUUAAUAAUGUAUGUUUAGACAUUGGUGUGAUUUUUAGCAUACUAGAGUUGUUGGUGCCGCAACAAGGAAAAAUUAUGAAUGUGUGUAGUUAGCUAAGGAGCCAAUGAGAGGCCCCGGGUGUCGGGAUGCCUGGAGAGGGGUGAUGAGGGGUAAUGGUAUUCUCUCCAGGGGACUGAGAAGGAUUGAAUAACUUCUUAGGGGACCUCGUGAUGCUAGGUUGGGUCUAAGGGGUAUAGGGUGGAGUGUCGUCUUCCCCUAGGUGAUUGUGAACCUCGUGACGCCAAGUUGGGUGCGAGGGGUACAAGGUGGAGUGGCGUCUUCCCUUGGGUGAUUGUUGCAGCUAGACUUCUAUAGAUUCUGCAAAUUGAUAGUUUGUUUACCUAUUUGGCUUGCUAUUGGCCAACUCCAAGUUAAGACUAACUGCCAACUUGCUGAGUUUUUAUUUUGAAAACUCAUACUUGUUUAUUAUGUCUUUUCUUUAGAUUAGAAGAUGACCAAGGAGCGCUCGACGUGUGGGAGAGUUUUGUUUUUUUGUUUUUUUUUAUAGUAUGUAAAUACUCGACAAGAGGCGGGAUAUUAAGGGCGCGCAUGAUAAAAUUUUUAUUUCUCGAUUUCUCCAUUUCUCUGUUCCUCAGAAUAGAUUUAGAACAGAAAUUCGUUUGGUAACGCAAUUUGAUUUCUCUAUUUCUGAAAUAGAUUUCUAUUCCAUAAAUAGAGAAGUCGAAGAAAUCAGAAGCUGAAAUUUUUAACUUCUUAGUUUCUGAAAUAGAAAUCAGAAGCUGAAAUCAAACCAUAUAAAAGAACCUUAUGCUUUCUUGCUAACUUAAUUUACUCAUAACCACAACUUCACAAAUUAUUGCUAAUUUUAUUUUUCUUAUUUUGCUCAUGUUUUUUUUUUCAAUUUUUUUUUAUAACUUCCUCUUUAGGAUAAAAGGCAAUCAAAUGGGUCCCCAAUUUUAAAAAACGACCAAAGUUCUUAAAUACUUACUUAAAAACAAUGGGGCUCUUUUCUCCUAGAAAGGGCAUGCGCAUGGCCAGUUGAAGAAAAAGUUCUUACGCAAUAGAUGAAUAAAAAACAUGCCUAGAAAUUUAACUUUGUUUCUUUACGGAUUCAAAAUUCUUGCAAAAUCAAAAUAAUUAGAUUGUUACACAAUCUUGAAUUUUAAUUUGAAGACAAGAGAUUCAAGAGAAUCUCUCUCUUUGUUAUGCAAGGGUUAUUAAAGGUUCAUUGAGCAACAAUAAAAAAAAUUAGGGAUGAGCAACUGGACUUAUUCAAUUUGAGAAUCAAAAUAAACCGACAUUCCCCGAUUGGUUCCUAACCAUAAACGUUACUUCAAGGUAGAAUUCUCAUAUAUUCCUUUACACCAUCAAUUUUAUUUUUUUAUCUUGUAUAAUACUAGUCUUUGAUAAAAUGACAGGGCUAUAUGGGUGCCAUUGAUGGCACCCAUAUUUAUGCUUCCGCAGUACUUGUCUGAACCUACGCAGGAUAAGCUUGCAAAUCGAGGAGGGAAACCAAAUAAAUACACUUAAGAAAACCAUUGCCAAUAAAAUGGCAAGGAAUAAUAAUAUACCGGAAAUUUCAUGAAAUUGUAUUUUCAACUUUUGUAAUGUAUUAGUAUUAUUUCGACUGUAAUUUUGUAUUUGAGGAUUUCCUAUGUUGUUAUCUAAUCAAUUUCUAUUUCUAGAAAUAGAAAUUUUAUUCUAUUAUCAAACAGAUUUCUAUUCUAUAAAUAGAAAUUUUGAGUCGUUAUCAAACGGGUGUCUUUGCUCAGAAAUUUGUUCGAGGAAUAGAAAUUGAGAAAUCAAUUUCUGGCCAGAAGUCAAUUUCUUGAAUAGAAAUUUUGUCAUGCGCGCCCUAAGUGUUUGUGGCUCCUAGUGUUUUUUUUUUUUGGUAGAAAUCCCCCUCCUUAGCCUCAUCUCUCGAUGUGUACGGAAACAAAGUUUUUAGUAAAUAUAGUCGAGUGCAGCUCAGUUUCUUAUAACUCAGCUUAGAAUGAAAUUUAUUUUAUGAUCUGAAAUUAAUAUCUCCCCUAAUUUAUAAAGCAAGUCAUGUGACUUGACUUGAGAUCCUGGGUGUCACACGUGGUACCUUCCCGUUCCCCGUUAGGCUUGUAAUGAAACCACGCCUUGAAUCGAUGAGAUACCAACUAUGGUAGGUCCUCAUCGACCAAGAUCGUGGUCACAACGAGCUCACGGGUCCAGGGAUUCCCGGGGACAAGGAAGACGGUACUUUGUUCGUUAUACCCUCACAGCUGCCCAAAACAAAUUGGACGAACUUCCAUCUAGGAACCUGUAAAAAUUGUAAACCACGACAGAGGGAGACAAUGUCUCAGCGAGUUCACGAAUUGUUGUUAAUAAUGAAAAAUAUUUUUUUAUCAACUCAUUUUUAAAAAAUAAAGAUGAUAAAUUUUAGGAAAAUAUUUUCUAAAUUAUUAAUUUUUUUGAGAAAAAAACGGAGUCGUGCUCUUCAUUUUACCCUCGGUUUCCCUCGCGAAGCCCAACUCUCUUUCUCUAUUGUUCUGAAGUUCACUGGUUCCGUGGCUUACUCCUAACUCCAUGUAAACAAACCCCAUAAAUGGGCCACGCCUUGACAUGAUCAGUAGUCUGACAGGCCGAAACCCGGGCCCGAAGGGCCACUUUAUUAGCCCAACUUAUGGUCCAAUUCGGCCCGGAUUGGCCUGUAAUCAAAUUCGCUUCUCUUCCUCAUUGUCUCCGUUGACUAUGAAGUUGUCCAUGCUUCCAUGUCGUGUCUGACACGUGUCGAAGCAUGUCGGACACGUCGACAUGCUCAGACACGUGGUCAACGCGUGUCGGAUUUUUCGACAUGCGGUCAACUUUUCUCGACACGCGUGUCGACGUGUGUCCGGUAGACUAAUGGAGGGUGGAGGCGAGGGAGGGCAAGGGAGCAAAGGCCGCGAGCGAUGCCGCGAGCGACGGUGAGAGACGGCUAGAGAAAGAGCCAAACAAAGAGAAAGAAGAGAGAGAAAGCAAGCUCCCGCCGGCAAGGCGAAGCCACGAACGGACCACUAUGAUGGCGAGAGAUGGCAAGAGAGAGCGGUGAGGGCCGCCACUGUUGCGAUGGAUCGGCGAUGAGGAGGAGGAGGAGAAGGACCAAGAGGAAGAGGAGAGAUAGGGGGUCGUGCGGAGAGGAAGGUGGUCGUGUGGCGAGGAGGAGGAGGAGAAAGAUCGAGAGGAAGAGGAGAGGAAGGGCCGAAGGGGUCAUGCGAUGAGCGGUAGAAGGAGGAGGAAAAGGAGGUAACUAGGGUUUAUGAGGGAAUUAAAAAAUAAUGAUAAAAAAGGGGGGGACGAUGCGUGACUUCUGAGUUUGGGGGAGGGGAAGUGAAGGCUAACAACUUGUCUGUCAGUGGGGGAGGGAAAAAAGAAAAAUAAAUUUGGGGUGGAGGGAAAUGGAUGAAGUAAAAGAAGGGGUGGAUUUUUGGGAUUUUUUUAAUCGGAAAAUUAAAUAAAUGAAAUUAAAAAUAAUUUCAAAAAAUAAAAAUUUUGAAUUUUGAAUAAUGAUAAAUUUUGGUCAUUGUAGAAAAUCAUGGAUUUAUUUAAAUAAAUUGAUUCUAAUUUCUUAUUAAUUAUUAGUUUCACCAAUAACUUUUGUUAAAGUUAAAAACAUGUUUUGCAUUAACUAUGAAUAUAUCUUUUGAAAUUCAAAUGAAUCGAUUUAUUAAUAUUUUUAGUGUAAAUUUAUUAUAGGCUCUUUUUUAAUUAAUUAAUUAUUUCUGAAUUUGAAUCAAAUUAAUUAAAAAUAAAAAUAUUCAUUUAAUAUACAACGUGUUGUGUCGCAUGUCCAUGCUACUUAGUCCGUUGACCCUCGCUCCAACCGCUGCCGGCACGAUCGUCAGGUUGACCUCCAGCUCCUCCGCUCCCCGUCGGUCCGAGUUUCCGGCCUUCGAUCCGUGCUCUCUGUUGAAGGCGGCUCCGAUUCAGGGCACGAUUUGUCCAGUCGUCGGGAACAAAGGAGCUCGUGAUAGUGUGUGGCCUCAUGGAGGCGUAAUCGGCUAUCGAACGAGGGAUGUGGGGAAGGGCUUGAGGUAGAAUGUCUUGGUCUUCAAGCUUUCUUCUAGGGUUUUCGAGCUCUACCCUCCACUAGCUCUCUGUACACGCCCUUGCUGCUUGCUCCAGCAGCUGGUGGCUGCGUUUUUGGGCUGCUUCCGGAGCUUUUUCAGCUAUGGAGACCGACGAAGGGUCGCAGCACGUGCUUCCCUUUCAGCUUCAGUUCAACAAACCACUGGCUUCUCAGGUUCGGCUCUCGAUUCGAUUUGUUUCCGAUUCGAUUUUGUGAGAUUUUGGCUCGAUUUCUUGCAAUUGGUAGGUGAAGAUGGUGGAGUGGAAUCCGGAGAAGGAUUUGAUGGCGAUGGUCACGGAGGACUCGAAGGUGGGUGCCAGAGGUGUUAAAAUGGGUCAUAGACUCAUAUAUGACCCAUUUAAAUCAUAAAUAGGUCAUAAAUGGGUUUCACAAUUAAAUGUUUAAGAUAGAUGGAUCUUAAGUGUGUUUUAAAUGGGUUAGGUUGAGAACCCAUUUUCAACAAAAACUUUAUAAUCUCUCUCUUUCCUCUUUAACUUUAUAAAAAUAUUUUUUUUUACAAAAACUUUAUUUUUUUUCUCUUUUCUUUUUCUCUCUUUUUUUUCUUUCUUCUUUUUUUUUUCCUUUUUUUUUUCAUUCUCCUUCCUCCUUCCGAUCGCCGGCACGGCAAUGGCCGGCAACCAGCCAGGCGAGCCUUGAGCUCGAGCUCACCGGAUUUGGAGAGGCGAAGGCCUCGCCGACGCCCGGCGAGGGGCGAGCUCGAGCUCGCUGGAUCUAGCGAGGCUCUUGCCUCAUUGAUCUAGCGAGACUUGAGCUUGCCGACGUCAGGAGCUCGAGGCUCGCCUAUGGCCGGUCGCCGGCCGUCGUCAUGGCCAACGGCUGGCCAAAGAAGAAAAAAGAAAAAAGAAAAAAAAAGAAAAAGAAAAGUAUAUUUAAAAAAUAAAAUAAAAUAAUUUUAAUUUUUAAAAAAUAAAAAAUAAUUAAAAUUCGAUUUUUUAAAAUAAUUAUUUUAAAAAUUAUAAAAAAUUGUCCAUUAAAUUUGUGUUGUAUAAAACUAUUUUAGCAAUACGAUUUUAAAAAAUAAUAUAUACAUAUAUAAGAAAUAAGCUUGGAAGUAUUUUAGUAAUAUAAUCUUUAAAAAAAAAACAUAGGAAUAAGUUUUUCUAAAUUUGGUUAAAUAUGAAAAUAUUUUAUUAAUAUGGGUUGGGUUGGGUAUGGUUCGGAAAAUUUACAUUAUGCAUAAAUGGGUUAAUGGGUCAAUUUGGGUCGGACCAUUAAUGACCCGACCCAACCCACCCAUUUAACGGCUCUAGUGGGUGCUUCAUUGCUUCAAUUGGCAGAGGCUGUGGACAAUCUCUCCUUGGUAUUACUAUUGCUUUGGCUCGAGAAAGUUCUCUUCUUUUUUUUUUUAUUCAGUAUGUUUCUUUGACGAUGGCUUGGUGUGUGUGCCCUUUGAGUCAUCGGCCUUGUUGUUGUUGUUUAUGAAAUCACUUUUUGUUGCGCAUUCCAUUGUAUGUUGUUAUACUGGAUUAUCUUAACUAUUCUAAUAUACUCCAGGUAAACAUAUAACAUCAUUAUGCUGGCGUCCUGAUGGCAAAGUUGUUGCCUUGGGACUAGAAGAUGGUACAGUUUCACCGCAUGAUGUUGAAGUAAGUUUUCUAUGUAAUUACUUUAACAUUAUCCUCACAACUUCUCAAUUAGGAAUCUUCCUGCAACAAUCCCUUAUCAUCACUUUGUGUUCUUCUCUAAUCUCUCUUGCGAAAGAUUCUGAAUUGCUUAGAAGCCGCAUGAUGCAUUGCAAACAACAAACUUGCUCAACAAACAUUUAGCUACUGAUAGAGAUGGCAAUCCAUGUUUAUGGGUCCUAUCUACCAAUGUCAAAUUAUCAGUGGACUGCUAGAUAGGUCAAUCUGAGAAUGAAAAGCUUAACAAAUCUUAUUAGAACACUCUUUUCGAACAUGCCUCCUUUGUCAAAUAGGUCAACAAAUGGCAAGAGAUGAAUAACCCAUUUGACUAAUUAAAGUGAAUGGUGCAUUCCAAUCCAAACAUGACCGACACAGCAUGAAUAACUUGUAUGAUAUGUAUGUACAAUAUGCAUAUCUUCGUCAAUGUCAUAAAAUUUUUAAAAAGAACAGCUGUAAACUUACAAAGUCCUCGGUCUAGAUGAUAGCUUGUAUCUUAUAUAUACCCAUUUAACGAAUUAGAUCGAAUGGUUGAUUCCUAUUCAAAGAUGAUUGAGACAGCAUAUAGAAGCAGUCAUCCAUGACAUCCUCAUUUUCAUCAAAUUAAUAGUUUCUUUCUAUUAUUUAAAGUGACAUAUGUCCAGUUCAGUCAUAUUAGGAAGGUAAUAGUUCAGGUGACUCCUAAAUGAUAGAAUUUGUGUGUGCCUCAAUUAUGCUUGUGGGUGGAAAAGUUCGUAGAUUGCCAGUUAUGUCGUUGAGCUAGCUGUUUGGUCAUGGGUACAAUUGCUUAGAACUUGGCUGAUGCUGCUGCCAUAAAGUUUCUUUGCGAUGUCUACCAAUUUACUAAUCAUUAUCCACUUCAUGGAGAGCUUAUUUUUACAUAUGAAUGUUAUCUUACCAAUCUAGCCAUCUUUAUGGAACCGUGGAUAUGCAUUGUGCUGCUUUUUAAAUGCUAUUGCUUGCAGCAGUUAUACAUACUGUGGUAUAUUUAUUUCUAACUUGGUAUAAUUAUUAAGCAGAAUGGAAACUCUUAAAAAGAUUGAAGUCCCAUGUGGCAGUUCUGUGGUGUGUCUCAAUUGGGAAGAGGAUGCCCAAGUGAAUAGAGUAUGCAUCUUUCAACUUAAAAAAAUUCAUCUGACUUCUCGAUCUUGAUUUUUAACAAAAGAUUUUAUCGUUCAUACCUUUCAUGUUCUAUCUAAUGCUUUGUUUGCAGUUAAGUAGUUAAUUUAGUCUAGUUGACUAAGAUAUUUCUUUUCUCAAACUUAGAAUUAUUCAACAGCUUUAAUAUGGGUUUAUGGAAGGUUUUUUGAAAACUUAUGUUUGGUGUCAGCUGUGAGUUGUUAAUUUACUGAUUCUUGACUCCUUAACUUUAAUCUCUUGUUAUAUUUAUCUUCUUCUUCUUUUUUCCCCCCAAUUGGAAAGAUAAUAAUCCAUUUCUCACUAGGACACUUCUGGUAACUCUCUGGCAUUUGAAGAUCCCACUACUCGUUUCUUCCCUCCAGCUCCAAGAGUUCCUCACACGCCUAGACUAGCACCUGGAAACUGGUUUAACUGACGAUGGUCAAGAUUCAUUUGUAGAGCUCUCAAAUUCUUCAAAAGAAUGAUUGAAUAUGCUUUCAAGUGGAGAUAAAGAUGGGGUUUUGUGCUUUAGUGUAUUUGGUGUCUUUCCAAUUGGAAAUGUUGUAAGCCUUCUGUUUGUUCAGAUCAAACAUUUAGCUGUAUAUUCUAUCAGAUUCAGUCAAUGACUACUACUUUCCUUUCUCGGUUCCAUAGAGCAGUCUUUUUUAAUAAAUGGAUCUGAUGGCAGAAAUCAGUAUUAUUAUGGGAAUCCGUUUCCCAACACAAACGGUACAGACCCCGUCUGUGAAGAAAUAAAACAUGUCCCAUGCAACCAUAAAAGAGUAGUCUAGCAGCACGCUGAGGAGAGAAAAAGAAGCAGUACAUAACGACUAAAGCCCGAGUUUUACAUGGAUCAAGCCCAGAAAUUACGGGGGUGCAUGGUAACACUCCAAAAAAGUGUUUCCGGAACACUUCUGUACGGAAAGUGUUACCGGGAACAAAAAAAGAACAGAAACGCGUUUGGUUGCGUUUCUGUUCUUUUUUUGUUUUUUUGUUUCUGGAACGAAAUAGAAACAAAAAAAAGAAACAAAAAAAAGUUGUUUCUCCCGAAAAAAAACACUUCUCGGAAGGAACAAAAGAACAAAAACUCUUCUCUCUCUUCUUCUUCUCUUCUUCUUUUCUUCUUUUUUUUCUUCUUUUUUCUUUGGCCGGUCGCCGGCCUCGGCCAUGGCCGGCGACCGGCCGUCGAGGCUCGGCGUCGCCGGCGCGGGCGAGGCCGAGCCUCGCCAUGGCUAGGCGAGCUCGAGCUCGCCCAGAUCCGGCGAGGCCGAGCCUCGNNNNNNNNNNNNNNNNNNNNNNNNNNNNNNNNNNNNNNNNNNNNNNNNNNNNNNNNNNNNNNNNNNNNNNNNNNNNNNNNNNNNNNNNNNNNNNNNNNNNNNNNNNNNNNNNNNNNNNNNNNNNNNNNNNNNNNNNNNNNNNNNNNNNNNNNNNNNNNNNNNNNNNNNNNNNNNNNNNNNNNNNNNNNNNNNNNNNNNNNNNNNNNNNNNNNNNNNNNNNNNNNNNNNNNNNNNNNNNNNNNNNNNNNNNNNNNNNNNNNNNNNNNNNNNNNNNNNNNNNNNNNNNNNNNNNNNNNNNNNNNNNNNNNNNNNNNNNNNNNNNNNNNNNNNNNNNNNNNNNNNNNNNNNNNNNNNNNNNNNNNNNNNNNNNNNNNNNNNNNNNNNNNNNNNNNNNNNNNNNNNNNNNNNNNNNNNNNNNNNNNNNNNNNNNNNNNNNNNNNNNNNNNNNNNNNNNNNNNNNNNNNNNNNNNNNNNNNNNNNNNNNNNNNNNNNNNNNNNNNNNNNNNNNNNNNNNNNNNNNNNNNNNNNNNNNNNNNNNNNNNNNNNNNNNNNNNNNNNNNNNNNNNNNNNNNNNNNNNNNNNNNNNNNNNNNNNNNNNNNNNNNNNNNNNNNNNNNNNNNNNNNNNNNNNNNNNNNNNNNNNNNNNNNNNNNNNNNNNNNNNNNNNNNNNNNNNNNNNNNNNNNNNNNNNNNNNNNNNNNNNNNNNNNNNNNNNNNNNNNNNNNNNNNNNNNNNNNNNNNNNNNNNNNNNNNNNNNNNNNNNNNNNNNNNNNNNNNNNNNNNNNNNNNNNNNNNNNNNNNNNNNNNNNNNNNNNNNNNNNNNNNNNNNNNNNNNNNNNNNNNNNNNNNNNNNNNNNNNNNNNNNNNNNNNNNNNNNNNNNNNNNNNNNNNNNNNNNNNNNNNNNNNNNNNNNNNNNNNNNNNNNNNNNNNNNNNNNNNNNNNNNNNNNNNNNNNNNNNNNNNNNNNNNNNNNNNNNNNNNNNNNNNNNNNNNNNNNNNNNNNNNNNNNNNNNNNNNNNNNNNNNNNNNNNNNNNNNNNNNNNNNNNNNNNNNNNNNNNNNNNNNNNNNNNNNNNNNNNNNNNNNNNNNNNNNNNNNNNNUCAUGUUGCUCACUACCGUCUGGACUUCUCAUGAUGCCUGCGUGAGAGAGCAAAACCCACACGUGAGUCACAAAGUCACCCCCUGUAGAGAGGUACUUAGCGUGAGCGCCCACAUCAUUUGAAGGAGCCACAUAGAACAUCAUUUCUGCCCAGAAGUCGGCCAAGAUCGUCCAAAUAUGCUCAUCAUCUGUUGCUUCAAUCGAAAGUUGCCCUCCCAGCCAAGCGCCUUGACCCACAAUUGUUUUGCCGUAUGGUUCAUUGUCAAGGGCCUGCAGUUUUUGAAUCCUCUCAUCCAUCAAUUGUUUCAACUUGAAAACAUAAUCAACCACUGAAUACACGUGCAUUCUCCAGGUGAUAUUCCGAUUCACCCUAAUCAAUAUCAUUUUGUUUCCUAUCAGUUCUCUCUUUAGUUUCAUGGAGCAAGUCCUUAUAAUUCCUUGUUGGGAUUCUCCCAAAUGGACUCCCUUGGGCCCAUUGCCUAUUACCAGAUCUAUAAAUGUGGAAUAUGGUUUCCUAAUUGGGAGGUUUUUUCAGAUCUACGUGCAAGUUUGUGAAUUGUCAAUGAUGAUUUGAUCACAAUGUCUUGACUCAGUUGACUACCUAAAGUCAAUUUCAAAAUCCUCUGUCCUUUACCUAGAACAGGUAGUUUUCACUUUAAGAUGAGAUAUUUUAGAUGGAAAAUUCAACGUGAUUGAUAGGAAAUCAUUUGUUAUGAAAAUUGAUGUAGCUCAUUUAGUUCAAUGUUGAGUUUCUGGGUUAUCUUUUUUCUUUUCUUCUUUUGUUGAAAAGAUGCUAGUGGCACGACUACUAAGUUUCUUGCUCCAUAAAAGCUCCAAAAACCUAAAGAUAAUUCGUUGCAAGCAUAGGACACUGUCCAAAUUAUUCUUGUCCACUGACUUCCUCCCUGUUGAGCAGCUUGUAGCGAGAUAUUACUGGUAAGAUUGCAUCUAUGAUAGAACCAACUGUGGCAAAGACUGGAGAGAUCUUGAUUGGCUUCUUCCACUAGUUUUGACGUUAAUGACCAUCUUCUUCAGCAAGAGUGCAUCUCUUGGUAAAAGCAGCAUUGGCAUGGCGAGCUUACAUUCGUCGCCGUAAGAAGAACGAGCUGCGAACCCAGCGAUCUCCACGCUCUUCAGAUGCCGAGCCAAGCACGUGAAGUUUUGCAGUGUGCAAAAUUCCUCUGCAUUGCAGAUAUGAGGAAUGGGGGGAUUAAACAUGGCUUGCACAUUUAUUGGUUACAAGACUUAGUGAUCCAUCCAAAAGAAUGAUGAGGAUAAAAAGAGACAUGAAUGACCUUCGUUGCUUGACUAGAGAAUGAUCACGUACAUUAAAAUUUGAUGUGCAAUUAUCACAAAUUUGGGGAAAAAAGAAAAAAAGGCGCAUGGAAAGGGGCUGGAUUUUGGGUGGUGAUGGCAAAUGACUCAGUUAGAGUAUUUCUAUCUAGCCUAGUGCCAGUAGGUUGGGUGGUGAUGGUAAAUGGCUUGGCCACGUUCGAGUUUGGCUUGUAGUCUCAACAUGUCAAGCAUGUGUGAAUGUUCGCUCUUGUAAGAUGUCGAUUUCAAUAAUUCAUUAGCAUAUAUUUUUUUUAAUUCAAAAUUAAAUGGGGAUGAUCACAUUGCUUUUUUUCAAUUACAAUUUCCACAACUAGAUCCACCACCACAUUCGCAUCAAUGCGAUGUCCCACGAGUCCUCCGGUCGGGUCACUUUGUUUUGUUGGGGUGUGGGACGAGAUUACCAUUGAACAUAUGGACCCGAAUUAAACAAUAUGGUUUCUUAGACAAACUGAACACAUCAUGUCCUAUACAACAUUAUUUAUAGAUUACAUGAAUUGAGGCUCCUUUCGUUUUGCAAAAAGAUGAAUGUUGGAAAAUACCUUCCAAAAAAUGAUCAUUUGUAUUGUUUGAAAUAAUCGACCAAAGAAAUACGUUUCAAUUAUCCAAACAUAAUUGUGCACGAUGGAAAUCCUUUUGCAUUCACUUAUUUUUGUAACUGUACAAGUGAUUAUGAAAAAUAUUUUCUAAAUUAUUCGCUUUCCGCAAAGGAUUUCGACUGGCAAUUCAAUAUAGGACUACUCCAAAAUUGAUCUCAGCUUUUUCUUUUUGAUCGGAAAUCGAGAGCAAUAGACAUGUAUCCCAGUCGUUGGUAGCACAAAAGCGUACAUGCGGGCUAUGUGUAGUCCGAAGAUCAAAACAUGAAUGGGCAGACCACUUGAUCUGUGCUUAACUUAUACAUUUUCCUCUCCUUUUUCAUAAUCAACAACGACACACUUCAGCGUGCAUGAGUGCAUCAUUUUUGUUUACAGCAACAAAACCCAACUAAUCAAAAUUCUUAUUCGCAACCAAAAAAAAAUUGUAAAAAGUAACAGGAUUUCGUAAGAGAAAUGCCUAAACACUUAUUAAGCGACUAUACCAAAAAAAAUUACGAUUUUUUUUUGCAAUUGGCCGCUUUUCUCUUUCAUUUUUUCAUCUUCUUUCUUUUUUUCUUUCGUGUUGUUGCGCUGUUCUGUUUGGACCUUUUUUCUUUUUGUUCUUUUGUUCAUUUUGAGAAUUUUUGGGGUUUUAUUUCUGGAUAAUUUGUAAAGCGAUUAAAAAAAGUUCAUAUCGGGGAUAAGCAAUAAAAAAAAAAAAAAGGAACUCCUUGAUUCCAUAAUAUUGUAACAAUUUCAAAGAACAAACUAUUGUGUACUCUCGGCAGAUUACUGACCAUCGAUCCAACCAAUCUUUGCCAUAUCAAGCAUUACAAACUUUCUUCCACCAAAACAAUGAAGAUUAUGGCAAAGUCCGGUACUUUUCGAAACUAAUCGGUAAAUAAACAUAUGCAAUCUAAAGAACUCAUGAUCCAUUUGAGAUGAUAAAAUUGAAGGUACGAAAUAAAGAAAUGAAAUAGAAAAAUAAAAUGGAAUCAAUAGGGGAGUAGAGUCGAGCAAUGGUUUCUUUGUUUCAUAUCUAGUUGUGAUUGUGAAAAUUAACCUAUUAAUUAAGAAGUUUCUUUGUCACAAAAAAAAAUCAAAAGAUUCAUAUUCUAAUGUGAAACACGCCAUUAAAAUAAGUAAAAGGGAGGGAAAAAGAAAAGGAUAUUUCAAUUUUCAAAAACAAAAGAAAAAGAAAAAGAAAAAGAUUCGCCCCUGCCCUCUUGCUCCGACUAUGAGACCGAGUGUAACAGCUCUGUGCCAUCAGCGUGUGCCCAAGUCUUAUAAGUUAGCCCAAGACUCCCUCCCUAGGCGAUGUAGGACAAGAGAGGGACCCCUUCCUUGCAUACGUACGGUAUAGUUAAAGAGACCAAAGUCUUAUAAGUUAGCCCAGGACUCCCUCCCUAGGCAAUGUGGGACAAGAGAGGGAUCCCUUCCUUGCACACGUACGGUGCUCGAGCCAUCACACUCUCCACCCCUUAGCAGAAGAGCGUCCUCGCUGUGGCCCCACACGCAGUCGAGAGUCGGCUCUGAUACCACUUGUAACAUCCCGGGUUUUCACUAUACACAUAUUGUCCGCUUUAAACACAAAGUCCUCACAGUUUUGUUCUUCUCGGGGCAGCCCAUAUUACCCCAAGAAAACACGUAUGUACAGUUAGAGAGACUCAAGUCUUAUAAGUUAGUCUAGGACUCCCUCCCUAGGUGAUGUGGGACAAGAGAGGGACUCCUUUGCGCCACGUAUGGGGACCGAGGCGUUGAUGCACGCCAUCCCUUCUCCCGCGCACCGUCGCUCGGGCCGUCACAAGUUCCGACAGAGCUAUUUGGCUUCUCAAGUUCGACUCCCUUUUGGGCCUUCUUUCCGUGACCUCCCAAUGGGUGGCGGCGAUUCGAUUGUUUUCCGAUUUGGUUUUGUGAGGUUGUUGCUCGAUUUCCUCCGAUUGGCAGAUGAGGAUGGCGAAGUGGAAUCUGGAGGAGGAUUGUUCCCGACUUUUUAAGGCCUGCUUAGUUUCCGUCUUCAUAGAAACUGUUUUCAAUGUUUUUUUUUUUCUUUUUUGACAAAAUAUUUGUUAAGUGAAAAUGAUAUAUUCAUUAGGGAUGAAAAUUGUGAGAAUAUGCUAAGGUUACAUCACAUCUCAAAAACAGGCUUCAUUAUUCCAAAUCUCCAUGUUUGCAUUUGGAAUGAGAAUGCUAAAAAGUCAUCUUCAGUUUGUGAUUUUGAUUCCGAAAAUAGUUUUCCUUUUUAUUCAUCAGUUGCUUUCAGAGUGUCACCAAACGCAUUUUCUGGCCUGUCUUAAUUCUCAAAUUGAAAUUAGAACGGACUUUUGAGAAUCUUUGUCAGCCAAAUGCCUCCCUAGAUUAUCAAUCUCUUCAUAUCUAUAGAAAAAAUGAACUUCAUCAAGUCGCUCAACAAGCUUUGGACAUUGAAGAUUUACUUCAUGUCAUCCAGACAUCAUUAUCAGUCAUGUAUAAGCAGUGAGCUGAUGCUAUUAACAUAUUUCAUGAGGAAGUUUGAUUUGCUGCCAAACCUUGUUAGUGACCAUGGCAAGUGGUACUGUUAAUACAGAGUGGUAGAUGGUAUUUCAUUGUUCUUCAUUCAACCGUUUUCGUUUGCUUAUCUAGGUCUUGACUCUUCUCCUCAGGAGGAAUUUUUGAGUCUUCUCGAUGGUGCUAGUACUAGUCCUGUAGUCCAUCAGUUUCCUCUGGGUGAAGUGGUAUGGCUGAUUUUUAAGCUCUGAUGAUGCUAUAGGACCCUGGCUUUUUUGGUUGGCUUUUAUAAUCUUAGUCUACUAGAUUGUUCAGUGAUAGUUGUUUGUGGUGUUGGAAAAGAAUGCCAGCAGGUUGUCCUCAAUCAUCUGCAGGUGCAGGUUAUUAUUUUUGCAUUUGGCCUUUUUCCCAUAUAAUCAAGUUUCACGCAUCUCAGAGAACAAUCUUGGCACUAAUAAUAAUUUAAAAAAGAAAAAGAAAAACAAAGCAUCUAGAUGUCAUACUAACUCCUGUUCCAAGUUUUCAUGUAUUUUAUCAAUCCUAACGCCUAUUAAGCCACAACUAUGAGUAAAGGUCAAAUUAUUGAUUGUAUAGAUGAUAUGGGACAAUUAUAUGAAUUCAGCAUGAUGGCGUGUGGAGCAUGGACAAAACACGGUAGGAACUCCUUAGUUACUUACCUUCUCUUGGAGAGAGAGUCGAUGAGUAGCCAAACAUGCACCGUCUUUGAUUAGGUCUUUGAUUAGGGCGAUCAGUUGACAAUGAGUGUUGAAUAUAGCACGGUGCUUCCUCAUGCCAUCGGGACAGUGCAGUUUCCAAUUUGUUUUGCAAAUCUUUGCAUGAUCUAAGAUGAUAUUUCAGUUCUUCGGUAUUAUGCUCUUUCCAAUUUCUAUGAUGAGUGAAGACACAAGCCUUACAUUCUUGGUUGUCAAUCAAUCCCUUAUUGAGAAUUAUUAACUAAGUGCCUACCUCUCGCAAUUUCUUGGAGUCCAUAAAGAGCUGCAAUAGAAAGCUGCAAUAGAAAGUCCUUCGCCUUAUGUAUUCCGGCUUCACUCAGUUUUUGGUGAGAUUUCCCAUCUUCGGCAAUCUCUCCAACCUCCAGACCUCAUCGUUAGAUACAGGUGGACGAUCCUUCAUAUAUGUAGUAAAUGAAGACAACAUGCAUAUAAAGUCUCAGUCACUAUUAGAUUAAUGACUAGAAGCUAACUUUUGAUAGACAUCCAAACUCUCUCCUAAAAGUGAUCGAAGUGUCAACAAUAGUUAAUGAUAAAGACGCUCAACAUUUAUUAUUUAUCGGAAUUUUUGUCCAAGAGGUUAAGGUCUGUGUAAGAUGACGCUCUCAAUUAAAAAAUUGAUGGCUGUGGACAUCCAAAACCAUGUUAUGGUCAGUCAUGAAGGACAGGUUUAUACACUGUAAAAAGACUGAAGGACUUACAUUUUCCUCUAUGUUCCUUGUCAUAGAAGGCAUCUGCUUUUUCUUCCCGGAUUUGUGUACUCCACAAUAACUUGAUGCCAACUUAAGUCCUGUAUGGAAACUUUUACUCCUGUUCCAGCUUGAAUUGUUAGUAAAUGUCAGUUAUCCCAGCUGCCCAACACCUUUCUUGAGUAUCACUUGGAGGUUUCCAGCUUGAAUUGUCAGUAAAGAGAGACAAACUGCCAAAUAUCUCACUAAGACAAGUCAUACUGUUGGGGAAACUACAAAGGAUUAAUAGAUCCAUCGUCCAAAAGUUUAGUAAAGCAAAUUUUUUAAAGAAAAAAAAGCUCCACUGCUAUCAAGCUACAAAAAUUAUGAUCUAAAUUGGAGCAUUGACAUUUUGGUAUACUACCGAGUCAUUGUGGCCCCAACACUCACUGGGCUCUGACUUUGCCUGCUGUAGGUUGGCAGCGGUAGGUUGGACCAUUCUUCCGCCAAAACAUCAACAACGCAUAACCAGUCAAUACUACAAAGAAAGCCUUUCUCAACGGCAUCAUGGGGGAAGUGCAUUCAUACCUUGUGAGGUGGGUAGAGUGAAUGUUUGCAAGCUCCACUGCUACCCUCUGUUCAAUAAUGCCAACAGCAGCAUUGUCAAACUUGGAGACCUGAGAAAAAUAUGAAGCAGAGGGGACGCAAAACCAAUUCAUUCCAUCAAAAGAAGUUGAACAACCUAUUUUAUUCUUCCUUCUUAAAAACAACUUAUCAAACACCUUGUUGAGCUAAGUUCUUCAGACACAUUUGAAAUCACAGUGUUUAGCAACAGCAGUUGUAUAUAUAGCUCUUACAAACAAUCCUAAGCAUUUUCAUUUUGCCCUUUCAUACCACGUCCAUGCAAAAGUUUACAUACGCUUUAUUUUUCAGCUUUAGGUAAUAUAGGCACAGUUGCAAAUGUUAUCGAGACAAAUGGAUGGAGAUGGCCUCCAGCAAGGUCUGAUGAUCUGCUCGAAACUCAAACGGCUUUAUGUGGCUUGAUUUUUCCAAACUCUGGCUCUUUAGACAAAGUAGUAUUUACUGGAUCAUGUGGGGAAAUGUGAGAAUAAUAGACUUGGCUUGGGCUUGUAUGGUUUAAGCCUAAUGUGCGAAAAUAUGGCUUUAUAACUUGUAUGGUGAUUCAUAAUUGGUUGCGCACUUACGAACAAGAUUAAAAGUAGGUGUGACAUUGAUAGCCCCUAUGUGCUAGUUAGACAACAUGAAGAAUAUUGAAUGCACUUUUUCUCUAAGUGUAUUCUCAAAGCUGAUUUUGGCAACAAGUUUUACAGCUACUCUCAUGUACAAGAUCUGCAAGUGACCCGAAGGGUGAAUUAACUUGGGCCUGGUAGCACAUCAAGGGGAACAAUUUGAAGGCAUUACUGAGGAAGUUAGCCUGGAAGGGCCAUCGAGCAGGGACGAAAGUCAGCCUUAAUGAUCAUAUGGUGCCAAGUUGAAGGGCCAUUGUACAACAUAUAAAAGUUACUCUAGGGAUAACAAGCUAAUCUUCCUCAGGGAGAUUUGACACCUCGAUGGGGGCUGUAUAUGUGGGACAUUAUGCUGUAAUGGACUUGCACGGAAAUGUAGUCCCCCAUGUUUUUCUUUUCACAGGUUGAUCAAUAAAAUGACUAUUUUCUUAUAAAAGAAAAGGAAAUUGUGCAAAGCUUACGUUAAAUGAUUGCUGUUCAAACAGUCGAUAUAAAUCCAUUUGCUAGUAACGGAUCUGUUGGUCAAUAAGUUCAUUCGAUCACUUCACAACAUGUAGAUAAACAACCCAUAAAUGAAAUGCUGAUAAAGAUAUGUCUGAGUCAAAGUGGAAAUUUGAUAAAAUCUGUUUAUCCUACCAAUUCCUGUAAAGAAAUCUCCAUUGAUUGCAUCUGCUUCACCAUGUCUUUGAGAGCAUUCCUGGCGCAACUGCACUGUGAAAUUUACACUCUGAACAACUGCUGUCUUGUGGAUUUAUUCGUACAAAUAGACAAAAAUCCAUAAACAACAGUUUAUUACUAGUACGAAUGAAUAUUAGACGUAAUUACUCUAUAAAAAGAUACGUACUAAACUUCUCAAUUGCUUUCCCUUAAUCUAAGCUGCCACAGAAAAUUCCUCGUAAAGCUGGAGUACAUAUACCUCUUCAUUUUACACCGUUGUCUCUACCCUUCAAAUCUGGGAUUCACAAAGGUGGCUCGGAGGAGCUAAAUUGACGCCAGUGUCAUUUCAGUUGGGGUUGGGCUGUUCGUCGCCUGGCAUGUGUGACGUUGGAGUCCACAUCUGGCUUGAGGUCAAAUGACUUCAACGUCACCUGGCCUGGGGUUUCAUGACCUUGGCGGCUUGUGCCUAGGAUCACACAGCCUUGGAGAUCCAUCAACUGGGUUGCACGACAUUAAAGGCCACCUUUUGAUUUGGCUCACAUGGGGUCGCACGAUCUAGGCAACAUUUGUUACCGAAGUUUCCAGCUUCGCUUGAGUUAUCGAGGAGGGUCACCAUUAUAAUUUUUGUAUAAAAAAAAAAAGGUAAAUUCCUUGAUGCAAUAAUGUUUACCAAAUAUUAUCUGCAUUUGGUGAAAAACUCUUUGCCCUAGAAUCAAUGCAAGGACUUUGGUCAAAUGCUCUCCAAACGCAUACUUAGAGUCAUGCAAAAUCUUUUACUAGCCUCGUGGACACAUUAAAUCUAUCUUUUUAUCUGUGCCAAUUACUUUAAUUCAAAGCAUCUUAGAUUCAAUUUAUGGGAUUUGUACAAACAACCUAUGGAUUCUGAUCCUAAUAAAUGUCCUGACGCCCCCAUCAAUGGAGCUAGGGCCUUUAACCAAUGAAGAGAACAAAAGAAAGAUAGAGUUAUCUUUUAUAACACAAAAAUUGCAUCACUGAUUGGUCAUAAAAAGUGAGAUUUUGUUUGCAAUUUUUGCACAUGACAAGAAACAAACGUAAGGACCGACCACAAGAACCGAUUGAAGAAAAAGAGAGAUUCAUCAGAAAAAUCGAACCUUUUUACUUUAGAUCAACUGGGAAAUUGAGAUACUGACCAAAAAAAAGAAAAAAACUGGGAAAUUGAGAUAUCGAGGUGUUGAUCAAAGCAACUAAAGAGGGAGAGAGAGAGAGAAAGAGAGAGAGAGAGUUUCAGCUUCUAGCUGCUGUAAAUUAUGUCAGCUUGCAUCCGGCGAAAAAAGAAAAAAGAGAAAAAGCCAUACGUGCCCGAAAGAGGGGACUGGGUCCCGACCCGUUUGUGCGGUUCGGGCCUGCCCGAAUCAAUUUAAAAACUAAAGUAGAAUUAAGAGAUAAUUACAAGGUAAGAAAUAUUCAAAUAAUCCGAACAAAUGUAUGUUAAAAAAAAUCCAGAAUUUAGCAGAUGAUUUACUUAUCUUCUUGUUUUGGUGUUUUUAAGCAAAAAAGUUAUCUUUUGACUUUCUUCUCAAGUACGUAGUUUGCGUGAAAUAGUCGCCUCUAGCUUGAUUUCAUUAGCCUUCUCCACAUGUUCUUUCUCUUUUCUUCAUUUUCAUGGGACGAUUUGAGAAGUAUGCAAUGAUUAUGGACUAAGCUCUGUCGCGACUAUUGUUAGUCUGAUUGUUCGUUGCCCUUUCCCGUAAUUCUAUAGUUAGCUGCUUUGGACUCUAUAGUCUGCACCCCAGCGGACGCCUUUGCCAUGACGGACUCAGGGAGUCAGCUAUCAUCCUCGGUCUCUGGUUACCGAAUAUAUUACGGUGGAGGAAAGAUGCCGACAACAAGGACGAACAAGAGAAGACCCGCGAAUAUCUUUACGAAGAACAACACAACAGAAUGGCGCGUGUUUGAACGGAGGGUGAGAAAAGCGGCGAGGCAAACUAAAAAUGUUCAAACGAGGCCAGCAUACAUUUGCUCCGGCGAUGUAUAAAUAUGUUUUUGUUUUAAAACCAAGAGCGGCUAGCAGAAGCACCGCUUCUUCAGGUGUCAAAGGGCACAAGCCUCCUUCCCUCAGGGCAGCAGGAGAAGGCAACCUGUCUCAGACAAACAGUUUAGUUAGUCAAUAAGAAUGGCCAUUCUAAUCAGAAGGAAAAUGCUAGACUGUUUCCCCCAGCAGAAAACCAGGAAUGUGCCAUCUUAAAAGUAAAAUAAAAUAAUGUUGACGCCUAAAAAUUAGACUUUAUUUUAUUAUUAUUUUGUUUUAUUUGAUUUUCGGAUAAUAAACCAAAAAAAAAAAAAGCAAAGAAAAGCAGCCCAUUUUUCUCCCUCUCUUCCCCCUCCGCAUGGGCCUCUACGGCCCACUUUCCUUCUCCUCCAGCCCAGCCCUUUUCGGUCUUCUUCCUCCUUCGUCCACUCUGCAACACACGUGCAGAGGGCGCGACGCCGGAUGAGCGGACGGACGGCGACGCGCGUGAGAAAGGUGGGGCAGCUAGAGGACAGGUGGCGGAUGGGACGCUGGUUCGGCCAUGGGGGUCCGGUCGGCAAGCCAAAGACCGGCGGCCGAGCCUCUCCGUCGACCGGACCUCCUCGCCUAUAAAUAGCGGAGUAUUUCAGUCGUUGAAGGACACGCUAGAAGAUCGUGAGCUUGGAAGCUUCCUCCUGAGAGACUUCGGAGGAGGUUAAAGAGCAAGCGAGAGGAAGGCGAGCCAGAGAGAAAUCGGGUCGCGAGCUAGGCCGACCUCCCACUGAGAGACUUCGGGGGAGGCUGCCGGCGAGCGAGUCCGAGGAGGUCAGAUCCGGCCGAUGGAGGCUUGGAUCUAGCUAGAGGGGGAGAGAUAUGGUCGAGAGAGAAAGAGAGAGACAGCGGAGAAGGAGGUUAGAUUUGGAACUCCGAGAGAAGGAGACGCUGUCUGGACGUCGGAUCUGGAAGGGGGAAGGCUAGCGGUUGCCGUGCCGGACUCCCGCUGCGACCUAGCGAGCGAAUCCCAGUCAAGCCGUGCCCCAACGCCGCUGCUACCCCAGAUCCCGCCGUGCUGCCGCCGUGAAGCCCUCUGGUUCGACACCUCGCCGAUGCCUUUCCCUCGACACCGCUGUUGCCGUUCCCAGACGUCCUACCGCAACUCCCCGAUGCCGUCCUCGACGGCUCACCAAGACCCCCUGCUGUGUUGGGUCGCCGUCGCACCUUACACCGCCACCGUGCCGUCGCCUGCUGCGUCACCUCCGUCGUUCCCUCCAUCAGCGCCGCGAUUAGGUGAGAGGGAGGAAGCAUCGCGCUGGGUCGGGCGUGGGUUCGAACCGAGUAGGGUUCCGCUUGGGUCGGGCUUGCACGCGUGGGUCUCAGCCAGGUAGGGCUCCGGCCAUCUUGGGCCGAUUGUGUGCGAGCUUGUCUCGUGUGGGCCUGUGGGUGUCUGUCCCUUAUUUGUGGGCUGCGAUUAAAAGAGAAAUGGAAAAAAAACCUGAGUCGGGCCCGCAACGCCGAUCCGACCCGGGUCAGCUUUUAUAUUAUUUUAAAUAAAUAAAUAAAUAAUAAAUAUUUUAUUUUUCGAAAAAUCAAAAAAAUCAAAAAAAUGUUUUAUUUAAAAAAUGUAAAAAAAUAUUUUAUUUUCAAAAAAUCAAGAAAAAUCAAAAAAUAAUUUAUUUUCCAAAAAUAUUUAAAAAUAUAUAUAAAUAUUUUAUUUUCCGAAAAAUCAAAAAAUCAAAAAUAUUUCAUAUUUUCCAAAAAAAAGCCAAAAAUCCAAAAAAAGCCAAAAAAUUCAGAAAAAGCCAAAAAGACUUGUAUUUUUCCAAAAAAAAAACCAAAAACCCCCCAAAAAAUCCCUUUUGUGUCCAAAAAAUUAGAAAAUGACUCAAAAAAUAUUUUCCUCCCAAAAAUGCAUGCAAAAUCCCUCGAACAUCCAAAAAACCUCAAGUUUUAAACAAGAUUAGGUACCGAAAGGGUAUUAGUGAUUAACUAGUGUAAUCAAGUCCUCGAUCCUAAUUUCUCUGGUUGCGCAGGAGUGAGUAUUUCUCCCAAUACUUCACUUGGGUUUCUAAUCAACCCACCCCAAAUCGAUUAUUAGCGACUCCAAUUUAAAAUUUGAUUUACAGGUUAAAAAAUUGAACCAUUAAGUCGUGAAUUGGUGGACUUGAGAAUCCGGGCUUUAAUUAAUUCAGCCGAGCCAUUAGCCUCCUCAGGCGCUCGUACCCGACUGCGGGUGCCGAAAAAAAGGAGGUCGCGACAGCUUGGCGACUCCGCUGGGGAGUUUGAGGACUUAGGCCAUUUUAUCUUUGUUUAAAUGCUUUGUUGACUUGGGUUUUUUUUUUUCUUUUGUGCAGGGUAAUAACUUAAAGUUUUUUUAUUCUGUCAAAAUAAAAUGUUUUGUGAUUAUAAACUGAUGUGCAUGCUUUACUGUUUUAAACACUACACAUGGCACACACAACCUGGCCGCCGGACUUGGGCUGCCAUAGGAUUUCUAGGAUGGUGUUAAGAAAGAUAUAACCUCGAACGCGAGACUGCAAUGUAGAGGUUACCUUUCUUUUUCCCAAAUUUCUUAGCCGAGGUUAGGAGGGUAUGCUGCUAACGCGAGACUGCGAUGGGCGGAUACCUUUUUAAUCUCAACAAGCCUUCUGAAUUAGAAAUCGAGCCACACAUCUCAUGUGCAUGUCUUUGUGCUUGUCAUUUUAUUUAAAAGCAAAGUGAUUUCUUUACUUUUACUCAGUCUUUUUAUUUGGCCCAUGGCAAUUUAGGAUAAGCUUUUUAAAUUCCAUUUUAUGUGCGAUGGGGAAAGACGAUAUCCAGUUCAUUCCUGCUCCUAAGGCGGAACUCUUCAGAUGGUGGGGUCAAUUGGAUCAAUUGCCCAAGAGCGCGUGAAAGCCAAAAUCGGACAUCUCCUAUCGUUGAUUCAAAUCACUGUUCGUCCCGAAGUCAUACAGGCCAUGGCGCAUUUCUGGUGUUUGAAGACGACUACUUUUAUGUUUGGUGGGUUUGAGCUAACCCCAACUCUGGAAGAAUACAGCAUCAUCACUGGAAUGCCUCUUGAGAAAAAGCUUGUUAGGCCAUCAACAGGCUUCCUCCCGUGGCAAGGGUUAGCGCGACUUUUAGGAACCGAAAUCCAUGUCAUGAGACAAAUUCUUGAAGACAACCAUAGUACCUGCCCAUUAGAAUUCAUGAAUGCAUAUUUUCAAAAUCAGCCUAUGAUCCAAAAAAGUGAGAUUUUCCUCUUGGCCUUUUUGGGUUCAUCAUUUUCCCCCAUCAAAGAAAUGCCAUAAGUCCUAAGAUAGCAUGAAUAGUUGAUCAGAUCUUAAGGGGGGAAAUUAUGUCAACAUGAUUUUAACUGAAACAUUCUUGUCCUUUAAUCGUUUUAAAGACAACACAGAGAAAAUCAUGCGAGCCUCUCCUGAAAUUUUACAAGUCUGGUUCUUUUCUCACUUAAGCGAAUUCCAAGACUUCAUGCGAUCUUCUGAAGCAAAUGCUUUCGAAAAUCCGUUACAAAAAUUUAUGGUUUUAGGAUCGUACAUUCCCAAUCAAAGCUGUUUAAAUUGGAUAAAUUUCCUAAGAGACCCGGCUCAUGAGGCAUUCCAAUGGUGUGCUGGUUGGUUCUAUGAAAAGAGAGCUCGCUUUGCUUUCAAGCGCCGCCAUCCAAUUCCGUUGCUCGGCAUCACUGGUGCUUUUUCCUAUUUCCCACAAAGGGUGGCACGACAGUAUGGAGCCCUUCAGGAGAUCCCGCCAUCUUUCAAGAAGAGGACCCCUCCACUUCUCUUCACUCAUCAAAAUUUUGAAUACAUGGUUGACAUUUAUGAAGAAGCUUGGGACAAAUGCCAUCGCAAAAGGAUCGUGGUACCUGAAGGGCUUGAGGGAGAAGAAAAGGCCCACCACGCCUAUGCGGCCUACAUCCACAACCACCGUAUCCCAACAAAAUGGGAGCCAUUAGUCCUUCACUCGAUCGGCAAAAGCUGCCAGCACGAGCAAGUAGAGCUCAUGGAGAGGGAUUUGGGAAUGGACUGGAUGCACACCUCAGAGCUGGUCCAAGAAAGCAAGCAUCUGCGCAAGUGCAAGACUCCCUGUCGCAUAUAAAUUGGCAAUCGUGUGCUCCUUAGUGUUAAUAGUGUGAAAGUUUUGUCCCAUUGUUUAGGGACUUUUUGUUUAAUAUCUAGUAUUUUAUUCUGUCAUUUCAAUUUCAAGUUCUAGAUGUCAGAAGUCUGCGGUCUAUGAAAUCCUCUUUUGAUGAAUAAAAAACCAGUUAGACCAUUGCCAUGGGUCAAUUUUUGUUUACUUUCAUACUCAUUCAUUGUUUUUGCAAACGGCAGGUAAUUAUGAAUCGCCGGCCACCAAUAGCUCGUGAAUGGCCUCAUGCACUAGGGCCCGAUCAGAAUGAUGUACAAAAUUGUCUCAUUAACAUCGAAGACGGCGUAAGACAGAUGUCUAUUGUCCUUCAGUAGCUCUCGAGACAAAUGAAAUCCACUCAAGCUGAGCCCAACUCUGUAGUUGCCUUAAACGCCAUCAUGACACCCGCAAAUUCGCCAGAAAAUAGCCAGUACCAUAGACAGUUUGAAAGGAUCAUGAAAAAGUUAAACCAGCUACAGGGGCGGAAUCCCAUGGACCUGUCUAAUUAGGCCAGCAUUGAGAUCCCUGAAAAACUCAAAGUACUUGAAUGCGAAGGGUAUGCUGGUACCUCUCGCCCAGAGACCUACUUACAAGCCUACCUGGUCCGAAUGAUGAUUAAAUCGUACCAAUCGAGCUUAACUGGCCCUGCCUUGUGAUGGUACAUUGUUAGGAAGAUUAGCCCCCUUAAAACCUGGAGGGAACUAAUUCAUGUUUUUCACCAAGAGUAUAAUAUUGACAUCACCCCUAACAUCACCUUGCCCUACGAAGAGCCAAUGAUCGCGAAGCACGAGGAGCCAUUAGUUGCUGAGAUAGGAGAGAAACGUGUUAAUGAAGCCUUGCAUAAUAAAUGGGCAGCUGAGCAACAUCCUGUUACUGGAAAAUUUCCCACUAGGAAAGGCAAGGAGCCUUUGUACGAGAUCAUAGACUCAGAGCCUGUUCAAGAGCGAGGCACAACUGGACAAAUCCCCAAGCUUACUCCAAGAGCUAGGGUCCAAAGAAUACUAACCCCUAUCAACCUAGAAAGUGAAUCAGACAAUGAAACUCUAAUGUCUCUCACUUUCUUUGACAGAAUCAAGUUAGCAAAACGAAGGGCCUUACUCAAAAGGUCUGGACCAUAAGCCAAGAAAAGAAAGCCUAAGCAGAUCGAUUCAGCAUCUACCGACGAGCCACCGCACCAAAGCUUCGAGCAUUCCCAAGAAUACAGCUUUGAAGGCCACCAUCCUCUAGAGUACAACCCUGAAGACUUCCUGGCCCUAGAAUACAAUCCUAAGGACUUCCAGCGUUAUUUUGACAAUGAAGCUGACGAUUCAUCGUAUAACUGUUUCCUACUCUCACCCGGGGAUGAAGGCCCGUCAGAAGAAGAAGCAUACGUCUUUAUCUGCUACGAUCCUAACGAAGUACUAAGCUCGUCCUCUGACCAUGAGGAUAAUUUCAAUACUUCAUCCUCAUUCGGAAAUUUUAACCCAGACGAAAGUAAUGGGGUAAUUUCGGUAGAGUCCAACUUCUCUGAAACAGAAGAAUUCACCACUACAACGAAUAUGCAGUGGGAAAACCAGUGGCCUAAUCAAGACAUACCAAGCUUGUCUUGCCCUGGUAGGAUCAUGACCCCCAUAGAAAUGUGGAUACCCAAUUUUCGCAAGUAUAACGGCACAACUUGCCCCGUGGCCCACUUGCAGUACCUCCAUGCUGAAAUGAGUCGGUACUAUGGCCCGAUGUCAUUCACAACUCAGGCCUUCCAAGAAAGUCUUAUAGGGUCUGCAUUGCAAUGGUUCGUCACAGCAGAUAUCAGCCUCAUGAGGGAUUGGAAUGAGCUGUCUUCCACAUUCCUGCAUCAGUACCAGCACCAGAUUGGAGCUGAACUGUCUUGCGAGAACUUGGUUCACUUUAGAAGAAGACCAAUGGAGGAUUUUCGAGCAUAUGCAAGGAGGUGGGAAGCUUUUAUGAUGCAAACCUACCCUCAGCUGGCCGAAGAAGAAAUGAUAAAGCUGUUCAUAGGAGCUUUACCACGCAAGCAUCGCUGUUGGUUGCAUGGGUUACAUUUCCGUAGCUUCAAUGAAGUGGUUCUCUCAUGCGAAUACUUCGAGUCUACUGGAGGCGAGGAACUCAAAAGCGCUUGAUUUCAAAACCAACACUAUCAAAGUGCUCCUUUUCAUAGGAGUUUUCAUGGGUGUUGCUUGUUUUUAUAAUUUCAUGUUUUUUAUCCUGUCUAGUGUGCUACUGUUGUAUUUUCCAUUUCAGUAAUCUAAUGUACAGUUCUAAUAUUUUGUUUUGAAAGCAUGAGGUGGUAUCCCAAACCGGCCCAGUGAUGCUAUCCAACCAUGAAAAAAUAUCAUCCAAGGAGAAUACUAAGGACUGGGCUUCCUCAUGCUUUUUCUCCCCUUAAUACAUAUUUUAAAAACAGAAAAUACUUCACCACCAAAAUCUUUCAAAAAAAGAUGAUAAAUUUAAUCAUGUUUGUCUUUCUGACUCACUCACUUCAUGUCUUAGAAUAUCAUCCCAUUUGACUUAGUGUGACCAGGAGGCAUUUAAAGUUGGCACAUCGUGUGAGCUCGCCAAAUUCAAAAACACCCUUCCAAGAAGGCAGUGGGGCAAACAGGAAAGAUCAUCCCACUUCAAGAAGGUAAGUUUUAUUCUCCAAAUAUAAUUUUGGAAAUGAUGUCCUCUCUUUUCUAUUUACAGGAAACAAAAGAUAGGACGUAAUAGGUACAGGCAUACGGUUGAAAUCAAGCCGUCCCUAGGAGCUUUGUGCACUCCACCUCGCUCCUGACCAACUCCUUCUCAAGCCGGAGCAAUUUCUUUUCCCCACAACAUGCCUGAGCAACUAGAUGUUGUGGUUUCAUUAACGGGACUUCCAGCUUCGACAAGCCCGGAAGCAUAAGGAAGGGAUCUUUUCCCUUUCUUUGAAUUGGCUACUGUCAACAAGGAAGAAAUCCAGAUAGUUGAAGCGGUCUCUAGCCCCCUAUUCCAAAUGAGGACCUAGAAACUUGACUUUUUGUUCCAAAUGCAUGCUCUCGCAAGAAGUAAUUGCCAUCAGAGAAUUAGAGGUUUUGAUUGUCCAUCUCAGAUUCCAUAGAAGCUUGAAGUACAUGACUUUUCUCAAUGCUACUAAUGGUCAUAUGGUCAAAGACGGAAUUCCACAGAAGGAAGGCGUUGCAAAUCAUCAAUCGUGUACACAGGACCACAAAUGAAGAGGGCCAAUCAAAAGAGACAUUGAACUGUGUCCAAGACAAAAGGCCGUCAUUGACAUUCAAAUAUCCCUAGGAGUCAGCAAAUAUGAACUCUGGGGAAAAGUAAUUUGGUAUCGUUUCCAAUACUCCCAGUAUUUGAACUCACUUUUGACAUAUUUUCUCCUAUUGACAGGAAACAUAGGAUUCAAGAAACAAGAUUAAUGGUUAAUUUGGGCAAAUCAAGUGACCCAUAUCGAUUUACCUAACUGGGUAUAAAAGGACGUUUUGUCCAUGAGCCGGUUUAGUUAAUUGAAAAAAGCAGCGCCCUACGGACACCGUCGGCACCUUUAGCCGAGUGGUAUUUGGGAAGAAGCAAAAAAGUCCGAAGUCGGGGGUUCGAAUCCCCGACGCGGCAGUUAGCCGCUUGGUAAAAAAUAAAAGAAAAUUUUGCUUCUCUUGCACUUGCAAAUUACGAGAGAGCAGGUGACCUAGCGAAGCAAAAGACAUAGGACUUUAUGUCCCACUUGCACUUCAGGUCCAAACCAGUGAAGGGUAAUGUUGUAUCGCUUCCAAGUUAUUCGACUCUUGAAAGAGCUUCUGACUAACAUGAUCCCUUUUAUCUGUUGCAGGAUCACCAGACUGUCAAAAGCAAUGAUAACGAAUCAAUGAGAAGCAUGUCUUGUUGCAGGAUCACUUGACUGUCAAAAACAAGGAUAACAAAUCAAUGAGAGGCAUGACAAACUCUCCUAAACGAAAUGGCGUCAUGAGUAAUCGCCAAAGCAAAUGAUAGAAAAUCUUCAGGCCUCAACUAACAUUUGAUUUUGGCCAGACUAAUUGAUCUACUUGUACAUCUUCUCUCUACAGGGGCAAAAGUAGAGAUGCCCGAUUAGAUUCCCAAUCCUUGGUUGAUCAUUCAUGUGUCAUAUCCCUAACCAAUAGAAGCAAUCUAUCGACACCCCUUUGUGAAUAGCCCUUUUGAUAUCCAAGAUUUAACAUAUUUGGAAACACCAUUCUGCUAAUCCUUAAAGCUGUCAACAAGGUCUUUUUGAGCAAAAACCAUUCAUUUGUUUUGAGAGUGCAAACUCUCUCAUGUUUAAAAUGCUGCAUGCCUUUUCCAAAUAGAUUUUGCAUGAUGAUUUUGUCUGUCUGAAUCACUGAUUCCAUUGAGAAUUAUUAGAAUAGACAACUAAAUGGAGAAUACAAGAUUAAUCGAGCAUGCUGGAUGAGGUGCGUCAAAAUGAUGAAAGGCAAGCCAUAUUCUACACACAAUCCCCCCCAUCUAUACACUUGUGAGAUGAGUGCAGAAGAUUUUAUGGCUGCAGGGUAAAGAAUUCUCUCGCGAAUGGUACGAUAACCAAAAUAGUGAGAGGCAUUCCAUCGCUCACCCCAUUGAGCCCCAUACAUUGGUGAAGCUUCCCUCAUACCCUCAUCAAGAACCACCCCACACUGGGGCAGAUCGAAGGCAAAGCAACAUCACAAGGUGAAAAGAGAGGUAGAAAUUUUCUUACUCGCACUUGCAUCAAUCUUCGGGUGUCCUUAUUGCUUAUGAACACUCACGUUAAUUUAAGUGCCCUAGAGUCCUGAAGAGCAAUUCUUUCUUUACGCACUUGUAUCCAUUGUACAACCCAAUUGAGUCUGUAAAUUCACCCUCACAUGGAGGCAAAGCAGAAGCUGCUGCCAUUCGAGCAGCAUAAUUGGAAAUACCAGAAGACUCAAUUAGUCUAAUGAAGGCAUUUGCUUGAACUUGUCAAGAUUAGUUCCUCAAGCAACAAAGACAAAGAACAUGGGCAUAAAAAGCAGUGUACCUAGUAAAAGCAAGGUCAAUGCCCAUAAAUGAAGAAUUAGAAUAAAAAAUAGGAGCAUGAAAAAGCAGUGUGCCUGGUAAAAGCAAGGCCAAUGCCCUCUAGUCAAAAAUACAGCCAAGAAAAAGUUGUUGUUGUGGUUCAAUUGAUAGAGCCUCCAUAUGACAGUGAGAAGAAAGACCGAUGACAAAUGCCAAGGCAAUCACCAACUCUCGCCCUUUUACACAUGAGUCAAGCCAACAUUGCAUCCCAUUGUAAAAGUCUCUUCAGACUAGGGGCACUUCAAUUAACGUAGGAUUUCAUAUGUUUAUAAGCAUCGCUCGAAGAAGUACAAGCAAGAUUACUCUAUCUCUUUUCGUAGGGUUCUUGACUUGUAAACCUGGAGAUGAUCGUGCGGCACUUCGUUCAUGAGCCUUGACCUCGACGGUCCCAUUUGAUGAACUAUUGACCAAGUCUUCAUCACAAUUUCAACAAAGACCUCUCACAUUGGUAAAGUCGUACUGUUUGCGAGAAUACUCAGACCCAUGCUGACAUGAUGACAAUGAGAUGGUGUGGUCCUUAUAAAUCCUGCAUCAAUGGUCAGGAUAGCCUUCUCCAAGAGAGUGAGUGAAAAGUCCUUUCAAACUGAAAGUCCCUCAUCUAGCAUGCUCAAAGCCUCUAUAUUCCGAAUAAAUGUUGUCUUUCAAAAUCUUCCCCAAUGGAAAUCAAAUGAUGUAAAAUUGACAAGAUUGUCAUGCAUAAAUCACAUUUGAAUUUAUGAAUUUACAGUAUAUACAAUCAUGUGUGCAUAUUGUGCAAAUAGUAGACAUACUAUCAGAGAUCAGAGAUAUUGCCAGGUAAGUGUCACGACCCGAGAGUUAGCAUGUCCAAGAGGUUUCUACAGCACGGGCGUGACACAAUGAUGACCCUCGGCCUAUGUCCCGAGACGUAGCGUAUUCUCCUUGGGGCGGGCGAAUACUGUAUUUGUACGCAUACGAUAUAAAUGCGAGUAGCUGGUAGUUGGCAAUAAAUGCCGGUAGUUGGUAGAUGGGGAGGUGCAAUCUCCACCGUCAGAUCUAAGGGAGAUCUACGGUUAGGGUUUGCCGUAUACUUGUAUAUAAAGGGGUGUCCUCCCUCAUUGUACUUCAUUCACAACAUAUAUGAAAAUCCAGAGCUUCUCUCUCAUCAAGUGUUUCUCUCUCUACAAGUUCGUUGUGAGUCGAGUGUGAAAGGCUGCUUAAGGGGUGAAACCUUAAGGCCGCACGGGUGAAUCGAGAGUUGAUCGAGAGUUGAUCGAUCGGCCCGUGACAAGUGGUAUCAGAGCUGAUUUGCGAUCCAAGCGCAAGUGCAAUGGCUGAUCCACGAUCUGAUGAGGCGUUGGUCUUGGGUGAUGACUGCGCUGAUCGUGGGCGGAAUGCCGAGAAGGGUGUCGGCAAGGGCCGAAAGGGCCGUGGUGUGUCGAAAGAACCUAUGGGGGAUCUUACGCAGCGGAUGACGAAGCUAGAGCUGUUCGUCUCCGAUGUCCAGGGAUCGGUCGAUGACCUGACCCAGACCGUGGACGGGGUUGACGCCGGAAGGGAGGAGCUGGUUGCGGAAGUGCAAGAGCUCAAGACCGGCAUGGGAGAACUCCGUCACGAGUUGCUGGGGACCUUGCAAGAGGAACUGGCACAACGGUACGAACCCUUCGAAGCCGCAAUGGCGGCCAUGCGCGCUGAGAUUGCGGAGCUUACGGGUAAGCUCGCGGAAGCACAAGCUGCACGCGUGAAUGGUGUCAUCACGGUGCAAGGGCCACGAGUGGACACGCCGAAGCCAAAGGAAUUCCGGGGCUCGCGGGUGGCCAAGGACGUGGACAACUUUCUGUGGUACAUGGAGCGAUACUUCCAGGCCAUGGGAAUCAAUGACGAUCAAACUCGGGUAAACACUGCAUCGAUGUAUUUAGCUGAUAGUGCAUUGUUGUGGUGGCGUCGUCGGUCGGAUGAUAGGUGUGGGAAUCCUAUCACGACCUGGAAUGGUUUUGUCGAGGAGUUCCGACGGAACUAUUUCCCCGCUUACGCGGAAGAAGAAGCUCGUGACGAGCUGAAACGUCUCGAGCAGAAGAGCGGUGUACGCGACUACAUCAAGUGUUUCUCUCUCUAGAAGUUCGUUGUGAGUCGAGUGUGAAAGGCUGCUUAAGGGGUGAAACCUUAAGGCCGCACGGGUGAAUCGAGAGUUGAUCGAGAGUUGAUCGAUCGGCCCGUGACAUAAGCAUAUCCCUAUACCCAUUUGUCUUAAAGUACCUACCACUGUCCAGGUACUCUCUCCUUGACACUCGACCUAUUCGAGUCGUCUCUUGAGUUUGGAUGAUUGCAACUGUCUAAGUAUCCCCUUGUUUUUAAGUAUCCACCACUUGCUGGGUGCUCCCUCUGUUGACACUCGACCUAUUUGAGUCGUCCAUUGAGUUUGGAUGCUUGCAACUGUUUUAGCAUCCCAUUGUCUUUGAGUACAGACCACCAUUCGGAUACUCCAUUUUCCUGACACUCGACCUGUUCAAGAUGUCUUUAGAGUAUUGAUGCUUGUGAUUAACCAAGUAUCCCUUUAUCGUUGAAUAUCUACUGCUGUUUAGGUAUCCCCAUAUCGUCAAGAACCCACCGUUGUCCAGGUAUUUCCUUUUCAUGACACUCAACUUGCCCGAGUUGUCCCCAAAUAAUAGUAGAUGUUCAAGCAUUCCACUGCUUUGUGUGCCUGCGCCUACCCAGGUAUGCUUCCUUACACUUGGACCAACUGAGUGGUCCCAGGUUGUAUCAUUAAAUACUUGUGUUCAUCAAAGUAUUUUAGUACUUUGUACACCUGUGGCUAUCUAGGUGUUCCACCCCUUUUAAGUGCCUACGGCAAUCCAGGUAAGCCUCAUACCACAUUCAAGUUUAUAAUACCAGGAGGUGAGAGACCUUCAUGAAUAUUCGGGGCACGUCCUCGAUAUUCUCAUUGCCAAAAGGUGGGAGACCUUCAUGAAUAUCUCAGGUAUGUCUUCGAUAUUCCUAAUUAACAGGAGGUGAUAGACCUUCACGAAUAUCCGGGGCACGCCCUCGAUAUUCCCACUGCCAGGAGGUGAGAGACCUUCACGAAUAUAUGAGGCACGUCCUCGAUAUUCCAACUACUAGGAGAUGAGAGACCUUCACAAAUAUGCGAGGCACGUCCUCUAUAUUCCCAUUACCAGGAGGUGAGAGACCUUCACGAAUAUCCCAGGUACAUCCUCGAUAUUCCCCUUUACCAGGAGGUGGGAGACCUUCAUGAAUAUGCGAGGCAUGUCCUCAAUAUUCCCAAUUACCAGGAGGUGAGAGACCUUCAUGAAUAUGCGAGGCACGUCCUCUAUAUUCCCAAUUACCAGGAGGUGAGAGACCUUCACGAAUAUCUCAGGCAUGUCCUCGAUAUUCCCAAUUACCAGGAGGUGAGAGAACUUCACGAAUAUCUCAGGUACGUCCUCGAUAUUCCCAUUACCAGGAGGUGAGAGACCUUCACAAAUAUCUCAGGUACGUCCUCGAUAUUCCUAUUACCAGAAGGUGAGAGACCUUCACGAAUAUAUCGGGUACGUCCUCGAUAUUCCCAAUUCCCAGGAGGUAAGAGACCUUCAUGAAUAUCCAAGGUACAUCCUCGAUAUUCCAACUACCAGGAGGUGAGAGACCUUCACGAAUAUCCCAGGUAUGCCCUCGAUAUUUCCCAAUUGCCAAGAGGUGGGACACCUUCACAAAUAUCUAAGGUAUGUCCCUGAUAUUUUCAAUUAUCAAGUACCCCUUCGAUGCUUGUAAAUGUCCAAGUAUCCCUCAAGAAUUCAUACUUGUGAUCAUCCAAGUACCCCUUUAAUGCCUAUGAUCAGCCAAAUACCCAUUUCGACGCCUGCAAAGGCCCAAUUAUUCUUCAUGUUAGUACUUGUGAAUAUCCAGGUACCUUUUAAUAUGCCUGUGAAUGUCCAAGUAUCUCCCAAAUCGAUGCCUUGAGAAAGGUCGGUGCAUCCAUCCGAGAAAGGUCGGGUUCCAACUGGUGUCUUCGACAGAAGUCAGACACCCCAUAAAUUGAUGCCCUGACAAAGGUCGGUGCAUCCUCCCGAGAAAGGUCGGGUUCCAACUGGUGUCUUCGAUAGAAGUUAGACACCCAACAAAUCGAUGCACUGAUAAAGAUCGGUGCAUCUCCCAAGAAAGGUCGAGUACCAACUGGCGUCUUCGAUACAAAUCAGGCACCCACAAUUGAGAUGCCCUAAGAAAGGUCGAUGCAUCUCACGUCAAGGCGACCGAAGAAAGGUUCAGGUCCUAGACAAAUCACUAAUUGUUUUAACAGGCGACCGAAGAAUGAUUCUGGUCCUAGAGAAGCAAUUUCCCAUCAUGACGACUGAAGAAUGGUUCGGGUCUGAGACAAACCACUGAUUACUCCAACAGGCGACCGAAGAAUGGUUCGGGUCCUGGAGGAGCAAUCUCCCAUCAAGGCGAUCGAAGAAAGGUUCGGGUCCUAGACAAAUCAUUGUUUUAACAGGCGACCAAAGAAUGGUUCGGGUCCUGGAGAAGCAAUUUCCCGUCACGGCGACCGAAGAAUGGUUCGGGUCCGAGACAAACCACUAAUUACUCUAAUAGGCGACCGAAGAAUGGUUCAGGUCCUAGAGGAGCAAUCUCCCGUCAAGGCGACCGAAGAAAGGUUUGGGUCCUAGACAAAUCACUAAUUGUUUUAACAGGAGACCGAAUAAUGGUUCAGGUCCUGGAGAAGCAAUUUCCCGUCACGGCGAUCGAAGAAUUGUUCGGGUCCGAGACAAACCACUGAUUACUCCAACAGGCGACCGAAGAAUGGUUCGGGUCCUAGACAAAUCACUAAUUGUUUUAACAGGCGACCGAAGAAUGGUUCGGGUCCUGGAGAAGCAAUUUCCCGUCACGGCGACCGAAGAAUGGUUCGGGUCCGAGACAAACCACUGAUUGCUCCAAACAAGCGACGAGAAUGGUUCGGGUCCUGGAGGAGCAAUUCCCGUCGAUGUGACCGAAGAAAGGUUCUGGUCCUAGACAAAUCAUUGAUUGUCUUAACAGGCGACCGAAGAAUGGUUCAAGCCCUGGAAAAGCAACCUCUUCAUAUCACCAGGUAAGAUGACACCUUGAUACUUGCCAAACUCGGGGUUCACACCCUACCUCACUCACUCCCCGGUAAGUAAUUACAGGUAUCUUCUUAUAUGUCUUAAUAUAUGUAAUGUUAUAUUGCUCUUUUUACAUAGGAUAAUAAGUCCCGAAUAAAAUAUAAUCCACUACACAUAUAUGAUCAAAUUUUAGGCAUCAUUUUGUCUUUGAAUGCAACCUCUACGAGCUCACCUUCAAAGAGGGGCAGCUGUUGACGCCUAAAAAUUAGACUUUAUUUUAUUAUUAUUUUGUUUUAUUUGACUUUCGGAUAAUAAACCAAAAGAAAAGCAAAGAAAAGCAGCCCAUUUUUCUCCCUCUCUUCCCCCUCCGCAUGGGCCUCUACGGCCCACUUUCCUUCUCCUCCGGCCCAGCCCUUUUCGGUCUUCUUCCUCCUUCGUCCGCUCUGCAACACACGCGCAGAGGGCAUGAUGCCGGAUGAGCGGACGGACGGCGACGCACGUGAGAAAGGUGGGGCAGCUGGAGAACAGGUGGCGGAUGGGACGCCGGUUCGGCCACGGGGGUCCGGUCGGCAAGCCAAAGACUAGCGGCCGAGCCUCUCCGUCUACCGGACCUCCUCGCCUAUAAAUAGCGGAGUAUUUCAGUCGUUGAAGGACACGCCAGAAGAUCGUGAGCUUGGAAGCUUCCUCCUGAGAGACUUCGGAGGAGGUUGAAGAGUGAGCGAGAGGAAGGCGAGCGAGAGAGAAAUCGGGUCGUGAGCUAGGUCGACCUCCCACUAAGAGACUUCGGGGGAGGCCGCCGGCGAGCAAGUCUGAGGAGGUCAGAUCCGGCCGGUGGAGGCUCGAAUCUGGCCGGAGGGGGAGAGAUCUGGUCGAGAGAGAGAGAGAGAGAGAGAGAGAGAGAGAGAGAGACAGCGGAGAAGGAGGUCAGAUAUGUAACUCCGAGAGAAGGAGAUGCUGUCUGGACGUCGAAUCUGGAAGGGGGAAGUCUCGCGGUUGCCGUGCCGGACUCCCGCUGCAACCUAGCGAGCGAAUCCCGGUCAAGCCGUGCCCCGACACCACUGCUACCCCAGAUCCCGUCGUGCUGCUGCCGUGAAGCCCUCUGGUUCGACACCUCGCCAUUGCCUUUCCCUCGACACCGCUACUGCCGUUCCUAGACGUCCUACCGCAACUCCCCGACGCCGUCCUCGACGGCUCGCCAAGACCCCCUGCCGUGUUGGGUCGUCGUCGCACCUUACACCGCCACUGUGCCGUCGCCUGCUGCGUCACCUCCGUCGUUCCCUCCAUCGGCGCCGCGAUUAAGUGAGAGGGAGGAAGCAUCGCGCCAGGUCGGGUGUGGGUUCGAAUCAGGUAGGGUUCCGCUUGGGUCGGGCUUGCACGCGUGGGUCUCAGCCAGGUAGGGCUCCGGCCAUCUUGGGUCGAUUGUGUGUGGGCUUGUCUCGUGUGGGCCUAUGGGUGUCUGUCCCUUAUUUGUGGGCCACGAUUAAAAGAGAAAUGGAAAAAAAAACCUGAGUUGGGCCCGCAACGCAGGCCUGUCCUCGUUCGCGGAUCGGACCCGGGUCAGCUUUUAUAUUAUUUUAAUAUAAAAUAAUAUUUUAAAUAAUUAAAUAAUUAAUAUUUUAUUUUUUGAAAAAUAAAAAAAUCAAAAAAAAAUUAUUUAAAAAAUGUUAAAAAAUAUUUUAUUUUCAAAAAAUCAAGAAAAAUCAAAAAAUAAUUUAUUUUCCAAAAAUAUUUAAAAAUAUAUAUAAAUAUAUUUUAUUUUUCGAAAAAUCAGAAAAUCAAAAAUAUUUCAUAUUUUCCAAAAAAAGCCAAAAAUCCCAAAAAAAAGCCAAAAAAUUUAGAAAAAGCCAAAAAGACUUGUAUUUUUCCAAAAAAAAUACCAAAAACCCCCCAAAAAAUCCCUUUUGUGUCCAACAAAUUAGAAAAUGACUCAAAAAAUGUUUUUCCUCCAAAAAAUGCAUGGAAAAUCCCUCGAACAUCCAAAAAACCUCAGGGUUUAAACAAGAUUAGGUACCAAAAUGGUAUUAGUGAUUAACUAGUGUAAUCAAGUCCUCGAUCCUAAUUUCUCCGGUUGCGCAGGAGUGAGUAUUUCUCCCGAUACUUCACUUGGGUUUCUAAUCAACCCACCCUAAAUCGAUUAGUGGCGACUCCAAUUUAAAAUUUGAUUUACAGGUUAAAAAAUUGAAUCAUUAAGUCGUGAAUUGGUGGACUUGGGAGAGUCCGGGCUUUAAUUAAUUCAGCCGAGCCAUUAGCCUCCUCAGGCACUCGUACCCGACUGCGAGCGCCGAAAAAAAGGAGGUCGCGACAAAUAAAAAUCUAUAGCAGGAUGCAAAAUAACUCAUACUUCAAGGUCUUCUUUAAAGUUGGACAUCAAUUUCGAUCACUAUGUCUACACGUCACUUACAGAAGCAAAGUUAAUUAGCAGCUACCUCUAGAUGCACUGUCCUUUCAAUGAUUAACAAAAUAAUAAUAGUAAUAAUGCAUUCACGGGUAUUACACUUUGCUGAACAGAACGGUGGAUUAAUGGCAUAGGAUUAUCUUUGGCAAGGCAAUAGAAAUGGAAGUUCUACCAGGGUUGAUGUGGAUAAUAUACUGCCAACAAACCAAAUGAAAUAUAUUCACCACUGACAGCAGUCGGCCCAGUGAGAUUCUACAGGCUCCAGCUUUUCUCCGCACAAUCCGGCAAAGAGAUAUAGCGAAGAAUUACAUUGCAAGAAUCAUUCCUCUUGUAUUAGUCGCAUUCAAUUAUCACAUCACGGGUAUCUUUGUUGUCCUCCUCCUACAUGCAAACUGAAAUUGUCAUUGACCACAUUUUCCAAGAUUCAAGGAAACAAUAAUAUCCAGAGCAUUUCAUUGAAAAUUUGCAUCUGUUUGUGAUCCAUUCUGUUUAUAACAACAUGAAAAGCCUAAAUCAUAUUCUUAAUGGAAAUUGCUUCGCAGGCAAAGUCUACAACAGUUAGCAGGUCUUUUUAAGCAAUAGUCAAGCGUAUAAGUAUUGAGGUUUCUAAAGGAAGCUAUGUAUGUAAAAGCUGAUGUGGGAAAUUAUAAGCAGGUCGAGGAUUCAUGCCAUUUGAAGCUCAUUAUAAUUGUAUUUUAAUGACCAAUUUAACUUUUUUUCUUCAGUUUCAUUUCAACUCUCACAUCNNNNNNNNNNNNNNNNNNNNNNNNNNNNNNNNNNNNNNNNNNNNNNNNNNNNNNNNNNNNNNNNNNNNNNNNNNNNNNNNNNNNNNNNNNNNNNNNNNNNCUACCUGUCAGUAUGAAUUGUGAAUGGGAAUGAAAUUUAAGAAAGAUCACCUCCUGGAUGGGCUUCUCGAAGGUUGAUUUUAAAGAAUUCAUAUCGAUUGAAACAGUUGCUUAUGUAGUGUCCUGAUGUGCAUGAUAUGAGGUUUCCGCAAUUCUCUAAAUCUUUAGGACUUAUCAGAUUUCUAUGUACAUAUAAAAUGUUUUGCUCCAUGUUAAACAAAAAUUCUGUUGUGUUUCCAUUGUGUAUGUUGCUCUGUUCGUUCAAAGACUUUAUGUUAAUGUAUGACUUUUGCGUCAAGCCUACUUGGCAAUCCUAAUGUUAAUGCCACACGUCAAUCUUAGCAAAUUAGUUGAAUGAGAAUUUCAGUUUUCUGUAGUUAGCUGCACACAUUAUCUCCAAAUUCAGUAGUGUACACUUGGUCAAAUUGAUAAAAGUGGCUGUAUUUUCUCAAUUGCAUGGACUGUUGAAGCAUUUGUCAGUACCUAUGGAAUAAAUUACGGGAGGAUUGCAGAUAAUAUCCCUUCGCUAAAUCAUAUUCUUUGUACAUCUGGCAUCAAUUUCUAAUGUAGAUUUCAGAAACUUACUGGAAGGUUAGAAAUGCAUUCAGCCGCUUCUAAUCGAAGAGAUUAGCAAUUGAAAUGCAAUAAACACUUAAUUUAUGUCCAAGCUACUUGACUCAUCUUACCACUCUCCAAACAUCCUCCUUCAUAAGACAGCUCCUCAGCUAGAGUUUCCUCUAGGACAGGUUUCAUUCUUGACCAUGUGAAGUUCAUCACAAAAAUACAAGCAAGAUAGGAUAAUCAAGCAAACAAGAGAGCAAAGUAACCUGAUAACAAUUGCAAUUCACUUGCUAGGUAAAAAAUUAUAAUGGAGUUCAAUUCAAACAAGGAGACCACAACAUUUCAGGUCUUUAAUACUUGACGUUGAAGCCACAGCACCAACCCACAAACGAAAAACCGAACGAAAGCGAUUUAGAACAGUCAUGACUCAUGAGUCAAAAGCCAAUCAAUCUAAUACUUACAAUGCAGGCUUCUGUCAUAUUUCUCAUCUAAAGAAUGCUGAACACAAGAACUCUUCAUUGAAUACUUCCCUCGAGUAAAGCUAAAACCAUGAUCAUCAAGCAAUUAAGCAAAAAGUUACUACUUGAUUGGAGCGAAGCAGGGCCUCUUGGGUUAACUUGGUUUACCUAAAGAAGAGAAGCCGGAGCUCUCUUUUGCAUUUUCUUUUUUUCUAAACUAAGUGUCUGAAUAUGGGAGUGUUUGGUUGCAGAAAUACUGCAGUAGAGGAAAGAAUGACAACUUUUUGCAAUGUUUGUUAUUGCUUGGGUGUACUCCCUUUUAUAGUGCAUGAAGGAGUAGGCUUGCAAUGACUGAAAGUGUAGGCACAAAAUGUUUGCAAAAAUGCGACUUCGUGUACAUUUCCAGGAAACAAUAAAGGGUUUAAAUUUCUUUUCUUUUCUUUUCUUUUCACAUUUUUCUACCUCUUGCCUAUCAAAUAAUUGAGAUAUUUUUAUCUUCAAUGUAGGUUUGGUAAAUCUUUUCAAUCUGAUCUCUUAUCAACACGCGAUAUGCUCAAAUAAUAUCAGUUAUUGUGAUUUACCCCUUGAAAAAUUGAUAAAUUACCCAAAUCAAGAGUGAUAAUAUCCUAUAAGAGCGAGUAACUUUAACAAAUAAAUGAGGCUAACUCAAUGGCUUAAUCUAUAAUAUCGAAACAAUCCGAUAAAUGCCGGUAAGUGAUCCCGAAUAGGAGCCUAUAAUUUUCUAUUAAAGUUAGUGAUGAGUACGUGCGCACCUACAAACCCUACUCAAUUGCACCCCCGCACGUUAUUAAAAAAAUUCGACAGGGUUGAAGGAAAAAGAAAAAAAGGUUGACGAAAAAUAGAUAAAGUGGGGCCCAAUCCGCAACAAUUAGCAAUUAAGAAAAGAGAGGGUCGGAUCGUCACCUCGUCCCCGUGUGGGGCCCUCACCACCACCCCCAUCGGACACGUCAACAUUGUGCAUUCGUUCUGGAUAAUAUAUACGGAGAAACCCUCACAACUUUGACGUCUGCCUCUCUAUUCCCAGAUCUCCCAUCUUUACUGACUCCUACAAUGAAUUUUCAUGCCUUCAGGAUCAAUAUCUAAAGCUUCACUGAACCAGAAACGUUUAAAACCUUACGCUCAAAAGUACUCAUAUACAACCGUCACUCAUUCUCGCUCUUCACCGAACCACCGUCUCCGACCAUCAUCUAACCACUGUGCUGGCCGUUGCAUCCACAAGACAUAGGGAACAAUAAUAGGGUGGCAAUCGGAUAAACCGACUGGAGUUGGGUUUUUAGUGGCUUCUCAUCAAUGACCAUCGUUGAAGGCAGCAGGAAGGCCUAAUUUAUCAAUGGUGUAACUAGACUGUGACAGGCACUUGCAACUGGCAACGAGAACCUUUACGACUAUCGAUGAACAUAACAACGACUGACAAGGGAGUCUUCGGAUGAGAUAUGGGCUCUUCAAUUUCACAGUGGGAAGGCACCGGCCAAUAGAGUAGGAAAUGGUGGCUCGGGAACAAUGAGGACGAGCGGCUAUGGCGACUGAUGCCGUUAAGGGGAGUGAUGGAGAGGCUCAUCGAAGUGAUGGCGUGGGUUUCAAUCGCCGGAAUGGGCAGCAGCAACUACUGCUCCGACUCCUCAAGAGAAUGAAAUCCAAGAACAAUGGAUGCAACUUGCGGUGGUGAGGAUGAAGUCCAAUGACGAUGGGGCGAUGGUGAAGGAGUUGGCAUGAAGAAUCGUUACUCCUUAUUUUUCUUUUUCCCCCUCUUCUUUUAAUUGUGAUGCCUUCCCGCUGAACGUAAAAAGAAGCAAAAAAAAAAAAAAAAAACAAAAAGCAAAAAACAAAAACAAAAAUGACCCCUUCCAAGAUGGGAAAAGAAUAAAUUUUAUUCUCCCAAUGGGGUUUUGUACGAUUGCACUGAAUGGCGCGAUCUUUAGAAGUAUAAACUCAAAUCCUAUGGUAAUAAAUAUAGUAUUCUAAAUGGCUUAUCGAUUCUUGAAAUUAGAAUUUCUUUAAAUGGAUUCGAGGUACUUAAAUUUUGCAGUUUUCCUAAAUCAGAUGUCUAAAAAAGAUUAAAACAAGUGAAAAAACAAUUUUUUUUCAGGUCAUAGUCGAUUCUUUGGUUUGACCAAAAAAGCCAUCUUCGGCCAAAUUUAUGGAAACUCGAAAUCUAAAGUCUAUUUCUACACGCCGAUGUUGACUUAACCCCUAUAUGCAAUUAAGGUACUAAUCAUACUGAUCUAAUUCUUUUGAGUGAAGAAACGAGUCUCGUCGCGAUCGAGGAUCUUGAAUCUCGAUUUUUUUUAACUUUAACCAUCGCGAAAAUUCGAAUGGCAAUAGCAAUAUAUAAAAAAAAAAUUCUGAUAACUGUUGGUAUUUUCUUAAAGGUUUGGGUAACUUACCAAAACUUCACCGACUGAAUAAGUUAUCAAACAAACAGACCAAAAAAAAAAAGGUUAUCAAACAACAUUUUGUUGUCAAUCGGUUUUGAUAUUUACCAACGCUUGUCGAUUUUUGCUUGCACAAAACACUGUUUGGAUGUUUACCUGGUCGAAUCUUCCUUUAUGCUAUGGAUUUUUGUGGCAUCUUCUAAAGUCAAAUUGAUACCACUUUUUAGUUUGGUUCGAUUUGAUUUCCCCUUUCAAAAUGUUAUGAACACCCUAAUUUUUUUCAAUAUAGAGGACGAAUCAACCCAUAUCACCCAAAUUAAGAAAAUUCAAUCUUCAUGAAGAUCAAAUAUCCAAGUUUUGCAAUGGAGAACGCAUUCGGUUAGCAUUUUUCAUUUCACGCAACAAACAAAAUGUCGGAAAGUGACUACACAAGUUAUUUAGGCAUCCGGAGGGACUAUCCGGGAGCUCGACCAAUACCCAAUGACUAUCCUAUGGCCAGCUGGCGAUUGGGCAGUAGGGCCUAAGCGCCCAGUCUUCUUCACAUUGUCUCACCACAACGCCUCUUAACAUGUCUCUCACUUAUUUUAAUCUCCGGGCUCCAAUAGAAAUUCGAUUUGGCUAGAACUUGAGCCAUAAGCUCAACAACCUUUGAACAUAGAAUCAUGGAGUCGCCAUCUAGAUGGAGACGCACGAUGUGCAUCCAAGUAAUCUUGCACUUGGCAUGGUGGUGAGGCGAGGAAAGCCUUCUCCGGCCGCAUACUUGUCAGCCAGUUUGAAAAAUAAAAGAACAAGCCUAUAUAGGCUAGCGAACCUCAUGAAUUUCUUGGGCUAUCAUUUCUCGCGUUCGGGCCGAUGUAAUUUAAGAUGUGAUGAAAGCAAUUGUCUGUUAAUUUUAAGCUCAGGAGGUGCCAUACUUGAUCAUGAAUAUGGUUUUCGCUGAAGAAUUAUAUUAGAGAAGUUACUUACAGAAAAAAAAAAAAAAUUCUGGGUAGACACGUGCAAACUUAACUGGGCUGGGGCUCAAGUAAACAAUUUCUUUCUCAAGCUCAAGCCCAAUCGUGGAAGCCCACUUGAGCUUAUCCAGACCCGAUUGUCAGAGUGAGUAUAAAGGAAGAUUUCUAAAAUUUCGUCCACUGAUCAGCUCCACAAAGCAUUAGGGGACGCAAAAAAUCCGUACGUAUGUUCGAACUCGUGCUCCGAGGUAGAGUCGCCGCUCGAGCUUAAAGGCGCAGGAAAACGGUCGUCUCUCCAGGGAGCGACACGUGUAGCUCUAUGGAAGCCCAAAUUCGUUCGAGCAAAAUCUAAACUGUAGGCUCGACCAUCGACCCAUCAUGGCGAAGAAGCCAUCACAGACCCCAUCAUCGUCCUCCUCCUGUCCUCGGUGCGAACUCUAGGCGACCAUGCUGAUCACAGGUGGAGGUCCAGAUGGACCGCCGCCCCGAACCUCGUCGUCUUCUUCCCCUGGAAGGACGCCCUGUUCGUGGACAACGUCUUGACCAUCUACGUGUCGCCUACGGUGAGGAAGUUCUGCAUCAAUAUUGAUUUUCUCGACUAUUGCGCGCCUGAGCUCAGUCUGUGGCUUCGCUUUGCUGUCGACCGCCGUCUGAAGGACCUCUCUGUCAAUGCAGCUAAGGGUUUGCGCGAGAUGGCCAUCCAUUUCUCCGUACCGCUGCUCCUUUAUGGAUGCUCUCCGUUGGUGAACCUGCAUUUAAGGCUGUGUAGCGUCCCAUUUAGUAAGAGUGUCACUUGGAGUAAUCUCAAGUCCUUAUCCAUAUGGGGCUUGGAGAUCAUGGAUAAGGUGAUGCAUGAUAUCUUGAAGGGCAGUCUCAAGUACCUUAGGUCGAAGGAAUGCCGCAGUUUGGAGCAAAACGUCAUGCUUUGUUCGAUAAGUUUGAGGAAAAUUUGUGGUUUAUCACUGCUUCUGGCAUGCACUUGAUGAGGGUUUCCCACUGGAGGUUUCAAGUCCUCUUUUGCUGUUGUUGCAUUUGAGAGGGUCGUUUGGUGUGAUGAGGCAGCUGGUAAUUGAAGCCUCAUCCUUAAUUGAAGUUGAGUUGAACUUUUUUAUAAGACGCGAGGAUUUUAGAAAUUGUUCUGUUCAAAAUUGGUUCGAGCCUUACGGAGGGUAGAGCAACCUGGACAAGGGACUGUUUCAGGAGUUGCCAAACAUGAUUGAAGUUCUAAUUGGUAAUUGGGUGGGCAAAUUGUUUAAUUCGACCCGUUUGGUUUCAUACUUAUGGAUAGUUCAUGGUCCCUCUUCCUGGAGUUGAUGAAGUUCUUAGUUCAUCACACUAGAAUUUGGUUCACAUCAUCUGCUACUCUGCUUGACGUCUAAUGGUGCAAAUGUACAUUUUGCCUUCAGAAUAACUACCAAAAGGUCAAAAAGAAAAAGGCAGCUAGUUUAGGGUAAGUCUUUUUCCUCCUCAAUAGUGCAUAAUCAUGAUCCCAAAGAUCAUAGUAAAUUAUUAACGAAAAGUAGAUGUGUCCUAUUUUCUAAAUAUUGAAAAAGAAGUUGUUGACUAGAAUUAGUGUAACGAGGCAAAUUAUCUAGUUCCAAUUAAAUGAGGACAAAAAAAAAAAAAAGACAUUGGAUCUUCUUAUUGCUUUUUCUACUGCAUGAUUGUGUACCUUAUAACAGGAGAUUUGCAUAAAGUUCACCAACUGGUGCUUGGUCGAGUAUUUGUAUCUGGUCGAGUGUUGGGAGCUUGGGUGAUGAUGGUCGAGUUCGAGCUUGGCCCGCUGUCUCAACAUUUAAGUAUGCGUGAAUGUUUGUCAUCUCUUGUGAGAUGCCAAUUUGAAUAAUUCAUUAGCAUUUUAUUUUAUCCAAAAGUAAAUGAGGAUGAUCACGUUGCUUUUUUCAAAAUUACGUUUCAAUAGCUAGUCCACCACAUUCGCAUCAAUGUGAUGUCUCAUUGGGCCUGAAAGGGCCCUUUCGGGCAUUAUUCGGCAAGGCUAUAAAUUCCGGCCCGGCCUAGUUGAUUCUGCGGCAGCCCUUUACGGCCCAAUUCCCAUCUCUCUCUUCCUUCCUUGUUUUGACUCCCGCCUGUUCCUCUUCCCGCAACUUCCUCCGCAAAUUCUCAGACUUCAGUGGACAUCACUCCCGCUCUUCCCUUCUUCGUCUCGCUCUUCAGCUUUCCUCCGUUGUUUUUGAGCUCUCUCCUUAUUCCUUGCGAUUUGUUCCACCACGGCUGGCGGCUGUUGUUUUCAGGCUGCUUGGCAGGGUCACGGCGUGUGCUUCUGUUUCAGCUUUAGUGCGAUUAACCCUGGGCUUCUCAGGUUCGGCUCCCAUUUGGCGUUGUUGGGUGGGUGGAUUCGGUUUUGUUGAGGUUUUUGCUCGAUUUCCGAUUGGCAGGUGAAGAUGGGAGAGUGGUAUCAGGAAAAAGGAUUUGCUGACAACGGUCGCGGAGGACUCGAAGGUGGGUGCUUCAUCGCUUCAGUUGGCAUGAGGCUGUGAACAAUCUCUCUUGGGCAUGGCUUCGAUUCAAGAAAGUUCUCUUUUUUCUUUAUUCAGUGUGUUCGUUUCUUCAACGAUGGCUUGCUGUGCUUGCCCUUUGAGUCAUUGGCCUUAUCUCCUUCUACUUCUUUAGCUUUUCCUAAAUGUGCAACGCUUCCUUUUUCGCCAUAGGAACCAACUGUAAUUGCCAAUCUUGUUCAAAUUGCAUUCGAUGGAUAAUUGGACGAAUAUAGAGAUAAAAGUGGUUGAAAGUCUAAAUGAGAAGGUGCCAUCGAACUAAAAAGUUGGUCUUUUACACAGAAAUGAACAGUGAAUGAUGGUGAUGCGAGUGGAUAUCUAGAGAUGACUUAGUUCCAAGUAAAGAAUCCAAGCUCGUAUUAGUUGAAUGAAGGGAUUUUAUUUAUAGGCGCAGUAGAUUCUUAUUAUUUAUUAACUUCUCGACCAGGUUGUUGCCUUAUGAGAUUUUUUCCUAUCUGGACAGUCAUCUACUCCAACCAUAAGCGUACCAUACUCCUGUAUCGCCUUCUUGUUGCCCUUCUUCGUACACCAGUUAAAGUGUUCAUGAAAAUUAACAUGAAUUGGAGGGGAUGCCAUGUAUGCUAAAUAGACUAGCCGUGUCAGAUGCGGUAACGCUUGAUGCCCACUUGGAGUUCGCAGGUUUAGCCAUUGCAGAAUACUAUCUAAAUGUCAUCAGGCAUCUAAAAAGAUCUUAGAUUCCUGAUUAUGACUCACAAUGUAAUUUUAUUGUUGACUCCUCUUCUUUUACUGAUUGAGCAUUCUUUUACUGAUUGAGCAUGCCCUACAAGGAGAGAAUUAUUGAAUAUUGAAAUAUAGACUAUAGGCGGAAAGUUUCACAUUUUAUAUUGCUUGAAGUUUUAUUUAUCUUCUUCUCAUUACUGGGGGGGAGUUCAACUUUUGAAUAGGAUAUAUCUUGAGCUAUGCUGCGUAUUUGUGUGACUAUCUGGUCGAGAGGGAUGGAGGGAGAAAUUGGAGAAAGCAAAGAGACUAGGAGGGUCAGGGGAGCUGCAUCCAAGUAUGUAGGGUUCUUAUAUGACUUCAUCUUGUGGUAAUUCAAAUUCGUAAGAACUUAAAAUUUGAUGCCUAGCCUUGGUAGUUCUUGAUGUCUAUUUUCACUGGAUAAAUUUAAAGAGAUCUUUUCUCUCAAUGCUUCGCUCAUCGUAUUGUCUUCUGGAUAUGGAGAAUGUUUUGAGUGCACUAUAGUACUUGAGCCAAUACUUGAAUGGUUUCUUUGAGAUUUUAAGUUGUAAAUACUAUUGCACUUGUAAUCCACGACUGAAGUAAGCUUUCGUGCAUCCACUUCACCUUGAGAUUCCAUAAUUGAACAACAAGAUUUUUUUUUUUUUUGAUGAUAUUGGAAUGGAGGCUGCCAACAAGAUAUAGAUUCCCUUGCUUUAGAUAACCUACUAGCCCAAAGAAAUCCCGUAUCUCUUCUUCUGCCUGCAAUCUUUCGCCGGGAAUUCUCGCUCUUCCAGUGGGGGGGACCUCCUACCUUCCUCUCUUUCGCUCUUCCGUCCUUCGUCUCGCUCUUCAACUGCCUCCGUUGCUGUCCGUACGCUCCUCGCGGUUCGUUCCAGCGGAGCUGGUGGCUGCGGUUUUUGGGCUGCUUGGCGGAGCAUUCUCUCUAGCAAAUGGAGACCGACGAAGCAGGGGCCGGGCUGCUUCCGUUUCAGCUUCAAGUUCUGACGAACCGCUUUGGCUUCUCCGGUUCGGCUUCCGUUCGGGCGUUCUUUCUCGACCUCCUAAUGGGCGGCGGCGAUUGAUUUUUUUUUUUCCGAUUAGUUUUUGUGAGGUUUCGGCUCGAUUUCUUCCGAUUGGCGGGUGAAGAUGGCGGGAGUGGAAUCCGGAGAAGGAUUUGCCGGCCGGCCAUGGUCACGGAGAACUUCGAAGCGGUGGUGCUUCGUCGCUUCAAUUGGCAGAGGCUGUGGACAAUCUCUCCUUUGUAAUUGCUUCCACUCGAGAAAGUUCCACGUCGAUGUCGAUUUUCUGGACCGUUGCGCGCCUGAGCUCAGUCCGUGGCUUCGCUUUGCUGUCGACGACCACGUCAAGGACCUCUCAUUCGAUAUGACUAUAGAGGCCGUGCGAGAUGGCCGGCCAUUUCGUGGUACCGCUGCUCCUUCAUAAAUGCUCUUAGUUGGUGAACCUGCAUUUGGGCCUCCGGAGCUUCUGGUUGAGUAGGAGUAUCGCUUGGAUUAAUCUUUAGGUCCCUGUCCAUCUGUGACUCGGAGAUGACCAAUGAGGUGAUGCGUGAGAUGUUGAAGGGUAGCCGGAUGCCGCGGUCUGAAGCAAAACAUCAAGCUUUGUUUGAGAACUUUGAGGGAAAUUGCGGUCCAUAGCUGCUUUUGGUAUGCACUUGAUGAGGUUUUUCCCUUGGAGAUUUCGAGUCCUCUUUUGCUGUCCUGUCAUUGCGUUUGAGAGGGUUUUUUGGUAUGAUGAGGCAGCUGGUAGCGGAAGUCUCAUCCUUGAUUGAAGCGGAGUUGAACUUUUUUUUUAUGAGAGGCAAGGAUUUUGGAAGGCCAACUAAUUGUUUUGCUCGAAAUUGGUUUGAGUUUUACAGAGGGUAUUGCAGCCUAGUUGAGGAGCUGCUUCAGAAGCUGCAGAAUGUGACUAAGCUUUUGAUUCGUAAAUUGUGCCUUCGGGUGAGCAGAUUGAUUUUGAUUUCAAAUUUAACACGUUUGGUUCAUACUUAUGGACAAUUCAUUGUUCCCUUUCCUGGAGUUAAGGAAGUUCAUUCCAAACUUCAGCACAAGGAAUCUGGUUUACAUCGUUUGCAACUCUGCUUGAUGACAACCGGUGCAAAUACCCAUUGUGCCUUCAGAAUAACUACCAAAAAGACCAAAGAAAGAGCAGCUGGUUUAGGGUCAGUCUUUUUCCUGCUCAGUUUUGCAUAAGCAUGAUUCCAAAGAUCAUGAUAAUUAUUGAUGGAAAGUAGUUGUGUCCUAUUUUCUAAAUACUGAAAAAGCAAUUGUUGACUAGAAUUAGUAUAUAAGAUCUACUAUUUCAACAAUUGAAAGCUUUGGCAUCGCUUAAUUUGUCAUAUAGUCGGGAACCAAAAUAGCUCUCAAAGAACAUACCUGCAGGGCUUUUGUAAUCGUAUUUGGAAGGAGUAAAUUAUCUUAUUCUUUUGCUUUUCAAUUGUUGGAUGUGCUUAGGUUUUAUCACUUGCAGCAGAGGUACUAUGCGCGCUAUUUUCUUUGCCCAGUUGCAAGUCUCUAACUCUGCAUGCACAAGUGGAGAAAUGAGAUUUUCCUAGUAUAGCAAAACUGUACCUUGUAACAAGGUGAAUUGUCUAAUUCCAGUUAAAAGAGAAAAAGAAAGACAUUGGAUCUCAUUUUUUCACCCUACUGUAUCAUUGACGCACGUGCGUACCUUAUAACAGGAGUUUAUCAUAAAGCUCACCAACUAGGGCUUGGUCGAGUAUUAACAUUCGGCCUACUCGACCGAGUGCUAGGAGUUUGGAUGGUGAUGGCAAAUGGCUUGGUCGAAUUCGAGCUUGGCCCGUCGUCUUGACAUUUAAAGUAGGCGUGCUUCCGUUUCAGCUUCAGUUUGACAAACCGCCUGGCUUCUUAGGCUCAACUCCCGUUAGGCAUUCUUUGGUGACCUAAUGGGCAGGUCGAUUCGGUUUUGUGAGGGGUUUGGUCAAUUUCCGAUUGGCAGGUGAAGAUGGGGUGAGUGGAAUCUGGAGAAGGAUUGGCGAUGGUCACAGAGCACUCGAAGGUGGGUGCUUUGGGUGCUUCGAUGCUUCAAUUGGUAGAGGCUGUGGACAAUCUCUCCUAGGUAUUGCUUUGACUCGAGAAAGUUCUCCUUUUUCCUUUAUUUAGUGUGUUCAUUUCUUCUACAAUGGCUUGUUGUGCUUGCUCUUUGAGUCAUUGGCCUUAUCUCGUUCUACUUCUUUCGCUUUUCCUAAACGUGCUUCCUUUUUCACCAUAGGACCAUUGUAAUGCCAAUCUAGUUCAAAUUGCAUUCGAUGGAUAAUUGGAUGAAUUUAGAGAUAAAAGUGGUUGAAAGUCUAAAUGAGGAGGUUCUGUUGAACUAAGGAGUUGGUCUUUUACACAGAAAUAAAGAGUGAAUGAUGGUGAUGCGAGUGGAAAUCUAGAGAUGACUUGGUUGCGAGUAAAGAAUUCCAAGCUGGUAUUAGUAGAAUGAAGGGAUUUUAUUUAUAGGCACAUAGAUUCCUUUUAACUUCUCGACCAGGUUGUUGCCUUUGCAAGAUUUUUUCCAUAACCUAGCUGGUCAGUCAUCUACCCUAACCGUAAGUGUACCAUACUCUUGUAUUGCCUUCUUGUUGCCCUUCUUCGUACGCCAGUUAAAGUGUCCAUGAAAAUAACUAACAUGAAUUGGAGGGGAUGCCAUGUAUGCUAGAUAGACUAGCUCUGUCAGAUGCAGAAAUGCUUGAUUACCACUUGGAGUUGGUAGGUUUAGCCACUGCAGAAUAUUAUCUAAAUGUCAUUAGGCAUCUGAAAAGAUCUUAGAUUCCUGAUUAUGACUCUCACAGUGUAAUUUUACUGCUGCCUCCUCUUCCUUUACUAAUUGAGCAUUCUUUAACUAACUGAGCAUGCCCCGCAAGGAGAGAUUUAUUGGAUACUGAAAUAUAGACUAUAGGCAGAAAGUUUCUUACAUUUUGUAUUGCUUGAAGUUUUAUUUAUCUUCUUGUCAUUACUAGGGGGCAUUUCGUCACGUCAGUUUGAUUAAUCAAGUUUGAUGGUGGGAGUUCUAACUUUUGAAUAGGAUAUAUCUCGAGCUAUGCUGCGUACUUGUAUGACAAUCUGGUCAAGACAGAUGGAGUAGAAAUUGGAGAAAGCAAAAAGACUAGGAGGGUCAGGGGAGCUACAUCCAAGUAUGUUGGGUUCCUAUAUGACUUAAUAUUUUCGUAAUUCAAAGUUGUAAGAACUUAGAAUUAGAUGCCUAGCCUUGGUAGUCGUUGAUGUCUAUUCUCACCGAAAAAAUUUAGAGAGGAGAUUUUUUCUCUGGAAACAUCUUAAUGCUUCGGUCAUCAUAUUGUCUUCUGGAUAUGGAGAAUGUUUUGAGUGCACUAUAGUACUAGAGCCAAUCCUUGAAUGGUUUCUCUUAAGAUCCUAAGUUGUAAAUACUAUUACACUUGUAAUCCUCACCUGAAGUAAUUUUCCGUGCAUCCACUUCGCCUUGAGGUUCCAUAAUUGAACAAAAAGGUUUGUUUUUUGAUGAUAUUGGAUUGGAGGCUGCCAACAAGAUAUAGACUCCCUUGCUUUAGAUGACCUACUAGCUCAAAAAAGCCCAUAUCGAGUGACUAAUAUCCCUCAGUUAUUUUGUACAGUUAUUACAUUUUCCCUCACUUCAUAAAUUUUGAUUAACAUUUUGUUGGUUAAUGUCUAUCCUCUAUCUUUCCUCUUCUUCUAUUAAUUUUACUGGGACAAAAUAUUCUCUCUCUCUCUCUCUCUCUCUCUCUCUCUCUCUCUCUCUCUCUCUCUCUCUCUCUCUCUCUCUCGUUUACAAUGAAUUCACUUUCUUUGCACAUUUCAAUGUGUGUCGUCAAUACUAGCUUCUCUUAAUCAUUCUAGUCUGCUCCAGGUAAAUGUGUAACAUCAUUAUGCCGGUGUCCUGAUGGCAAGGUUGUUGUCUUGGGACUUGAAGACGAUACAGUUUUACUGCAUGAUGUCGAAGUAAGUUUUCUAUGUUGUUACUUGAACUACGUUUUCUAUGUUGUUACUUGAACGUUACCCUCAUUACUUCUCAACUAGAUAUUCCUCCUGAAACGUUCCUUUAUCAUCAAAACGUGUUUUUCUCUAGUCUCUCUUGGGAAAUUCUGAAUUGCUCAAAAUCUGCAUGAUGCAAUGCAAACAACAAACUUGCUAACUGAACAUUCAGCUGCUAAUAGAGGUGGCACUCCAUUUUUAUUGGUCAUGUCCCUCAAUGUCAAGUUAACAAUGGAUUGGUAGAUAGGUCAAUCUGAGCAGGAUAAGAUUAACAAAAAAUUUUAUUAGAAAAUUCUAUUUGAACAUGACCCAUUUGUUAAAUAGGCAAGAGAUGUAUAACCUGUUUAACUAAUUUGAUUGAAUUGAAUGGGUCAUUCCCAUCCUAACAUGACCAACGUGACAUAUGUACCAUAUGCAUAUCUUCAUCAAUGUCAAAUAAGUUUGAAAAGGGACUAGCCAUAAGCUUACAAACUACAUGAAAUGUUUUAUUUAUAUGGUGUGAUCAAAUCAUAAUAUGUAACAACUAAGGAAACCAAAUUUAUGUAUGAUUUUUUAUUAGAGAACUUACUAAACUAAAUAUAAACAGGUCAUGAUAGGUCAGGUUGUUGAUCAAGUUGGCUCUAUCAUUUAGUUAUAUAGAUUACAUGAGUCAAUCUGUCUUUGCGGUUUGAACUUUGAACAUGGAACAAUAUUCGUUUAUUAAUUAACUGUUAAGUAGGUAGCCUCACCUAAGUGGUCACAUGGAAAUGUGAGUCAUGAAUAAAAAAAUUAAAUCUUUCGAUUGUGGAUCGUGAUUUUCAUCCAAUGGAAUCAUAAAAUCUGAUAUAAUGUUUGAGAUUGGUAUUCCAUGACAUAUGUAAAUUAAUUAUUAGAUAAUAACUAAUCACAAAGAUACUUCAAAUUCAACUAAUUUUAUUAUCUCCAGACAUGAAAUAUUGCUACAAAUUAUUUUUCUUUUGCCCAAUGAGUACCCAUUUGACUGCAAGGACGCAAAGAUCUUAUACAUGGUAUUGUAAUUGGAAUCCCAUUCAUAGAAUUGAGUAUGAGACAAUCAAAACAUCCACUAAGCCUGAUGCAGCCAACAAAAUCAUGCAGGAUGACUACCAAGUUUUUGGUGAAGAUUGACUUUAAAACUCAAACAAGGGUCAGGAUUCUUCUUGAAGUUUAAUCACUAAAAUUAUCAACUAGGAUUUGAGUAUUAUUAGGAUUUUACAAAAUUUCCUUUUCUUUCUUUUUUUAAGCUUGCAUAGUAGGAUCUUGCGUAUACUCCAAUAAUGUUUCUUGUUAUUGAACUUGGCAAGUGUUUGCUUUGCAGAUUGUGUGAUGCAAUUCAUCUUUGGCAUGAUGCUUAAGAAACCCUGGGUGUGUUGCUUGGGCAAUUUUGCAUGUGAUGCUUAAAUAUUUAUUCUUUAUUGUGGGACUCAGUCCUAUAUCAAAGCCGUGAAAUGUUUUUGACAUUACAUUGUUGAUACAUGCGUUAAAUUAUGAAUCAAGGAAAUUGAUUGACUCAUAUCUAAUCAGUGAAAUCAGCAGUGAGUUACUUUAAUCACAUAUCAUACAGAAUUAAUAUGCUCAUUUAAUAGAUUUAUAUACUUUAGGAGUUGAAUCUUAUUGAUGUGUUCAAUUGCAUUCUCGUGUAGGACAAGAUUUUUACUUCGCUGCUAAUGUUGUCAUAGAUGGUUGAGACUAUUUCAAUUGUCAACGACAAAUUACAGGAUAGUGUGUGCUGGGGUCCAGCUUGUGGUGAGAAUCUACAUCUAUGGUCUAGGUGGAAGGUGCUGUACUGAAGCAUUCAUUCAUGACAUGCUCAUUUUCAUGAAAGUUAAUAACUUCUUUCAAUUGUUAUAAAUUUGUUCAGUUCAGUCAAAUUAGGAAGGUAAUAAUUUAGGUGAUCCUUAAAUGAUGGGAUUUGUGUGUGCCUCAAUUAUGCUCGUGGGUGGAAAAGUUUGUAAAUAACUGGUUAUGUUUUUAUCAAGCCAUAGUGGCUUGGUCAUGAGUAGAAUGGCUGAGUACAUGGCUGAGGAUGCUGCAAUUCUGUUUCUUUGAGAUUUCUACCAUUUUAUGACUAAUCAUCCACUGCUUGGAUUGCAGUCAAUCAAUAUAGAUGGAUCCGAAAUCUGAUUUAAAUCUAAUAUAGCACUUAUGGAUCCACAAGAAUUGCUGAGAAGAGAAGUUUAUACAUAAUGAAUGUUACUUACCAAAGUAGCUGUCUUUAUGGAACUAUAAAUGUGCAGGGUGCUGCUUUUGACAUGCUAGUGCUUGCAGCAGUUAUGCACACUAUGGUAUAAUCAUUCUAACAGGAUAUAAAUAUGAAGCAGAAUGGAAAACUCUUGAGAAGAUUGAAGUAUGGCAGUUGGGGUGUGUCUCAACUGGAAGGAGGAUGCCUAAGUGAAUGGAGUAUGGCAUCUUUCAACUUAAAAGUUGGUACGAUUUUGUGAUCUUUAUUACCAAUAGCAGAUAUCUUAUGGCUCACACCUUUCAUAAAGCUUCGUUUGCAGUUAAGUAGUUAUUUUAGUGUGGUGUUCUUAAAUACUUCUUUUUCAAACUUAGAAUCUUAUUUCACAGUCCAAUAGCUUUAGUAUGGGUUUAUGGAAGAUUUUUUGGAUGCGUAUGUUUGGCGUCAUCUGUAACUUGUUGAUUUGUUCGACUCUUUAGCUCUGAUCUCAUAUUUUUUCACCUUUUUAUUUUCCAACUGGAAAGUAAUUAUUCAUUUGUUUUAUACAAUGCUUCUGGUAACUCUUUGGCAUUUGAAGAUCGCACUACUCAAUUCUUCCCUCCAGCUCCAGGAGUUCCUCGAAUGCCUGGACUAGUACCCGGAGAUGCUGGUUUAACUAACAAGGUUCAAGAUUCAUUUGUAGAGCUCUCAAAUUCUUCAAAGCAAUGUUUGCAUAGCCUUUGCAGUGGAGAUAUAGAUGGGGUUUUGCACUUUCGUAUUUUUGGUGUCUUCCCAAUCGAAAAUAUUGUCAGUGUCUUGUCUGUUCAAAUCAAAUAUUUAGCUAUAAGGUCUGUCAUAUUCAGUAAAUGAGUCCUUUCCUUGUUCUUGCUUCUCAUACAUCAAUUUUUCUUAUUAAAGGGAUUUGAUGGUGGAUUGAUAGCAAAUCAUUAUUGCUCGGGAAGUAAUGGGCUGGUUAAGUAAACAAAUAUUCCUAGGCGAGGUUAUGCUUGUAAAAGUUCCUAGAUGUUUAUGCCAUUUCUUAGGCUAGAUUUCACUUCUGUUGGUCACUUCAGAGAUGACACUUCCAAUUUCGAUACUUGAUACUAAACACUUAUCUGACGCUUUUUGUUGUUUGGCCUGAGGUUGGCCUGCCUUGCAUACUUAUUGCUCCUCUCCCGACUAUUGGCAUUCUGCUCUAUACUAGGAAGAUUGAGAGAGCCUGUGAAGCUCUUCCCUUACCCAGCAAGUAUAAUUCAGGCCAAAGACAUUGCAGAAGCCUUAGUCCAGACUUCAUGAGAAAAUUUACUUGAAGGGCCAUGAUGUUUGUCAAACUUUUGCACGAUAUGAUGUUGGAAAAACAAGUGUGAAAAAAUGAACAUCACAAAUAUAAACAUAAAGCAAUAUUUACGGCACUAAAUAGCAUGCAUAUACUGAAUUAAUAAUAUGAUAAAAACGUAAAGUCAUUACAUUGCCUUUUAAUAACAAUACUGUGUUGAAUUCGAUAAAAUUGUGUUAGUUGUCAUUUGAGGUCAACUUUAAUACAUCAAAUUGAUAAUGGACUAUUGUAUAUAUUAAUAGGCUGAAUAUGUUAGUAUUGCAAUAGUUGACAUGGUAAAUACACCUAAUACUCUUCUAUUAGAGUGGUAAAAAUGCAUAGGCUGAUAUAUUACAUUCAUGUUUGGUGCCUCUUAUAUUGGACGCAUUUUAGGCAAAGUACUCUCAACUUACGAGCUAGAGUUGACUAGCUUUAGAGAAUAAUGCAAUUAAGCUCUUGAAUUGAUGUGAUAAUUUAGCAGUUAUAAAGUAUUGUAGAUCAAUAGUAUGAGCAGGAGUGCUUGUGAAAUGCAGAAUUUACACUUCACAAUUUCAAGUAUCGAUGGUUUAGUUUGGAUUGGUGGUAUUUAAAUAGCAUUGAUUAUUCAAGUGGAUAUUGGAAUAAAGUUUCUUUCUAUUGAGCAUACAAAAUGCUUCACUUCUUGUACCAAUCAAGUUGAAUAACAAUAUUAAUAUGCUUAGAUAUAUUUUGAGUGACUAGUAAAAUCUAUUUAACAUAUUUUCAAAUAGAGUUACCCUCAUUAUUUAAUGGGAAUAGUCUACAUAAAAUAAAUUGUUGGAUGAGAAUAAUAUGGCUAGGUGUAUUUUGGAUGGUAAAUACAACCUAUUAUAUAUAUUUUUUUUGGUAAAUAAAAUGGUGGCUAAAGUACCCAACUACUUUGGGGAUUGAGCAUCAAGGAUUUCUUCCCUUCCAACAAGGGCUUUUUGCUAGGAUUUGAACCCUUGCCCAUUGGCAGGUGAAGUCCGUGCGGGAUUAGCAUGCUACCACUAGACCAACCCUUUGUUGGGUUAUUUUACAUUUUCAUUAAAAUAGCUACCCUCAUUAUUUAAGAGGAACUGCAUGCAUUUAUGUUAAAGUGUUAUUUAAAAUGCAAUUUAAUAUAAAUGAAUUAACAUUUCGUGUAUUAGUUCCAUUCAAUAAUAUAAAUAUUUGAAUUAGCACACAUUACAAUUUAGGUGUUGAAGGAAUAUUGCAAGUGCUAAACUAAACCAAGCAAAAAAAAUUUGGAAAAAAUUGAAAAUUUUAAUUUACUAAUUUGGCUUUGGGUUGAUUAUGAAAGUGUGACAUCAAUAAAUUUGAGUAACUUUGUAAUUAAGUAGAGAAAGAAUUGGUGGGCUAGCCACUCCUUUGCAAUAAGAAGUGAACAAAAACUUGGUAGAGAAGAGCGGUAGCCUCUGGAAGGAAAAGGAUUCUUGAGCCGAGCCACCGGGAGUGGGGUAGAAAUAAACUCAUCACAUGCAAUCUAAUUACAAAUAUGCCCCUGGAUGAUAAAAAGAGAUGAAGCUCCUCCACUUUUUCUUUCCUCUUUUUAUACGGUCCUAAUUCUUUAAAAACUCUCAAAUUUUAGGUUCAAUUUUAAUUUUAUCCCAAUUUUUUUUUUCAAAAACCCUCAACUUAAAACCAAAUGCUAUAUCAACCCUCAAUUUUUUUCAUCUAAAAAAGUUUUUCAAAUUUUAUAUACCGUCCCAAAUUUUUUUUGAAUAGCAGCAAAAACCUUGAGGACAAGAUCAAGAGAGUAAUUUCCAUUUUGACAAGGGCGCAAUCUCGCCAUUCAGAGAUCGAAAUUCAUGGCCAAAGAAGACAAGAAAAUCUAGGCAUGAAAAAGCAGAGGAUUCUCGACCGAGUGGGUGGGGCAUUUUUCCGCAUACCAUAAUUGCCAAGGGGAGCUUGAAAAAGAAAAAAAGAUGGAGCUUUUCUUCCGGACCAAGAAAAGGAGAUAAAGAGAGAGGCUGUGGUCGGCAAAGGAGAAAACUUUGACAAAGAAAAAUUGAUAAAGUGGCCUGCAAUGGAAAAGAAAGAAAAGGAAGGACAGAGGAGGUGAAAAGAAAAAAUGAAGAGAGAGAGAGAGAGUUGUCAGGGCACGCGUGAAAAAACAACAAGGAGCAAAAAGUUGCAGUCUCAUUGAAAAUCUACUUUUGCAGCGUUUGCAUUUCCUUGAAAGUUCGCUUUUCCUAUGCAUUGAAACUUCCACCGGUUGCAGGCGACGGCCAUAAAUGCAUGUCUAAUGGUUCGGUCAAUGAAUUACUAAUUUAUAUUCAGUUCGGCAAAUUAAAAUUAUUGAUCCAUAUCAACUAAUUAGAUUAGAUAAAUCAAAUUAAUAAUAUAUAUAUAUGAAGUAAAGUAAAAGAAAAAACAUAUUUUGAUUUAUUUAUGAGAUUUGAAGGAGAAAUUAGGACAAAACCUGAGCAAAAAAUAAAUUUUUGUCAUUGUGUUACGGUACUAAAUGAAUAUAUAUUUAUAUAUACACACAUACAUUUAUGCAUGUUAAUAUUUUUUUAUGAUCCUCAACACGCAUUGAUAACAUAAUUUUUUAGAAUAAGCUAUCAUUAAUAAUACAACAUUUCAGUAUGAAAAUGAAGAUUUUAGGUAACAUAUAUUAGGCUCAAAGUAAGAGGGAUAACUUCCUAAGUGUGAUAAAGAGCUGAAAUAUAUUUAACCAAAAACACCUUUUCCGAUGGAAAAUAAAUUAACAAAAGAAAGAGGAAAGUUGGACGGUGCAAGCGGUGGACUAAGCGUGCCCUCUUCAUUGUCCUGACACUUUGUAUGUUUUCAUCUACUGUGAGCACUUGUGUGGAAAAUAUUGGACCGGACGAAUCUCUCUCUCCACUUUUAAUUUUCUCCAGCAAAUCCAUGUGACGGGGAUGUGAGGGAAGCAGUGCAAAGGAACAUGAAAGAGUCAUGGAGUUGAAAAGUCUACUUGGAAAAGAAGUAAGAUUAGAGGAAAGACAAAAAAUUACGGAGCAAUUGUUUUCAGAGUGGUCUCCACCUUCAAAGACGUGUAGCAAGGGCUAUGAAAAUAUCUAUCUCUGUACCAAUUCUUAUUCAACGUUGGCUGCUCUUUAAUUAGUCCAAUAAAUAAUAAAAUUUAUCAGUGGCCCAUGCAUCUGAAUGUUUCUUGUCUAGAUGGAUUCAAGUGGUUGUCCAUGUCCUAUUUUAUAUUUAGAAAAACUUCCCACUCUAUUUGUCAUCAUAUUCAAUUACUAGCAAAAUUAAGGCAGAUGUGUGUAAAAGUCAUGUAUCAUUGGAAGUCCUUUCGGUCUAUUCUUCAUUAUAGACUAUAUUUAUUAUGGGUCUAAUUCAAUGCCAUUGGCUGCUUAAUAGGAUCAAGAGUCUAAAUAUAUUCAACAAAAGUAACUUUUCUGAUGAAAAAUAAAUUAAAAAAAGAAAAGGAAAUUUUUUAUUUGGGUCCUAAAAAAAAAGUUCAAUGGUGCAGCAAUUGUCUCGAUCCUUUGUACGUAUUCAUCAAUUAUGACCAUUUUCCACGGAUAUCAAUAAAGUAGUUGUCUUUUAUUUUUUAUUUUACUUUUUUUAAUUGCUUUUGCAUCGAAACUUGCUCACAUGUUAUUUUCUUCCGGGCAAGAUCGCCUUGGAUUCUCCUAUCCAUCAAAACUUCCCCACCAUGAAGGCAAAGACUAUAAAUGCACGGUCAAUGGUCCCAGUCAACAGAUUAGUAAUCAAUAUCUACCUCCGCAAGUUUGAAUUAUUGCUACGUGCCAAUUGAUCGAAUGAGAUAAAUCAAAUCAAUAAAGAUAUAUAUAUAUAUAUAUAUAUUAUAUAAUAUAAUAUAAAGAAGGGGAUAAGUGAAAAGGUAUUUUGAUUAAUUUAUGAAAUUUGAAGGGAAAAUUAAGACAGAACCAUAGCAGAAGAAAUUCUUCUUAUUAUGUUUGGGUACAAAAUAAAUAUAUAGUAUGUUGAUAAUUGCAUGUGUUAACUCAUUGACCUUAUAAGUAUUGAAAUGAAGUUUAUCGAUUUAACAUUAUAAUAUUUAAUAGGCUUAAAGUGAGAGAGAUUAAAUUUUUAAGUGAGAUCAAGAGCUUAAAAAUAUUCAAUAAAAAUACCAUUUCCAGUGAAAAAUAACUUAACAAAAGGAAAAGGAAAGUCCAGUGGUGCAAGCAAUGGACUAAGUUCAACGAAGACUCGUCCCAAAUCUCUCUCCACUUUUCUUCUUCCCAACAAAUCCACCGUUAUGUGGGUAUUGAAAUUUUAUCGGACCUUGUCUAUUAAAAUGUUAUUUCAGAUCAACUCUUGUUUACUUCACAGCCUCACAAUACCCUUACUUUCACAGCUUCACAACUUCAAAAUUGAAUUUCGCAAUAUAAAUUUCAUAUAAUUUUUUAAUUUGUACUGUAAUUCCAAAAACCACUCCAAUUAGACGAACAAAUGGCUUAAAUCCUUAUUCGGCACACCGUGAAUGGAAGUAAAUCUAGGGGAGAUCUGCAUGCAAAACCCACUCUCUUUUCAUUUUCUUUUUUUCUUCUUUUUCCUUUCUUUUCGUUUCUCUCCUGGUGCGUGCUCCCCCUUUUCCCUUUGCAUCUCUUAAAACCCUCAAAUUGUAGGUUCUGUUUUAAUUUUGUCCCAAACUUUUUUUUAUCUCAUAAAAUCCUUAAUUUUAGACUAAAUGUUAAAUCAUCCCAUAAUUUUUUUGUCUUAAAAAAUUUUGAACUUUGUAUUUAGUUUCAAAUUCGCCCCGAACAAGGGCAAGAACCUCAAGUAAAAAGAAGAGUGGUGGCCUCAAGUGAAGUAAGGACUGGUAGGACCCAGCCAUCGGGCAAAGGGAUAGAUAGAAAAAUAAAUGCUAUUUAAUUUCAUAUCCGCCCCGUGAUUAAAAUGAGUGAAGCUCCUCGAUUUUCUCUUCCCUUUUUUAUAUGGGUCUGCUCUCCUGAAACCUCUCGAAUUUUAAAUCCAAUUUUAAUUCUACCCCAAAACUUUUUAUCUAAAAAAAAUCUUUAACUUUGGAUUCAGUCGUAAAUCUUGGAUUCAGUCGUAAAUCUACUCCCAAUUCUUUUCUCUGAAAAAUUCAAAAUUAAUGUCCAAUAAAAAAUAUGCCGACAUUUUUUUAUCUGAAAAAAAUCAAUAACCAAUCUCAAAUUUACCUCAUUAAUCCUACGCUAGACAAUAUUGUUACUUGUUUGACGUGGCAAUAAAAAAUCCACUUUUAAAAAAAUGACAUGGAAAAUUAUAUCCAAAAUGAAACUGUGUUUGAUUAGAAAAUUGGGAAUCAGUCCACCUAGAUUAGUUCACUAAUCCAAUUCACUAGCAAAAAAGGGCACACAAAUAUGUGAUUGAUUUAGAUUAUCUAGGGAAAUGAAUUUAAUUUCUUCAAGGGUCGAAAGCAUUUAAUCAAUCUAAUGAAUAUGUUUUUGAUUAGUUUUGUCGCUAAAAAAUUUAUUAGGAUUAAAAUCUAAUUCACAAGAAUAUGAUGAUCAAAAGUUUACUGUCUUAGAACAUUUGUGCAUAUAAUCACCAUAUAAGCGUGUACAUAGGAGCUUGUACCCUUCUAGAUUAUCAUUUUGUCGAAACACAGUAAUAAAAUCAUCUUAUAACAUGCAAGAGCAUGACCAUUUCAUAAUAUUAAAGAAAAUAAAGUCAAAUUUAUUGAUUUCGAAAUAUAUAUAUAUAUAUAUAUAUAUAUAUAUAUAUAUAAACUCAACAUAUUUGAAAUUAAAUACUUUAUUCUAAAAAUGAUAAUAAUCCGAAAGAUGAGACUACUUUUGAUACUAUGUAGGUAAGGAAAUAGCUCUAUAAACUUUGUGGAAUUUUUUGACCAAAAAAACUUUGUGGAGUUAGAAUUAUUUAAGUUUCUAUGGUUAAAAAAGCUUUAUUUAAGUUCUAAACAUUAUCUAUUUAUACAAAUAUAAAACUGAAAACUUGAGAAUUUCUUGUGCUCUCUCAAAAAAUUCACUAUAUCUUUAUUGGGUUUGUUUGUUUUACUAAAAGUAUUUUACCAAAAAGCAUUUUCCUGAUUUUCAAUCAUUUAAUUCUUUAAAAAAGAUUUGAUCAACGAAAAAUAUUUUAUCGUCAACACAAAUAUUAUGUAUUAAUUUAGAAAAACGAAUUCCUCCUCCUCAGCUGAAAAUACUUUCCCUUUUCACCUUCUCACCUUUUCUCUCCAGACUCUCUCGCUUUUCUUGAGGUACGCGGCUCUCUCCCUUCGAUCUUUUGCUCAUCUUUCUUCCUCGGUUCUUCUUCAACGACGCACAUCUUCUUCGCCAUUGAAGGUCCUGAUCUUCUUCAUCAUUGACGGUCUGGAACUUCUUCAACGACGCUCAACACGGUUCCAGGUUCUUUCGCUUUUUCUGAGGUAUGCUGUUCGCUCUCCCUUCGAUUUUUCGCUCGCCCUUCUUCUUCGGCUCUUCUUUACCGACGCUCAUCUUCUUCACCGUCGCCGUCCCCUUCCCUUCCCUUCCCCCGCCGAUUUCUUCGAAAUUCCGCUCGUCGUUCCGAGAGUCGUCCCCUUCCCCUCGUCGAAAUCUCUCUUCCGUCCCGAAGUCUCGUGUCCAUGGAGAACCUGGAGUACCCGCUGCUGUCCCCGGCCUUGAACGGUUCCGCGGUGAAGGACCUGUAUUUGUAUAAGAAGGAGUUCAGUUUGCUCCCGAAGUGGGUCGGGGAGCUGCGGAGGCUGAAGACUCUGAGUUCGCUCUCUACUUAGUAACUGUCGCUCUCUUCGUGCGGCCUCUUCGGUCCAGCCCUGCUUGAUCUUUUGGUGGCGAUCUGUUCUAGAGUCCUUGCGCUUUUAAUGGGUGAUCGCCUGUGGAGACAGCUAUUUCUGGAUCCAAGAGUGAUCUAAAGAUCCCAAAAAAAAAAAAAAAGUGAUCAUCACGAUUUCCUUUUGAGUUCGACCUGAUUGUUUCUCGGCCUUUUGGUUCCAUGGGUUCUGCGAUCGCUAUUCCUAUUAGCUAAUUCACUUGAUGAAUGGCCUGAAAUGUAACCGGAAAUCAUGUCCAUUUUCAGGAAAAAAAAAAACGUGUACGAAUUCUGGUUUCCUUUUCAUUUUUCAUUUUGCAAGUUCAACUUCUAGAUUAACUAAACCAAUCGAGAAAAAUCCAUUUAUUAAGUAUCAUAGACUCAACAAAUUAAUUUGAAAAUAAGAGGCACCAAAUGUCAUUUAAUCAUUUUUCAAAUACAAUCUAAAUAUCAGAAAAUAUUGUCAGUCAAAACUUUAGUUUUUCUGGAAAAUGAUUUUCCAAAAAAUAUUUCUUAAAAAUAUUACAUUUUUCAUGAAAUAAACACAACUAUUAUCCAAUGCCAUAAAAAUACCUCCACGCAUCUUUCAUAGUUCGUUAAUGUUCCAGGACGAAGGAAAAAUGGUUCUGAUUGUGGGGCUUGCAUUUAUGCCAAAAGUAUUAUUUUUUCACAAAAAAGAAACAGGAUUUAGGCCUCAUCUAUUUUCUCUUCUUCCCAGUUUUAGGCUAACCGUGAGGUUUCAUUUUUAGUGACCCGUUUUAUUAGAUCAGGUGGGCUCCGGCCCUGGCGCUGGUUCCAAAGAUUAGUAAUUAGUUUAGUUCUUGAUUACAAAAAUUAGUAAUUAGUUUAGUUCUCGAUUGUACAUAGGAUUAGACAUGGAAUCGACCAUUCUAAUUUACUGUAUCAGAAUAGCAAUUCUCUUUUAUUUUUGGUUUUAUUUUUUGUCAUUCCUGUGCACCGAAACUUGCUCACAUAUUAUCUUCUUCCCAAGUAGGAUUGCCUUGAAUUCUCCACCGCAUUAAAACUUCCACCACAUGAAGGCAAUGCGUGAAUAUAAUUGGUGCAUGCCAACCAGAUAAAUCAAAUCAAUAAAAAAGUUAUAUGUAUGAUAAAGAAAAGCAAAAGUAAGAAGGCAUUUGGAUUUAUUUAUGAGAUUUGAAGGAUAAAUUAAGGUUUGACAGAAAAAAAGAAGGGAAAAUUAAGGUAGAACAAGAACCAAAAAUACAUUAUAUAUUUAUUUAUUUUGUAUCCGAGCACACGUAAAUAAUACAAUUUUUUUAGAAUAAGUGAUUGUUGUAAUACAACAUUUCAGUAUUAAAAUGAAGUUUAUUAGUUUGAUGGUAUAAUUUUUAAAAGGCUUAAAAUAAGAAGGGUAAAUUCCAUAUGAGAUUACGACCAAAAAAAUUCGUAAGUGGAAUCAAGAGCUGAAAUAUAAUUAACAAAAAUACCUUCUCUUAUGGAAAACAAAUGAGAAAAAGAAAAGGAUGGUUCGACGGUGCAAGCAAUGGACUAAGCAGGGGACUCUUCACUGCCACGACGCUUUGAUGUUUUUUAUAUAUUCCGAGCACUUGUUUGGAAAAUAUCGGACAGGACGAAACUCUCUCUCUCUCUCUCUCUCUCUCUCCCAUCUUUCGUCUUCUCCUGCAAAUCCCUGUCACAGCCUCAUCAUAAGUUUCUCUACGCUUUUCAUCUUCCGAACAAAUCCACCGCUUCGUGUGUAUUGAAAUUUUAACAGACCACGAUAGAAGAGGCAAGAAGGCAUUUCCUGUUUUCUGAGGGGCAUUCUGGUUUUUUUCUCCGUUAGGGCUUGAAAGCUGAACUCAAUGGCAGAGUCAGAGGCCGAAAUGCAUCGUCUCAUUAAGAAGAGGAAAACUAAUGCGAGUGGAAAUGCAGAGGAUGUUGAUACUGGUGCAUCUGGUUCAAUGACUGUGCUGACGGAAACUAAUUUCGUUGGAUCUGGUUCGUCUCCGACAGAAAGUAACAAUAAUGCAUCGACUGGAAACUGCUAUGAGGUGUUCUUGAGUUUCAGAGGCCUAGAUACUCGAUAUGGCUUCACUGAUCACCUCUACGAUGGGCUCCUUAGAGCCGGAAUUCACACUUUCAGAGACGAUGAUGAGCUUUGCCAUGGCGAGGACAUCAGACCAGUGCUUAUGGAAGCCAUCACGAGCAGUAAGAUCCUGAUCCCAAUUUUCUCAGUGAAUUAUGGUACAAGUAGUUGGUGCCUAGAUGAACUGGUUCAAAUAAUGGAGCGCAAGAAUAAUAACGGGCAGAUAGUGUUGCCUAUAUUCUACAAAGUGAAACCAGCCGAAGUGCGAUAUCAAACCGGGAGGUUUGGAGAGGUAUUUCAUGAGCGCGAGAGUCGUUUGCGUGAGAGGUCUUCUUUCGACCCAACGACUUUGGAGAAAUGGAAGUCAGCACUUGAUGAAGUCAGCACCUUGAAAGGAUACGAAGCCCUAGGGUAAAAUUUCUCACCAAAACAUUCUCUAUUUUCUUUUAAUAUGUGUGGGUGUUUCCUGGUUGUUCUAAGUCCUUUUUUUUUUGUGUUAGUAUGUUGGUUGUUCUAAUUCUCACCUGCUUCAUUUUACAUUCUUUUUUUAUAUAUAAAAAAACUGUAAGAUCUUGCUGGCAGUAAGAUCCUACGGUGCAUGAAUUCUAUAAGUUAUUCUUUCUUUUUUAGUUUUCUGCUUUAACCAUAUUGACCAAUCUAAUUAUAAAUUUUAUUGUUAUGAUCCCAUUCACUUGCAUAAUAAGAUUUUUUGAAUGAAAUUUUACUCUUAUAUCAUAAGAUUUUGUAAUAGUAUAAGAUGAUGGUAAAUUUUUUUUUGCUUUAACGAAUUUACUCUUAUAUCAAAAGAUUUUUUACUCUUACACCCCAUUCACUUAAAUAAAUUUUAUUGCUUUGAUGAUAUUGACCAAUCUAAUUAUAGGGUACGUUACAUUAAUCUUCAUCACAAAAUUUUCUAAUUACAUAUUUAUUUGAGAUUAAUAGUACAACUCAUUGGUGAUUAGAUGGUAGCGUUCAAGCUUUGCUAUAAUUCUUUAUCUUCCCAAGUUACAGUUAUUAAAUCAUUGAUAAAGUUGAUUAGUUAUUAUUAAAAUUAUUUUACAAAAGAAAUGUUUCAUUGGUCAUAUAAGAUGAUGACCAAAAAAUGAUUAUUUUUAUUAUGUCUGUUUAAAUAAUUUUCAAAGCAUUUCCUAUCUUCAACAAGUAAUUUCUAUCUCAUGCAUCUGCAUAUAUUGAAGCAAUGUUCUUUUUUGGGUAAAAAUUAUUCUUCUACUUCCCUAUAAACUCAAUACUAGAUCAUUAAAGUCAUAGAACAUGGAUACUCAAAAGGAAAAUAAAGUACAACUUGUAAUCAUACCUAGAGGCAAUGAAAACUGAUAAGAGCACCUAUCUAGAAUGAUUCUAAAUUCACAACACAAGUUAAACUUGCAAGCCUGUAGAAUUGCACAAACAAGAAGAAAUCCCUUCAAUUGCAUUCAAGUAGUUCACAAUAUCACAAUUUGAACAACUUUUUGGAUUGGUGUUACGGGACUUGAAUUCAUCUUGCAUCAAAAGUUAUGACUUGUUUAUUAAUUGAUAGCUAACUCUCAUAUUGGGCUGGCUCAUAGGAUUUUUGCUAUUCAAAUGCUCUAAACAAUUUUUAAAGUCACAUCCACAUCAUCCCUAAUAUCUUUAAUAAAAAACCAGUUUAAAAUUUGGUUCAAAUCCAUAAUAUAUACAAUAUUUAAGAUUCAUAAGUGAUACCCUCAAGUUUUUCCUGGCUUGAUAAAUUAUGUUGGAGUAACAGUGAAAUGGGGCACCCCAUUUGAAGCAACCACACUUUAGAUAUCAUUAUAUAUAGAGGUAUGACAACAGUGAUAUUUAAAUUUUUUCAAUCUAUCCCCAGAUUUAUUAUGUUCCCUAUAGAUAAACAAUAUAAAAUUAUUGUUGCUACAUAUUUGAACUCAUGUCACAUUUGACAGGUCUGAAGUAGAGUUGGUGAAAUUGAUCGUCCGAAAAGUGUUGAACGAACUGAAGAAAAAGUUUGACUUGGAUAUUUCUAAGAAUUUGGUCGGAAUUGAUGUUCAUGUGAAGAAGGUUAUGGAAUUUGUGGAUAACAAAUCUCAUGACACCCUAUUUGUUGGCAUCCACGGAAUGGGAGGCAUUGGUAAGACUACGCUUGCCAAAGCCAUCUACAACAGGCUUUUCGAUCAAUUUGAGCAUCAUAGCUUCAUUGCUGAUAUAAGGGAAUUGUGGAAGUGUAACGGCGUACAUUAUUUACAGAAUCAGUUAAUCUAUGAUAUAUUGAAGUUGAAAGAUGAAGUUUCUAAUGCGGAUGCAGGGACUAAGUUCAUCUCUUCCAAAUUUAAAAGUAAAAAGGUCCUUGUUCUUCUUGAUGAUGUGGAUGAUGUUGUUCAGUUGCAAAGUUUGAUUGGUAAUCGUGAUUGGUUUUCUUCGGGAAGCAAGAUCAUUAUUACCACCAGAAACAAGAGGGUUCUUGAAGAAGCUGGGGUGGACCAUGACUAUGAACAUAAGGAAAUGGAUGACAAUCAAUCUUUGAUUCUGUUUAGCAAACAUGCAUUUCGAAGGGACUCUCCUCCGAGGGAAUUUGAGGACCUCACUCUUGAAGCUGUAUCCAUCACUGGAGGGCUUCCCUUAUCCGUUGAGGUUUUUGGUUCAUUAUUGUAUGGAAAAAAGUCAAGACAGUGGAGAGAUACGAUAAAGAAGUUAAAAAAAGUCCCUCCUAAGAAAGUGCAAGAAAAGUUAAGAAUAAGUUACGAAGCAUUGGACUAUGGACAAAAACAAAUUUUUUUGGAUAUUGCUUGCCUUUUCAUUGGCACUAACGACAUAAUCGCAUCCUACAUGUGGGAUGCUUGUGAUUUUUACCCAGGGGAGGGAAUUGAUGUAUUGAUACUCAUGUCAUUGAUAAAAGUUGGAGAUGAUCAUACACUUAGAAUGCAUGACCAAUUGAGAGAUCUUGGUAGGGAAAUAGUUCGUGAGGAAAACCAACGAGAGCCUUGGUGCCGUACCAGGUUAUGGGACUAUAAGGAAGCCCAAAAAUUGCUAAAGGAAAAUAAGGUAACCGUUUCGUUUCUUGUUCCCAUUUAGUCCAUGUUCUAUGCUUAACAGUAUUGUUGGCACUACUUAGUGCUUGGUCUAGAGGACUGAGAACCUUCACUAUUGCCCCCGAAUUUUUCAUUGACGUGAUUAGAAAGUAGGGAGUUGCUCUCUUAUAGAAAGAAUUUCCUCUUAUGGUUUUUCUGUCAUAUAUUAAUAUUCCCUAUCACAUGAAAUUAAGUGUAUGUUGCAAUUUAUAUACAUAUUAAAUCUCUUGUUUGAUAUAUUAAUUAGUAAAAUCUUGUAUAUCACGCAUGACUCUUUCUCUUGAAAAAUGGCCCUCUUCGUUGAAAAUCUUUGUUUCUCUUUCGAGAUGACUUUCACAAUUUUCAUGUUCUCGUAUUAUGUUAAGUCAAUCCUUUUAAUAAAAACCACUUCACAUAGAUUUUUUUUUUUUUUUAGAGCCAGGUUACUUAACAGGUACUCCCAAAAUACCUUCAGACAAAAUCUAGAGGCUGAAGCAAAAGGGCGAGAUAGAUUGCUCGCCGCAACUAAUGAAAAAUCAAAAGUAAAUAUCCUGCUCUCCCGUCAAAUGAUCAAAUGAUACUCAGAUUCCAGAAAACUACUAAAAAAAUAAUCAUGUAAAAUUCGGCGUGUCGACAAGUUUCGCGGAUAUAUCACCCAAAAAAAAAAAAAAAUUGGCCAAAGUGCAUGCUCUGAGAAAAAACAAAAGAUGAAGAAUAAAAGUUACUCAAAACAAGCCUUUCUGAGUUAUUUCAAUUAUCCGAAUCGAUGGUGAGAAAUUAAUUUCUUUUAUCAAAAACAGUUAGGCCGGGAUAUCAUGGCCUCUUUAUUUUCCCCAUCCCGUUUUGAUUUUUGGAGUUGUUAGAACGGUUAUUUCCAUUUUGAAGUGUUAUGAAUGCGUUGAAUUUUUUUUAUUUAAAAAAGGGAGUUUUAUUUCUAGCUUUUUAAACUAUAUAUAUAUAUAUAUAUAUAUAUAUAUGUAUAUAUACAUACAUAUAUAUAAUUUUUUUUUUUUUUUGCUAGAAGUCUCCUUAAUAACACCGAAUCUGUGGUAAGUCUUGCUCGCCGACUCGCUGCUUCUGAGGUUUUUCUCCCUUUUAUCUAUCCUUUCACCCAUGCAUUGCUUAAUAGAAAAAGUCUCCUUAAUAGAAAUAUGAAAUUGACCAAGUAAAAUUUUGAUUUUGCACUUUGCAAUUUGAUUAUAUUCCGUGCUUUGCAUGCAUGUCUUAACUAGUGUGAUAAUGAAACUACAGUUCCAGAAAGAAGAAGAUUACAAGUUGUAAAGUUUUUAUACUAUACAAGCCAUUACAUCAUAAUUUUUUUUAAGAUUCCGAUGCGUAUGGCCAAAUUUCAAAAUGGAAGUCGACAUCCUUCACUUUGUGAGCUUUUAUAAUUGUAGUUUAUUGGCAUAAAAAGAAAAUCAUGUCUUCACAUUGCUGGUCUCUUAAACACAUUAAUACACACAUCAAUAGCAUUAUGAACAAAUGAUAUUCGAUGACUUUAGUUGGAUAUAGUACUAACGAACAUUGAUUCUUGUUUGUAGGGAACGGAAAAGAUUGAGGCUAUUAAUCUGAGUGAAGACAACAAAGAAGACUCCAACAAAGAAUUUUCGCCAGACAUUUACACAGAAAAACAAUUUAAGAAUUUGGCGAAUCUAAGAUAUCUUCAAAUGAAAAAAGCACAUCUUAGUGGAGAUUUUAAGGACUUAAUGAAGGGGUUAAAAUGGCUUCAAUGGCGAAGAUGUCCUGCGAGUUUUGAAGUAAACAAUUUUGAUGUAAAGGAAUUAGCUGUACUCGAAUUGCAAGGAAGUGCGAUAAAUGAGAAAUGGGGAGGAUGGAGUUUUUUCAAGGUAAGAAUUAAACUCUUUUUUUUUCCCUCUCCUUUUAUGCUUUCUUUUGAAUCAUAAUGACUCUAGACUCACCCAUCGACAUUCAUUAUUGUUUUUUUAUUUUUUUUCGUAGAUGGCAGAGAAGCUUAAUAUCUAGACCUUUCAAAUUGUGGGUUCUCUGGAAAAUACUGACUUCCUCUCAGCUUUUGAGAAGUUAGAGGUUCUCAUCCUCAUGGGGUGUGGGAGACUGAAGCGAAUCGACGCUUCCAUUGAAGACAUGGAGGGCUUUCUUCACUUGGAGCUGGGCUCGUCCCACGCGCUUCAUCUCGCGGUAGGCGCCAAACACCCCGUUCCUCGUUUCUGCCUCAGGGAGCUUCCAGCAGGAAUAGGUAAAUUAAAAGCACUGCAACAACUCGAUCUACGGCAUACUCAAUCGCUUUCUGCAUUACCAGAUAGCAUAGGGUCUUUGGAGAAUCUAGAGAUUCUAGAUAUUUCUUGGAGCGGUAUAGAAGAAUUACCCAAUGGUAUUAGGAGUCUGAGAAAGCUUCGAGAGUUACGUGCUUACUGUUGCAUGAAAUUGGAAGGGAUAAUGGUAGAAAGCAUGUGUAAUCUUUCUUCCCUACGACGCCUUGAUUUUGCAUACUGUAGGAAGCUCCAUUCGUUGCCAGACCUUCCUUCUGGCUUAACAUAUUUGGGUGUCACUUGUCAAAGUCGCAAAUUGCCUUCGCUUUCCCACCUAGCCCAUCUCAAGGAACUACAACUUCGGGAGUGCGGAUCUAUCGAGUGCAUCCAGGAGCUUCCAUCAACGCAAUUAAAGAGUUCAAAAUGCUCCCAACCGACGGACAUUGAAGAAUUGGAAUCACCACAAUCCCUAAACACACCCUUCAAGUUGGAAUCCUUGCUAGUUUGGAGCUGUGGAUCUAUGAAAACGCUGGACGUUUCACAGUUUGUCCAUCUAAGGACAUUAGUUGUCUGCAAUUGCACGAAUCUACUUGAAAUUCGAGUUUUUGACAAAUUGAUAUAUUUGGAAAGCUUGGCUAUCACAUGGUGCAAUUCAAUCAAACGAUUGGACCUUCCAAAAUUCGAGGGUCUGAAGGAAUUGAAGGUUCACCGCUGCGACAAAUUAGCCAAAAUUCAAGGCCUUGAUAGCUUGGAGUAUUUGGAAAGGUUAGAUAUUGAAGAUUGCGUUUCAAUUGAAAGGCUAGACCUUCCAAAAUUUGGGAGGCUGAAGAAAUUAAAGGCUAAAGGAUGCGUAAACUUAGCCAAAAUUCAAGGCCUUGAUAGCUUGGAGUAUUUAGAAAGGCUAGAUAUCAAAGAUUGCGCUUCAAUUGAAAGGCUAGACCUUCCAAAAUCCGGGAGGCUGAAGGAAUUAGAAGCUAGAGGAUGCGUAAACUUAGCCGAAAUUCAAGGCCUUGAUAGGUUGGAGUAUUUGGAAAGGCUAGCUAUCGAAUUGUGCACUUCAAUGGAAAGGCUAGACCUUCCAAAAUCCGGGAGGCUGAAGAAAUUACAAGCUAGAGACUGCACAAACUUGGUUGAAAUUCAAGGACUUGAUAGGUUGGAGUAUUUGGAAAGAUUAGAUAUCUCUUGGUGCACUUCAAUGGAAAGGCUAGACCUUCCAAAAUUCGGCAGGCUGAAGAAAUUACAAACUAGAGACUGCACAAACUUGGUUGAAAUUCAAGGCCUUGAUAGGUUGGAGUAUUUGGAAAGGCUAGAUAUCUCUUGGUGCACUUCAAUGGAAAGGCUAGACUUUCCAAAAUCCAGGAGGCUAAAGAAAUUACAAGCUAGACACUGCACAAACUUGGUUGAAAUUCAAGGCCUUGAUAGGUUGGAGUAUUUGGAAAGGCUAGAUAUCGAAGGGUGCACUUCAAUGGAAAGGCUAGACCGGACGCUGAAGAAAUUACAAGCUAGAGGAUGUGUAAAAUUAGCUGAAAUUGAAGUUACGGGAACGGAAUAUCAUCGGAUGCAAGUCGCUCAAAACAAUUCCAGAAUUAUCUGGAACUCAAAUUUAUCGAUCAAAAAGCGAUGAAUCAGACUAUAAAUCAAACGAUACGGAUGACUCGAAUGAGUCAAUAUCAUGGAAAUAAUCCCCAUUUACUAUCAAAGGUACAUAGAGUAGGUAAGUUACCUUUGUUCUUUUGAGAUCUACUAUCCAAUUUUCAUUUGUAUUUCCUGCUCCCAAUAUCUUUCAAGAUUUAUGAUCUUCUCAUAUGUUGAAGAGACAAUUAUCUCACUUGCAAACAUAUGUGGGCGGGAAUAUUAUUUCCUAGCUGACAGUGUCAUCAUUGUCUCCUUACUUGAAUUCAAGGAAUUGAGGGGAGAUAUCCAUGGAAAUUGUUGUGUGCUUUGGCAACAAGAUUUUGCUUAUCAUGCCAGUAAGGGAAAUAGAUGGAAAAGGCUUUCUAAGUGCUUCAUUUGUCAUUAGUUUUCGGGUAAGAUCCUUCAUCCUAUGUAGAAAAUAAAGAUUCUCAACGUUUGAUUGAUUCUGGGAAUGUUGGAAGUAGUGCAUAAAAACUGAUGUAUACAGGUAUCUGAUAACAUGCCAAAGGUCAUUAUAUAGGUCGAGAAAUGAAAAAUGAAGGACCCAAUAGGGUGGUCCUCCUAAUUGAGGUUUUAGUUUGCUCUGCCCUUACCAUGUGGCUCAUGACUGCAUGUUUCUAAGUUAUGCUUAAGAGUUAAUUUACAGUGCAAAUGGAGCAUGUUGACAGGGCAUCCCUUGGCAUCAAUUUAUUGAGUUCCACACAUUUUAUUUCACAGAACUAUCUGCAUUGGCUGAUUAAAGUAACCGUAUCAGUUUAGAAAUGCUAAAUGCAAGAACAAGUUCUUCUUCUAGUGGUGUGGGCUUGAGUGAAUUAAUAAACAGGGAAGAAGCAAAAGCAUUGUGAAUUAUUUGGAUCGAUCUAGAAAAUUGCAAUUCGAAUUUUAUUGACUAUGGAUCCUUGUUCAUUUGGUUUGAAUCCAGAAUAUACCUACUCCAAGGCUAAUAAUAGAUUAUUCCAGAGAAUGCAUCUUGAUGUUUGUAGAGUUGGUAAAGCCAUCUGUCAUAUACUUGAACUUUUGAGCUAAGCAAGACAUUACUACAAUGUCCUUUGACAUAAUCAUCUGUACUAUAAAAUAAUUCCUUAUAUUGUGCAUAAGCUCUUGUUAGUUCAUUUACUUGCUGAAAAGUAAAAGAUAGGAGGCAUUUGUAUAAGUUUCCUGAGGAAACUUUUUGAUAUCCUAUAUGCCAUUUGAAAACUGCCUUGCAUUAAUUCUAAUGCAUGAAUAGCAUGUAAUGAUAAGGAAGAGAAUCAUACUAUGUCCCACAAAAGCAAGCAACUUGAGUUGAAUUAACUAUGUUAACUUGAUAGAUGCCUGGAUGAUGAUCUUGCAUACCAGUGACGUUCCAUUUAUGCAUAUUUCAGGAAACUCUUGUGCAAUUAACUGGGAGUUGGACCAAUUGAAGGUAACAUGUGGAUCUAGAGUUUGCAUAAUGAUUCCUUACUUGUGAGAAAUAUAGGAUGCUCCUGAGUUCUAUUUGUUCCUAUACAUGUCAAUUCCCAAUUUAAGACAUUGAUGGCAAAAAGGAAAAACUAGGAUAUUGUGCUGUUCUUUUGAGUUUGGUUUCACAGCGGAAAUAAUAGUGGUCAACAACUGGUGGUAUCCACCCUGUCGAACAAGUAACCAUGUGUACUUGUCAACUGGUAACCCAUCAAACCUGUCAACUAGUCUGGACCAAUUCUAGGCCUUCCAAAAACGUUAAGGAAGGGUGUUGAAAUUGGGUUGGGGUUUGGAACUCCAACCUCUUGUAACUAAAAGGCAUGCCAACCAUCUGCUUUGGUAUCUUCUUGCUUCAUUUUGUGGUGGAUAAUUUAUUUAUUGACCGUAUUGGCUUAGUCUAUUAAAAAUUUGAACGAUUCUAUCGAGAACAGGAACCUUGUCUUUUGUGCUUAAGCAGCUUUGCCGAGUGAACUGGGCUUCUUUUGUUUAGGAAAUUUGUAUUCUAUUAGACAACAUAACAUGCAAUUGGUUCAACUGGUCAAACUGUCAGAGCAUGGUUCUACUAGUUUGACUGGUUAAACCACUAGUCCGGUUUUAAAAAUGUUUAUUCUUUUGUUCUUCCUAUUAUGUAUCUGCUCUCCUCAUCAGCGUGAGAAGUGGCAGCUUAGUUUUUCCUCCUAUAUGCAUAUACAUCCUAUUUCAUGCCUGCAAUUUUAAAGGAUGUUGUACUUUCUGCCUUAAUAUAACUGCAAAAGUUGUGUUGACAGUUGGUGCCUUGUACUUGAAUGUUUGUUAAGGAAUGUGCAUUUGAUGACCCUAAUGGGUUAGUAGUGCCACUUUUGCUUCUAUUUUGUGAGAACACUUUUGCUUGGUUGUCUCAUUCUCACUUCCAAAACACUAACCCAGUGAAAAUACACAUCUUGGACUCUAUCUUACACCUAGAGAUGGAGAAUGAGAAGAUUUGCUGCAUUCCCCAUACUGUAGUUCCUCCUUGGUAGUGGUAAAAUUUCUUUACACCGCCAUACAAUUGAGCUAAGGAUCAACUCAUUGUAAUGCCAUCAAUUGCAUACUCUGAAAAUUAUUUUCCUUGAGCUUCUUACCAUGUCCAUUUGCAGUUUGGAUUUUUGGAAACUUCUUGUUGCCCAUAGUCUUUCCUUUCUGUAUCAUUUUUUUGAUAAACUCGCCAGUAUUAGUAACAAAUUUAUUUCAAUGACUAAGUGGUGGAGCUGUAGCUGGAAUUAUCCUGUCCAUGCUCCUUACUAAGUUUCCAUUUUUACAACCUACUCUUAAGUUUAAAUAUGACUGGCAUAGGUAUGUUGUGCCUCUUUAAUGGACAAUUCAUGCUUGUUCCGAUGGUUGAAAACGUGCAAAUUUAUGCUCCGAAGAAUAUCUUUUUCAUUUCAUGAAGUACAAUACUGAACUAUUAGGUUUUCCUGUAAAUUUUAGAUCAAUUGGGAGGUCAAAGUGCGAAAAAAAAUGAAUCUUUAGUGGCCAGACAAUACAGAAAGAAUAAUUAUCUUCUUAUGGUAGGUUCAUUGUAGUUUGAGUUACUGACUGAGAACUAGUGCAUACAUGUUCAUGAUGAUAGACACUAUCAGGGUCUUUAGUGUAGAAAGAUACUGUAGAGCAUUCAUGGUUCACAUGCAUACGAUAGCCUCUUCAGUACACAAGUAUUGCUUCCACCUAUGUUUUAGCGUGAUGCAAGUAUUGUACUUAUUACUUUUACCUAACAGAGGUAUUUAAACAUCACAUUAGUUAUGGCCAUAUUAUAGGAACAUCGGAGUGAAAUCAAGUUGAGUUAUUUGUUUUUGGCUACAGCAAGCAGGGGCGUGGCUUGUGUUUUGGUUGCAAGAAAGCUAGCCCCGGUCUACAUACUUGGAUGAGGAUGAAGAUGAAUUCUCAGAUUCAGAACGAAUGUCUACUGUGGGUGGACCUCUAUUGCUAGGGACAGUCUCACCUGGUAAUUGCUUCAAAUUGAGAAAGCUCUCUCUUUUUUCUAUUUAGUGUGUGAAGUGCUUGAAUGUCUUAAUUGAGAACAUGAUUUUGAAUUGAGGAGUGGUGUUUUACAGAAAAANNNNNNNNNNNNNNNNNNNNNNNNNNNNNNNNNNNNNNNNNNNNNNNNNNNNNNNNNNNNNNNNNNNNNNNNNNNNNNNNNNNNNNNNNNNNNNNNNNNNGGUUCCGAGUGGAAAUGGAAUCUAGAUCUAUCUAGUUUAUGUGUGUGAUGUACUGAUAUUACGAUUAUAUAUGGUGUUUAUGUGCACUGAUAUUUGUUUCGGCGGUAUCUAAUUUUGUUUGGUCAUAAGGAAAGUAAAACACGAGGUAACUCAGGAUAUUAUCAUCAUCCUUACAAAGAAAUGGAUAGUUAAGGUAGAGCAAUUUCGAGGCAGUUUUCUUAGAAAUAACUUUAGACUUUACGUUAUGGAAGAACUUCCCUGCUGAUAAUUUUUAAUGCUUGAAAAAAAAAAAGGAUUGCCAUCAACUGAACAACAUGAUGCCUCGUACUCGGAAGCCUAAAUUAUCUUGUUCAUGCUUCAGAUUUCUACUCAACCUGUAAGUAUCGUCUAUCUUUCAGUAAAAAGUCCCUAAAAAUCUAUGUAGUUCAGAUGUUGAAAGUUGUGAGGCAAAUUUGUUGCAAAAUUUUAAACAUUGUCGCAUGAGUCACUCGUCAUUUUUGUUCUCAACUGCUUAAGGCCUGCUUAGUUUUAGAGAACAGCUUUAGUUUCCAUUGUCAUAGAAACCGUUUUCGAUGUUUUGUUGACAAAAUAUUUGUUUAAUGAAAAUAAUGUCAUUAGGGAUGAAAAUUGUGAGAAUAUGCUCAGGUUACAUCACAUUCAAAAAACAGGCUUAUUUAUUCCAGAUCUGCAUGUUUGCAUUUAGAAUCGGAAUACAAAAAAGUCAUCUUUAGUUUGUGAUUUUGAUUCUGAGAAUAGUUUUCCUUUUAUUUGUCAACUGCUUUUGGAGUGUUACCAAACACAUUUUCUGGUCUGUUUUAAUUCUCAAAUUGAAAUCAGAACAAACUUUUGAGAAUCUUUAUCAGCCAAAUGCCUCCUUAGAUUAUCAAUCUCUUUCUGUCUGCAGAAAAAAUGGACUUCAUCAAGUUGCUUAACAGGCUUUGAACAUUGAAGAUUGCUUCAUGUCAUCCAGGCAUCAUUAUAUGUAAUGCAUAAGCAGUGGGCUGAUGCCAUUAACAUAUUUUGAGAGGAAGUUUGAUUUGCUGUCCAACCUUGUUAGUGACCAUGGCAAGUGAUACUUUUAAUUCAAAGCGGUAGAUGGCGUUUCUUUUUUCUUCAUUUAACUAUUUUCGUUUGCUUAUCUAGGUCUUGACUCUUUCCCUCAAGAGGAAUUUUCCAAUCUAUCAGUUUCGUGUUAAUUCUCUGGAUGAAGUGGUAUGGCUAAUUUUUUAAGCUCUGGUGCUGCUAUAGGACCUUGGCCUCUUUGGUUGGUUUUUAUGAUCUCAAUCUGCUAGUUUGUCCAGUGAUAGUGCAUGAAGUGUGUAUCACAAGUUGUUUGUGGUGCUGGAAAAGAACUUCUAUUGGUUGUCCUCAAUCAUCUGUGGUGUGCGUUAUUAUCUUUGCAUCUGGCCUUUUUCCUUCAUGCAUCUCAAUGAAUCUUGGAGGUGAUCGGAUAGAGAUAGGAAUUUGCUACAAGAAAUUAUUCUUCUACACAUCUUGAGAGAAGCCAUAUUUUUUAGAACAUCCUGAUGUCGAUUCUUCAAACAAUCAUAUUGUAUGCAAUGAUAUGAAUUAUUAAUAGUAAGUGACUGGAAAGGAUCAAGUAAAAUCUGAUUUGAGUUUGAUUCAAUAAGUUGGCAAUAUCUCCUAUAAGCGUAUAAUGGAAAUUGUAGGUCAUUAAUCAUUGGUUUGAACUUGAACUUGAUCUAAGUUUGAGCUUUGAGUGUACUGUACAUGGAGAUUUGGAUAUAGAAUGUUUAUACGUUCACAUUAUAAUUAGCGGGUGUAGAGAUAUGUUCUCAAUUUAAAAGGAAAGAGUUUAUUGCCCACUUCGAUCUUAGCAUAUAUCCCCUUACAAUUGCGAGAGUCAAUUUUUGUACCAAAUAAUCAUAUUCAAAGCUUUGUACCCAUCGAUAUUACUAUUAGAGCCUGGGGGAAAUUAGACUUAUUUAUAUUGCCAAAUUCCACCCAUUGAACUCAAUGUAGUUAGUUUCUUUCCUUUGUUAUGUUUAUGGUCAACAAGCUAAGGAUGAAAAUGAAAACUCAGAUCUUCAAAGAAAUGAGCAGAAAACUAACUGGUGGGUGCUCGGAUGACAGUGAAUCGAGCCUACAUGGAUCUAAUCUAUGAUGCUUAACCAUGGUUAUGAAAGCCUCUGUUCUUAAUCAUUUGUUUAGUACUUAGAUGUGAGAAUUGAUUAUUUUGUAUCAUUAUUUUUAUCUUUAGAUCACGAUUUUUGAUAUACCACCUCUUUUUUGGCAGACCAAUGUUGAGGAUGUCAACUCCUAGUAUUGAAAUUGGUUUUACUAAGUUGCAUGUCACAUAGAUUCAUAUUAGGUGUUUGAGACCUACUAAUGCAUUAUACUCGCAUUUUUCCUCUUCAAAUCAGUUUUGUAUGCUACUUUUAGUCCCUAGUAUUGCUUCUUUUCUGGUAGUAUGUUGGUAGCUCUUUGGAUCCAACGUUUCUUUUGAACUUUUUCGAUCUUGACUUUUAGUAGUAGCGGCACCCUUUUGUCAUGGUGACAUUACUCGCAAAAAAGUGAGAUGUUGAUGUUGGUACUUGAAAUUAUAUGAUGAGAUAACAUGUGUUAGAAUAAAGAGCAAUUGGAAUAACUUAAAAUCCUCAAAAAAGUGUGAAGUUUCUUUUUAUAGAUUAUAUAGUUCACCUGUAGGGCACCUAUGGGGUGCAACCCAUAUACCAAAGGAGCCCAAAAAACUAAAGCCAUAUACAAAACAACUCCCAAAGCCAAAAGGGAGCUCAAAUACCGGGUCAAUCAUCGACUAAUCAACCAAGGCAUUUACAUCCAUAUGCAAGUUUGCAUUAUACCAAAACUGUGUGACUUUAAGCCAAAUUUCCAUAAAAUGGAACAGACGAUUUCUCUCCAUCAGAAGCUCUCUUGCUCGACGCCUUCCAAAUCAGCCAAAAGAAACAGGGGAAUUGAGUUAAUCCCACUUGUUGUGCUGUAAAUGAAUGCCCUGCCAUGCCCAAAGUUCUUGCUCAAUAAAACCUCUGAUAACCCAAGAUAACAUGGCACAAGCAUAGGAAACUUUCCAAACCAUUCUUUCCAAGAACAAUGAAGGAGGGGCUGCCGUGCGGACUCUGCCUCCUUUUGAUGAGGAAACACCUAUUAACCAGUAUUUUGUCUCAUUUAUAAAGUAAGGAUUUGUUCCCAGGUUGCUUCCCAAGCAAAAAGAGACUAAUUGGAAUUCUCACUUUCCAAAUCGAUUUCUGAGGAAAAUCUGUUUUGCCACGAAUCUCCCUAUUGAGCAGCUUUUCCACCCUUCAAAUCUGGUCCUCGUUGAUGAUAUGAGCACCAAAUGUGAAAUUCUAGAUCUCUGUGUGUAACAGGAGUUUGAGUGUGAUACCUGGGCUCAAAAUUGGUUUUAUGUAAAUAUUGCAAUCCUUUAAUUAAAAGUUUGUGCUUUUGGUUUUAGCCGACUCAUCAAUUAUUUGGGCUGAAAUAUUCAUUUCUCGUUUAGCUAAUUCAGGACUUCUGUUAAUGGAUUUGUAGAUAUUUCUAUCCAAAUGCCUAUUACCAUAAAGUUUUCCUAUAUUUUUCAUUUCCUUGUCUUAGUGGCCAGAACCUUGAAACUAUAAUGAGAGAAGGAAAAGGAAACCCUUGGGGGUUAGGGGUUGUCUUCUGGAGGUUGUCCUUAAUAAUGGUUUUUCACUUACCCUUUGUCUAAUAAUCUAGUUUUUCGUAUUUGAUGUUUGAUUACCGUGAGAUUUUGUGGGACCACUAUCAACUAUUUUAAAAGCUUAAGCUGAUAGAUGAAGGCGUGGUUUAUUAUUUAAAUAUUAUAACACUCCCCCUCACGCUUAGUCUGGUCUUUUUGCCUAGUACUAAACGUGGAAAUUUAAUUGGGGAGACAAAUAGGGGCCUGGAAGAUUCGAAUUCAGGACCUAAACCAUGUGAUAUUUUGUGGAACCACUGCCAACUGUUAUAAAAGCUUAAGUUGAUAAAUGAAUGCGUGGUUUAUUAUUUAAAUAUUCUAACAAUUACUUAACAAUGUACAUGGAAGCUUUAGUUGGGCAAUUUUAUUUGCGCUCUCUGUUUAACUUAUGAUCCUUGUGUAUGGAAAUACUGUAUCUCAUGUUUCCUGAUUAGAAACUAAUUUGAUAAUCACAUUUUCAAGGAAGCUGCCCAUAUGCCUUCUCUUCUAUUUUGAAGAAGAUACUUUGUAAGAAUUUAUUGCUACAAUUCCCUCUUAUGUUAGUUUUAGCAUCCACCAAAUAUAUUCCCAAUUCACUGUCCUUCUAUAGGGUAUAUACCUUUAAUCUGAAACUACAAAUAUUAUCCAGAGAUCCACAUGUGCAGAGUCCAACUGUUUUUUCAUGCUAAUCAUUACUCUGUAUGGUAUUGCAGGAUGACUUCGAAUUUGCUUCAGAUUAUAUUUCCUUCCAAAUACAUGAAGUCUUUUUUAGAUGUAACAAAUUGUGUAGUGGUAGUGAGUGGACUUAUGAAUGAUUCAAGCAAUGUGAAGAAGGGAAGAUCUUCGGAAGGAUCUUGUUGUGCAUCCCUCUUGGUCACUGUUGUGUGGAUUAGACUCCAUCUGAGGUAAAAGCUUUGUAUAUCAUAUUUUGUGGCCCAAAUUUGCAAGUAUGGCUAAUAUGUUCUGUUGGAAGCAGGAACAUCAAAUUAUUACGUUGCUAAAUAAGAUGAAUGACACAGGUGAAAACUUGGGAGAUGCCUAGAUGACAAUCCUGCAGGCUAGUGACCUUCCAUUUGUGCAUAUUGCAGGAACCACGUGUGCAAAUAACUAGGAUUUGUACCAGUUGAAGGUUACUCAUGGAUCUGGAGCUUGCAUAUUGAUUACUUACUCAUGAUAUCUAGAGUUCUAUUCCAAUCAUGUCAAUUCACUACUUAAGACAUUGAUGGCAAAAGGGAAAAAGUAGCAUGUCGUGCUUUUCUGUCGACUCUUGUUCAUGUCAGAGUUUUAAGAAGUGGCCCUGGUUGGACUGGGAACCAGACCAGUCCAGUCUGGUUUCCCAGCAAAAAUAGUAUUGAUUAAGAACUGGUGGUAUUGACCAUGUUCAACCGGUAACCAGGUGUACCUGUCAACUGAUACCCAGCAAACCUGUCAACUAGUCUGGACCAGCUCUAGGCCAUAAAAAAGUUUAAAGGAGUAACGUUGGAAUUGGGUUGGGGAUUGGCACUCCAACCUCUUGUAACUAACAAGUGUGCCAACCAUUUGCUCUAGUGUCUUCUUGCUACAAUCGUGGUGGAUAAUUUAUUUAUUGACCAUAUUGGCCUAAUCUAAAAUUGAACAGGAUGCUAUUAAGAUGGCAUCAAGCAUGUGUAAUCUAUUAAGAUGCUACAAUGUUUGCCAACUCACUGGGCUUCUUUUGUUCUAAAAGUGUGUAAUCUAACAUAUGCAAAGUAUUCUAUCAGAUGACAUCACAUGCAAUUGGUUCAGUCGGUCGAACUGGAAGAGCUCGGUUCUACCACUUUGAUUGGUUGAACCACUGGUCUGGUUUUAAAACAUUUGUUCUUUUAUUGUUCCUAUUUAUUAGUUAUCUGCUCUUCUCAUCAGCACGAUUAGCAGCAGCUUAGUUUUUCCUCCUAUGUGCAUGAUGCAUACACAUGUCAUUACAUGCUUGCAAUUUCAAAGGAUGUUUUACUUUCUACCUUACUGUAACUGCAAAAAGUUCCAACAUGCCUUGACAGCUGGAGCCUUGUAUGUAGGUUAAGAAAUGUGUCUUUGAUGGCCCUAAUGGUUUAGUAGUGCCCUUUUUGCUUGUAUUUUGUUAGGAUAUUUUUGCUCGGUUGUAUUAUUCUCACUUCUGAAACACUAAUCCCGUGAAACUGCACAUCUAGGACCGUAUCUUAUGCCUGGAGAUGGAGAAUGAGAAGCUUCGCAGCAUUCCCUGUCCUGUAGUUCUCCCCUGUCAGUUGGUGGUAAGAAUAUUUUGACACUGUCAUACCAUCAAGCUAAGGAUCAAUUCAUUGCUAUGCCAUCAAUUGUGUAGUUCUGAAGGUUUUUUCUUUGGGCUUCUUGCCAUGUCCAUUUGCAGUUUUGGAUGUCUGGAAACUUAUUGUUGCCCAUACUCUUUCCUUAGUGAUCAAUGUUUGAUAAACUUGCCAGUAUCGGUAACAAAUUUAUCUCGUUGGCUGGAUAUUGGAAUUGAAUUAAUCAUGUCCAUGCUCCUUACUACAUUUCCACUUAGAACCUUCUAUUAAGUUCAAAUGUGACUGGCACAGGUACACUGUGCCUCUUUAACAGACCACUUCAUGUUUGUCCCUAUAGAUUGAAGAAGUGCAAAAAUAUGCUCCAAAGAAGAAUAUUUUUUGGUUGAAGAAGUAAAAAAAAAUGAAGUAUUAGUUUUCCCCUAAAUUUUAAAUCAAUUGAGAGGACAAAGUGCGGAAUGAUCUAAUAGUCACCAGACAAAUGCAAAAUGAAUAAUCAUUCUCUCAUGGUAGGUGCAUAGCAGUCUUGAGUUACUGACUGAGAACCACUAUUUACAAGUUCAUGACCAUAGAUACUAUCAUGGCAUCUAGUGUAGCAAGAUACUGUGGAGCAUUCAUAGUUACAUGCAUGCUGUAGCCUCCUUAGGCAAUUAAGGUUUGCUUCCUGCCUGUGUUUUAGCGUAAUGCAUGCGUUGUAAUUUUACUUUUACCCAACAAAGGUAUCUAAACAUCAUGUUAGUUAUGGCCAUACAUUCAAGGAACACUGGACUGAAAUCAAGUUGAUCUUUUUUUUGGCAAUGGGAGGUAGAGGUGUGGCUUGUGUUUUAGCUGCAAGAAAGGGGGCCCUAAUCUACAUACUGGACGAGUAUGAAGAAGAAAUCUCUGAUUCAAAAUGACUGUCUGUUCACAAGUUUGUGGUGGUUAUGCUUAUGUUGCUGUUGUAAUUGGACCUCUCAUACUUGGAGCUGCAGACAUUGUUGUGAGAAGCAAUGCAUGUGGGAUUUCUGAUUGAUGCUCUUCGACUUCACCCUUUCUGGAGAAGUCUUAAUCCAUACCUGCCAUGUGCCGUUUCUGCUAGGCAGGUAUUUGUCGAUAAAAAAAAGUGGAGUAAAAUGUAGCGAUUUAUCUAUCGAGUGGGAUAGAAUUGACCGAAAGAUGCUGAAUCAUGGCUUCUAUCUGUUGGUAACUGUCGUAAUGGUAUUGCUGUAAGCUUUGAGACCUGCUCGAUAGUGCCAAGCUUUUGCUUCAUCUGUAUAUGUUCACUAUUUUCAUGUGUAAGAGAACCAAUUGUUUGGUUUGGAUUAUCUACACUUUGGGCUGAAUGGUUUGUGUAGUGUACUCGACUAGCGAACUCUGCAUUUGAAUGUUGAGAUCUCUUACCCAAAAUUAACUUGCUCCUCUCCACGUGUCAUUGUUAAGUGACGCAUUCGAUCCGGUGUAGAUAAUGCAUUCUUGUGGGGAACAUGACUAGCCAGAUAUGUGGUUUUAGUUUGGCAAUAAAGAACGUAGCCCGUAUUCCAAUCUCAGAUAUUUGGAUCCCUCAAAUAGAUGGUAGGUUUAAGAUCAUGAGAUUCUGUCUACAGCAUCGUGAAUGGACUUUGUAUCCUUAAUAAAGGGCAUCAUGGAGUCUUUUAAUUAAAUGAUGUACAUCCAGGAAUCAAUAAUUUUUAAUUGUAGUAUUCUUUCUCUCGGAAUUAUUGCCAAUCUUUAGGAGAAAGUAUGCAUGAAUGUAACAUGUGCAUUUGUGAUACUUCUUUUCUUAUGUUUAUUAUGUCAUGAUGAUAGAUCUUUGGGAACUUCAGCUAAAUUGACUCUGAAAUUAAAUCCUCCUUUAUUUAUAGCCCUUCCAAAUCUUCACGUCUUCAAUGUAUUCUUCCUAAUGCAUGUGCAGAAAUAGUGACAUUUAACAUUAAUUAUAAGAUGGGACAAUAACAUUAUCAACAAAAUAAAUGAUUGUUAAUAGGUUCGCUGCCAGUGCAAAUCCCAUGUAAACUUUAAAUUCCAUGACCUGUUUUACACAAGCUUGUUUUGGAGAAAUUGUCCUUAAAAGUUUCGAGGACCAAGAAAAUAAGAAGAGAAGGCUAGGAAAAGAAGUAUGGCUAAGGUAGACGUUCUACUAUUAAUAGGAAAUGUCUAAGAAGAUAACUUGUGUCUAUCAUGCCAAACACUUUUGGCUAAACCUUCUAUUUAUAGCCACUGUAGGGCCUCAUAAAAUUUACUUCUGCCACUAUUCUUAGUAACAAUAGAACUAAUGAUCAUUUGUAACCCAACAUCAUUAUUAAACUAACCGUUUGAAUGAUUGGGGAAUAUCAAAGUAACUUAGCAUCAUGUCUUAACAGUGGGUGUUCCGAAAAAUAGCUUUAUUGCCUGUGGAUAGCAGCACAUUGGCAAGACUUAAUACAUGGGACUCUGAACAGAAAAUUAGCCACUUAAGAAGGCAACAAAGCUGAUCUAUACACAAACAAAUAACUUUAUUAAUGAUGAUGGGGCACCUAAAUGCCCUCAUAUUAGUUUAACCAACUAAUCUUCUUUUCUAAUUGGAUCUUCUAGUCAUCUAUUGAUAAAAAUACAUACAGAAGCAUGUCGCCGUGUGCUUAUUACAUCUUUUCUUAUCUAGUUAGUGGUAAAAAUAUCCUGUCAAUAUCCACUUCGCAUCACCUAAGUGAAAGUGAGUUUUAGCUAUUCAAGAGGGAAACACUUGACAUCCUUUCAAGCCAAAUGAGUUUUGGAUGUUUGGCACACAAUAUUAGGAGAAAUUACCAAGAAAGUCUUAAGCCUAUUAUGCUUCCACCAAUUCAGUCCUAAACUUUCAAAUUUGGCUAAUUGAAUUAUGAACUUUUUGAGGAUUUGCCAAUGUAAUUCAUCAAGUCAAAUUUUGAGCGGAAAUUACUUACGUGUAUAAUGUUUACAAUUUUUUCUUAUUUUUCUGACUUUUUUCUUCUUCUUUUUUCCCCUUUUCCUUUUGCUAGUGGAUGGUGAGGGCGAGUGACUUUGGCAAAUUCCAUGGUCUCUGUCCAUUCUAAUCCCCUUUGGAAUUGACUGCCAUCUAUACUCUUAUCUUAUAAUGUGUUUCAUCUCGAACUCAGAAUAGUUGCACAAGCAUAGUUUGCCUAUGAGAGAGAGGAAGGGGAAAAUUGUUCAAAAAGUCAUAAAUCUAUUGCACUUUUGCUAAUUCAGUCAUAAACAUUUUAAUCAUGCCAGCUGAGUCGUAAACAUUUAACAUUUUGUCAAUUGAGUCUAUCAAACUAAUUUUGGUUAGAAUUCACUAAUAUGGACGGCCGACACUGAAGUCACUUUUUAAAUAAUACUUUGAAUUUUUUUAUGGUUUUUUAUUUUAUUUUAUUUUCUUUUAUUUUUACUUUUUUUUGCUUUUUUUUUUUUUUUGGGGNNNNNNNNNNNNNNNNNNNNNNNNNNNNNNNNNNNNNNNNNNNNNNNNNNNNNNNNNNNNNNNNNNNNNNNNNNNNNNNNNNNNNNNNNNNNNNNNNNNNNNNNNNNNNNNNNNNNNNNNNNNNNNNNNNNNNNNNNNNNNNNNNNNNNNNNNNNNNNNNNNNNNNNNNNNNNNNNNNNNNNNNNNNNNNNNNNNNNNNNNNNNNNNNNNNNNNNNNNNNNNNNNNNNNNNNNNNNNNNNNNNNNNNNNNNNNNNNNNNNNNNNNNNNNNNNNNNNNNNNNNNNNNNNNNNNNNNNNNNNNNNNNNNNNNNNNNNNNNNNNNNNNNNNNNNNNNNNNNNNNNNNNNNNNNNNNNNNNNNNNNNNNNNNNNNNNNNNNNNNNNNNNNNNNNNNNNNNNNNNNNNNNNNNNNNNNNNNNNNNNNNNNNNNNNNNNNNNNNNNNNNNNNNNNNNNNNNNNNNNNNNNNNNNNNNNNNNNNNNNNNNNNNNNNNNNNNNNNNNNNNNNNNNNNNNNNNNNNNNNNNNNNNNNNNNNNNNNNNNNNNNNNNNNNNNNNNNNNNNNNNNNNNNNNNNNNNNNNNNNNNNNNNNNNNNNNNNNNNNNNNNNNNNNNNNNNNNNNNNNNNNNNNNNNNNNNNNNNNNNNNNNNNNNNNNNNNNNNNNNNNNNNNNNNNNNNNNNNNNNNNNNNNNNNNNNNNNNNNNNNNNNNNNNNNNNNNNNNNNNNNNNNNNNNNNNNNNNNNNNNNNNNNNNNNNNNNNNNNNNNNNNNNNNNNNNNNNNNNNNNNNNNUAGAUGAGCUCAUUGGUAAAGAUGAAAAUGUUUAGGAUUUAAUUGACAAAAUUGAAAAGUUUACGGCUAAAUUAGCAAAAAUGCAAUAGGUUUAGAACUUUUUGGAUAAUUUACCCGAGAGGGAGUAGUAAUGGAAGUCCCCAUUUUGAUUUGGUUAAACACAUAUACGCAACUCUCAUAUGUCGAACUCCCUUUGUUUGGGUUAUCAUGCUUGUAAAUUUGACGAUCUUGACCAGUAUCUCCGAUCCGUUCGGCAUCUUCCUAUCCAUCACCUCGGCCUACUUUGUAGAAUAUGAAGUACAUUGGGCGACUGCUAUUUGAUAUACUACCGCAGCACACGACAUGGGGAAUCAACUCUAAAAGCGUCUUCAACUCUUCAACUUUUCAUCUUGCGUCACAACAGCUACUAUUUUUACAAUUUGUCCCUUGAAAUCAAUUCUUUAAAAUCAUUAUAAGAGAUCUAGCCAUUUCCUUUAUGUACAAAAUGAACUGUGACACAUGUAUAUUGUAUUCUCCAUACCAUUAGAAAGAACGUGGAUAUCUUUCUCGAAAGUAAUUCCUUUAGAUGAGUUGCAGAUAUCUCUCUCGAGAAAAUGGGUUGGGGUUUGGAACUCCGACCUCUUGUUACUAACAGGCAUGCCACCCAUUUGCUCCGCAUGUCUUCUUGCUCCUUUUUGUGGGGGAUAAUUUAUUUAUUGGCUGUAUUGGCUUACUCUAUUAGAAAUUAAGACAAUGCUUUUGAGAACCGGAAUCUAGUCUUUUGUGCUCAAGCGGCUCUGCCGAGUGACCGGGGCUCCUUUUGUUCUGAACAUGCAUAUUCUAUCAGAUAACGUCACAUGCAAUCGGUUCAACUGGUUGAACUAGUAGAGUACAGUUCUCAAGUUUGACUGGUUGAACCACUAGUCUAGUUUUAUAAACUUUUGUUCUUUUGUUCUUCCUACUUAUUAUGUAUCUGCUCUCCUUGUCAACACGAGUACAAGAUUAUGAGAUUAUAUUUUGUAUUCUUGACAAGAGCAUCAUGUAGCCAAAAAACUUAAUGAUGUAUAGAUAUACAGGAAUCUAAAAUUGUUUAAUUUUAUCAUUCAUUCUCUAGGAUUUAUUGCCAAUCUAGAGAAGAAACUCUUAUAGACGUAGUAGCUUUGUGUUCGAUCAUAUGCACCAAGAUGGUAAUCGUAUAUAUGAUUGUAUGCAUGUAAAAUGUGCAUAUGUGAUAUUUCCAUUCUUAGCCGAAUCUACUGUGAGAUUAACCUACUUUAUUAAUUUAUUUCCAAAUCUUCAUGUCAUCAAUGUAUUCUUUCAUGAUGCAUAAUAAGUGCAGAAAUAAUGACAGCGACAAUUAAUAAUAUGACGAAACGAUAAAUAUUACCAACAAAAUAAAUUAUUGUGGUCCACUACCAGUGCAAACCACGUAUUAAAUCAAACAAUGCAUGAGCAAUCUUAGACGAGCUCGUUUUGAAGAGACUACAAUUAAAAUUUUCAAGGACCAAGAAAACAAGAAGAGAAGGUCGGGAUCACGAGUACUACUGGAAUAUGGAGAGACGCUAUACUAUUGAUAGGAAAGUAAUAGAAGGCGAUUUGUGUCUAUCACUCGUAACACCUUUGGCUAAACCCUUGUUGUGUAGUCUUAUAAAAUUUGCUUCUACUACUGUUUUAGUAAUUAUAGAACUAUGUUUGUAACUCAACAUCAUUAUUAAACUAACAAUCUGAACGAAUGGAGGAUAUUGAGGGAACUUAGUAUCAUAAUUUAACAGUGUAUGCGUUCCAAAAAGCAGCUGUAUUGCUUGUGGACGGCAGCAAACAGGCAAGACUCAAUACAUAGCACUCGAUCAACGUGGCUAUCAUGCUAAUGCAGAACAAGCACAUAAUCUGAGCCCGCUCUUUGAAUGAUAUACCUUGCGUUCCUUACAUGUGAAAAAUCAGAGAACCUUUUGAAGAAACAUGUUGAAAGAACUAGAGUAGAGAGGUACCAUCUAAUGAAAAAUUAGUAAACAAAGCUAUUCUAUCCACAUAUUAGAUGCUAAUUCGUGCAAGAAAUUAGCCGAAAUUCAAGGUCUCAAUAGGUUAGAGUAUUUGUAAUGGCUAUAUAUCAAAGACUGCACUUCAAUGGAAAGGCUAUACCUUCCAAAAUCCGGAAGUCUAAUGAUAUUAUUUGUUAAUUCGUGCAAUAAAUUAGCCAAAAUUCAAGGCCUCGAUAGGUUGGAGUUCUUGGAAAGACUAGAUAUCUCUAGGUGCAAUUCAAUUGAAAGGUUGCUCCUUCCAAAAUCCAAGAGUUUGAAGAUAUUGAAGGCUAAUGAAUGCAAAAAAUUGGUCGAAAUUCAAGGUCUCGAUAGGUUGGAGCUUUUGGAAUAUCUGAAUAUCAUUGGAUGCAAGUCACUCAAAACAAUUCCAAAAUUAUCUAGAACUCAGAUUUAUCAAUAAUAUGAGAUUGAAGAUACAAAAAUGAUACAAAUUGUAUUAGAGUAUACGGAUAACUCGGAUGAGUCAAUAGGAUGGAAAUGAUCCCCAUUUACUAUCAAAGGUACAUAGAACAGGUAAAUUACCUUUAUUCUUUUGAGAUCUACUGCCCAAUUUUCAUUUGUAUUUCCUGUUCGCAAUAUCUUUCAAGAUUUAUGAUCUCGCCAUUAUUAUUUCCUGGAUGACAGUUCCUCGUUGUUUUCUUACUUGAAUUCAAGGAAUUUGGUGGAGAUGUCAUGAAAGUUGAUGUGUGCUUUAGCAAAAUGAUUCAGCUUAUCAUGCUACAAAGGGGAAUAGAUGAAGAGGCUUUCUAAGUGCAUCAUUUGUCAUUAGUCUUUGGGUAAGAUCCUUCAUCCUAUGUAGGAAAUUAAAGAUUCUCGACGUUUGAUUGAUUUUAGAAUGCUGGAAUUACUGAAUUAAAAUAAAUGUGUACAAGUAUUUUGAUAGCAUGCCGAAGGCAUUGUAUAGGUCGAAGAAAAUCCUAAAUGAAGGACCCUAUAUGGCGAUCCUUCUAAUAUGAGGUUUUAGUUUGCUCUACGCUCACUAGGCAUUUCAUGACUGCAUGUUUCAAAGGUACACUUAAGGGUGAAUUUACAAUGCAAAAGGAGCAUGUUGAUAGGGCAUCCCUUACUAUGCAUAGUCUACCGACUUGGGAUAAGACUUGUUCAACCAUUGAAUUUUUUUUAUUUUUUUUGGUAAAGGUUUAGCCAUUGAGUUCAACACAAUUUAUCUCAUAAAUUUAUCUACAUUAGCUGAUUAAAGUACUUGUGUCAGUCUAGAAAUGCUAAAUCCAAUAACAAGCUCUUCUCCUAAUGGUGUGGUCGUGAGCAAACUAGUAAAUACGACAGAAGCAAAAGCAUCGUGAAUUAUUUGGUUCUAUUGAGAAAAUUGCAAUUCGAAUUUUUCGGACCAGGGAUCCAUUUUCAUUUCGUUUGAAUCCAAGAUAUACCUACUUCAAGGCUAAUUAUAGACUAUCCCAAAGAAUGCACCUUGAUGUUUGUACUAUUUGCUAAAGCCAUCUGUCAGAUACCUGAAUUUUUGGGCCAAGCAAGACAUUACUCGAAUGUCUUUUGACAUAAUUGGAUGUACUGUGAAAUAAUUCCUUAUAUAGUGCAUAAGCUCUUCUUAGUUCAUUUACUUGCUGAAAAAUAAAACACGGGAAGCAUUUGCAUAAGUUUCCUGGGGAAACUUUUAGUAUCCUAUAUGCCAUUUGAAAUCUGUCUUGCAUUAAUUCUAAUGCAUGAGUAGUACAUAAUGAUAAGGAAAAUAAUCAUCCUAUGUCCCCCAAAAGCAAGCAUCUUAAGCUGAAUGCACUAUGCUAAUUUGAUCAAAGCUUUUGUGGUUGAUGAUGUUAGCUGCCCCAUUAGUUAAAUCCAAAGAGUUCAAAAAGAAUAUCGAUUUUGACAAAUAGAGACCCGCAAAUGUCUUAGCAUUAUUAGUAGUUCAUUGAUGUUAGUUGGUGGAUUGAUUUCAUCUAACUCAUUGGCACGUUUUAGUUAUCAUGCCACUAGUUGAUGUAAGUGCUGAAAUGUCUGAGAGAGCUUUUGCAAGGCGCUUCUAAAAGGAAACAAAAUCAUCAAAGGAUGAGGAGCUCGUUGUUUCUUGAACUUCUCCAAACACUAUCAAUGCAUCCUUGGAAUGGUAAAGGGUGUGUGCAUGCUAUCAUCCUUAUGGGCCCACCAGUUUAAGUGUCCAUGAAAAUGAAGAAAUUGAAUUGGAAGGGAUGUCAUUUAUGCUAGAUAUACUAGCUAUGUCAAAUGCAAAAGCGCAUAGACUAAGAUCGUAGAGGUUGCUGUAUCCAAGUAUCUUAAGUUCUUACGUGACUUUAUCCAUUGGUAAUUCGAAUUUAUAAGAGCUUAGGAUUAGAUGGCUAGCCUUGGCAAUUCGUGCUAUCUAUUCUUAAUGGAAAAGUCUAGAAAAGAGGCAAUUUUUCUAGAAACAUAUCAAUGCUCCACGCCUCAUAUUGUCUUCUGGAUUUGGAGAACAUGUUGAGUGCACUAUAGUACUUGAGCCAACCCUUGAAUGGUUUAUGUUGAGAUUCUAAGUUGUAGAUACUAGUACACUUGUGAUCCUCACCUGAAGUAAGCUUAUAUGGAUACACUCCACCUUGGGGUUCCAAAGUGGACAAUAAGAUCUGUUUUUGGAUUGAGAUAAUGGAUUGGAGGCCACCAAAUAAGUAUAGAUUUCCAUCGCUUUUGAUGACCUACCAGCCAAAGAAAUCCCAUAUCAAACGACUGACUUCCCUCUCACAGUUAUCUUGUAUUGUUAUGACACUUCACCUCAAUUCAUUCACAUAUUUUGAUUACAUUUCCUGGUUACUGUGCAUUCUCUAUCUUUCCUCUUCUUCUAUUAAUUUUAUUGUGAAGAAAUUACUCUCUCUCUCUCUCUCUCUCUCUCUCUCUCUCUCUAAUUUGUUUGUGCUUUAUUUAUGCUUGUGGGUGAAAAGUUCAGUUAUGUCAUUAAGUUAUUGCUGUUUGGUCAAGAGUUUGAUGGCUGCGAAUUUGGUUGAUGCGGCUGUAUUUCUUUCUUUGAGACUUCUACAAAUUUAUUAAUCGCCAUCCAUUUCACGGACUACAUUUUGCUUGGAAGAGAGUUUGAUUUUACAUAAUACAUAAUGAAUGUUAUCUUACCAAUCUAGUUUUCUUUACUUAACAUGGAUACGUGGUGUGCUGCUUUUUAUAUGCUAGUGCUUGUAGCAGUUAUACAUGCUAUGCAUAAUAGUUUCUAACAUGGUAUAAAUAUUGGGCAGGAUGAAAAAUUGUUACGAGGCUUGAAGUCCCAUGCGGUAGCUGUGUUGUCUCAAUUGGGAGGAAGAUGCCCAAGUGAGUAGAGUACGCAUCUUUCAACUUAAAAGUUGAUAUGACUUCUUGAUCUUGAUUCUUAAUUCAUUCUUAAUGUCUUAUGUGUUUUUUUAAUGAUUUGUUCGCAAUUAAGUUUCAAACUAAGAAUCGGAUUGCACUGUCCAACAACUUUAAUAGUUUCUACCUCAAUAUAUCUUGUUAGGUCAAUAAGUGAAAUAGCUAGUACGAGUACCUAGAGGGGGGUGAAUAGGUAUACUAAAAUUUCUCGAAGCUUGCACGAUAUCAAUUAGAGUAUUUGCAACAAUUAAAAAUUCAAUUGCAAGACUGAGUAAGGGAAAGAGAGAAUUGAACACUCGGUUUAUAGUGGUUCGCCUUGAUUCAAGCCUACGUCCACUCUUCUGCACUGACAGCCGAUUGGCUGGAUUCCACUAUGAUCAAAGAGUUGUUACAGUGUUGAUCUUCCUUGAUUUCUAGGUGUAGAUGAUCUACCACACUCACUCAAGGCGUCACCAAGUAUAAACACUCUCUGUAUACAAUUUCGCUCAGUCUCAACUAACAAUCAAGGAUCUUCAGACUCUGGAAUUUUUCUAUCGAUCACACACUUAAAACAACUUGAACGUCUUCCUUUUAUACUCCUUCAUGCCAUCAUAGCCGUUGGCACUUACCAAAGGAAUUCCUCCAAUCUACCCGUUGGACGGAAUCAAUCAAGAAGAUCAUCCGAGCUAUUUAAGGAAUCUGAUGAUAGCCCAUCAAUCCUGUUCGCCCAUACAAUCAGGAUCUCGGUUCCAAGAAUAGAAUAAUCCAAAAUUAUUNNNNNNNNNNNNNNNNNNNNNNNNNNNNNNNNNNNNNNNNNNNNNNNNNNNNNNNNNNNNNNNNNNNNNNNNNNNNNNNNNNNNNNNNNNNNNNNNNNNNNNNNNNNNNNNNNNNNNNNNNNNNNNNNNNNNNNNNNNNNNNNNNNNNNNNNNNNNNNNNNNNNNNNNNNNNNNNNNNNNNNNNNNNNNNNNNNNNNNNNNNNNNNNNNNNNNNNNNNNNNNNNNNNNNNNNNNNNNNNNNNNNNNNNNNNNNNNNNNNNNNNNNNNNNNNNNNNNNNNNNNNNNNNNNNNNNNNNNNNNNNNNNNNNNNNNNNNNNNNNNNNNNNNNNNNNNNNNNNNNNNNNNNNNNNNNNNNNNNNNNNNNNNNNNNNNNNNNNNNNNNNNNNNNNNNNNNNNNNNNNNNNNNNNNNNNNNNNNNNNNNNNNNNNNNNNNNNNNNNNNNNNNNNNNNNNNNNNNNNNNNNNNNNNNNNNNNNNNNNNNNNNNNNNNNNNNNNNNNNNNNNNNNNNNNNNNNNNNNNNNNNNNNNNNNNNNNNNNNNNNNNNNNNNNNNNNNNNNNNNNNNNNNNNNNNNNNNNNNNNNNNNNNNNNNNNNNNNNNNNNNNNNNNNUCAUCCGAGCUAUUUAAGGAAUCUGAUGAUAGCCCAUCAUCCUGUUCCGCCCAUACAAUCAGGAUCUCGGUUUCCAAGAAUAGAAUAAUCCAAAAUUAUUUCGUCGACUAUCGGAUCUUCAAUCGAUCUUAGAUAAGAAUUAAAGAAUCCGAAAUGAUUAUCCAACCAAAGAAUCUAUUCCAGAGGAUAGGACCGAAUCCUCAACCAUAAACCUCGGCUUUGGAUUUCCUUCAACACUGGAUUAGAAAGACUGUCAGUGAGAAUAAAGUCUUGAGUCCUGAGUCUUAAGACUUGAGACUUGAGACUUAAGUCUUGAGUCUUGAGUCUUGAGUCUUGAGUCUUGAGACUUAAGUCUUGAGUCUUGAGUCUUGAGUCUUGGGUCUCGAGAGAACAAAGUCUUCAGACUUUAAACUGACGGUCUCCGAACAUGCAGACUUUAGACUGAAAGAAAUGUUUUGUCAGCUUCAAAAUAUUCUGGAAAGAUUUCUCCAACAAUCUCCCCCUUUUUGAUGGUGACAAAACUUUCUUGAAGAUUUGAACAACUUUGACCUGCAAAACAUUUCUCAAGCAAUAUGGCUAACUCAUAAAGAUUAAUAAAACAACCAGACUCUGCAUCCACAGAAAAUUGGUUAGUCUUUCAUGAGAAACACCAUAUAACAACACUUGAAUAAAUGCAACCAGUCAAGUUCAUAAUCCACAGCCAAUUCAGUCAAAUUCACACCCAAGUUCAAAAUCUCAAGUCAUACUCAAAACUAAACAUAACCACAAAGGUCAAAGUUAAAAAAAUGAAUGAUGAAAUGAAAGUUCAAAUUUGUUCUCCCCCUUUUUGUCAGCAUUGAAAAGGGUGAGAAAAGAGUCAUGUCUGCUUGGGAAUGCGCACGAUCUGGAAAUCCCCAAUGGACUGGACUACUCCUUCGAGCUUCUUCAGGUCUUCUCGCAGAUGAGCUACCUCUUCUCUCUUGGCAUUUGCUUGAAGUUGCAUAGCGAGGUCUUUGAAUUUAUCUUCCAGAGAGACUGAAGAUGCUUGUCCAGCAUGCUUCAAAGCUUGGAUUUCACAGUCCAGAACAUAUAUCUGGUUACGCAUUUCCAGAAGAAUAUUCAUGAUACUACGAAAAUCUGCAUAAUCAUCCGUCUGUGUACUGGCAUUAACUUUCUCAGAUGGUGUGUAUGCAGACGAUGGCGCUUCUGUUUGGUCUGGCAGAUUUGGAAUCGACGUAUCACCUUCUUCAGGUAAUUGAGAGACCUGAACUUCUUCUGGGUCUUUUGGAGACUGUCUUAGAUCUUCAGCAGCAUGAGGUGUAGACCUCUCUUGCUCGCUAACUCCCCCUGUCUCUAGGACAUCGAAAUGAGAAGAGUGAAGAUCAUUCUCUUUAUUUCCCUUCUCUCCAGAUUUAUCAGCAGACUGUUCUUUUUCUUCUUCUCCUUCUUCCUCAACUUCUUUCUCCUUCUUUCUCUGAUCUUCUUCUUCUCUGCUCUGCUGAAGUUCUGUCGGAUAAGACACAGAACGUCUUUUUCUUGUCAGUGCUGGUAUAGUGGGAUCUUCAUCAUCUUCAUCCUCAUCUUCUUCCUCCAGGAUAAGAGUUCUUUUCCUCUUUUUCGAUGAAGCACCAAUGGCCUCCUUUCCUUUCCUUUUUGAAACAGACUGGACUGGAGAUUUCACUUUGAAUUUCUCCAUUGCCUUAGAAAGUUCUUGCAGACGCAUCUUCAUUAACAUUUUCAACCCAACCACCAUCUUAUCACACGAUCGAACACAAAAAGUAUGUGGCAGUUCAAUAUUCAGAUGUCUGAAGAUCUUGGUCACCAGACCAGGAUAAGGCAAUUGUCCUUUGUCUUUUGACACUGCUCUGUACAUAUGGAAAAGAAUAGUGUGCGGGAGAGAAAACUUCCGUCCUGAGUUGAUCGCAUACAUCAACUUUGCUUCAGAAAGAGACACAGAAGUCUUUGACGUAGACUUUGGUCUGAGGCAAUUGAUCACAAUCUUGUGAAGCACAAUGUUGAUGGCAUUCAUCCUGGAAUAGAUAAUUUUCUUAUCUACAUCCCUAUCUUUGACAAGAUCCAGAGUGGCUCGAGCAGGUGAGACUUUGAUUGGGAGAUAGCAUCCCCGUUCAACUCCAAUUAUGUCCGCCAACAUACUCACAUCUACCACAUGGACUUGGUCUCGAACACUGAAUGAAAUUCUAUUCGCAUCCAAAAAGCUAAGAUUUGAAUAGAAAUAAGCGGUCAGUUGAUCAUACCCGUCUGUGGAGUCAGAGCAGAAAGUCUCAAGUUGAAGCAAAUUCAACUUCUCUCUUAAGUUCAAGUUGAUGGAAUCCAGGAAGUCAAAAUCGACACUUCUAGGAUUGAUUAUCCCUCUUUUCAACAGCCUGGAAUACACUUUUUCCUGAUCCUUGGAUUUAAACAAAUCCAUCUGAUUUCCUUUCACCUUUGCUGCCACACCCAUUCUGGGUUUAAAUUCAAGGAACAUUUUGUCAUCAUCGUUCCUGUCAAUCAGAUUUUGUCCUGGCAUACGAGGAUCACUUGGAAUGUUCGCAAGAGCCUGCUCUGCUCUUCCUUUCGGAGCAAUUCCCAACUCUUCCAUUUUCCGCAGAAAAAGAUACUCAUUUCCAUAAUUUUUGUCCUUUAGAAAGUCAUCUAUAUAUUUUAAUGAAGAACCGAUGCUUUUCAACGCACGAUAAAGCUUAUAGAUAACAGAAGGUCUUUGGACUCUUACUGAGUCAGCUUCCUCAAUUAUCUCUUCUUCCAGAUUUUGACUUGCACUUUGUGGCAGGAGAUGCUGAAUGACGUGGAGGAGAGCGAAUCGGACUUUGUCGCUGACUUGGUAAGUCUUCUUCCUCUGUGAGAUCGAAGUGAGUCGGUCCCUUCUCCAUUCUUUGUGGUCCCCUGUUUGCGAUUCUUGAUGAUUUCCUCGAAGACGACAUCUUUCUUUGUCUAUUGGAGGAUUCCUUCACUUGCUUUUCCCAAGAAAAGAUGACCACUUUCUCGACAAUGAACAAAGAGUAGAAACAGUAUCGAGAGGAGAGUGCUUUUUAGGGUUUUGAAAAUUGGGGGUAGAAUAACCGUAUAUAUAUAUACCUCGGAUUUGAAAAGGGAAGUUUAAACGGUACAAGGAAAGUGUACGAACAAUAUUUUUUUUAAAUCAAUAACUGCCAAAAUUAACUUUCUUUAAAAAAGACAAGUUUUCAAAAUUUCGCACGAAUUAUAUCUGAAUAAUAGAACGUACCUUUUGGAUAAAAUAAACGAGAAUUCGUACCUUUUAGAUAAAAUAGCUACUUACAGUCUUUAGCCAUGAAUGCUUGAGUCUCAAGAUUUAGAGUCUAAGACAUCAGAGUCUUAGAGUUGGUGAGUCUCUAGACUUUAACUUCUUCAAGCUUCAAAAUGUUGAGUCUCGAGCGGAUAAAGUCGAACUGAUUCUUCUCCAAAGGCUUUGUGAAUAUGUCCGCUAGUUGACUUUUUGAAUCAACAAAUUGAAUCGAGAUUUCUCCAUUUUGAAUAUGAUCUCUAAUAAAGUGAUGACGAAUCUCAAUAUGCUUUGCUCUUGAAUGAAGGAUUGGAUUUUUGGUGAGAUUGAUAGCGCUGGUAUUGUCACAUCUGAUUUCUGUGCAUGAGUCUUCAAUGCCAAAGUCUUGUAGCUGUUGUUUUAUCCAUAGAAUUUGCGAACAGCAGCUUCCAAGAGCUACAUACUCUGCUUCUGUUGUUGAGAGAGCUACAGUGCUUUGCUUCCUUGAAAACCAAGACACUGUCCUAUUUCCAAGCAGUUGACAAGUUCCAAAAGUGCUCUUUCUAUCGACUCUGCAACCGGCCAGAUCUGCAUCUGAGUAUCCUAGAAGAUUAAAGUCUCCCCUCUUUGGAUACCAAAGACCGAUGCUUGAAGAUGAAGCAACGUAUUUGAUAAUACGUUUCACGGCAAUGAGAUGUGAUUCUCUAGGAUCUGAUUGAAACCUAGCACAGAUACAAACACUAAACAAAAUAUCAGGUCUAGAAGCAGUAAGAUAAAGAAGUGAACCGAUCAUGCUCCUGUACAGCUUUUGAUCUACUUUCUUCCCUUCUUCAUCCUUGUCUAUCUCUGAGAACAUGACAUUGGUAUGUCGGUCUUUUGCACUUUUCCAAUCCAAACCUUUUGACAAGAUCAUUCGCAUAUUUUUCUUGAUGGAUGAAAGUUCCUUCCUUCAUUUGUUUUACUGGGAGUCCAAGAAAGAAUGUUAACUCUCCCAUCAUACUCAUUUCAAAUUCAUCCUGCAUAGACUUAGAAAAUUUCUUGCAAAGACUUUCAUUAGAGGAUCCAAAAAUAAUGUCAUCGACAUAUAUUUGAACAAGUAAAAAAUUUUUGUUUUCCUUUUUGAUAAACAAGGUAGUAUCUACUUUACCUUUGACAAAACCAUUCUGUAAUAAAAACUUACUUAGUCUGUCGUACCAAGCUCGAGGUGCUUGCUUUACACCAUACAGAGCCUUUUUCAGUCUGAAGACUGAGUUUGGCUUCUUUGGGUCUUCAAAUCCAGGCGGUUGUUCCACAUAAACUUCCUCAUGGAUAAAUCCAUUUAGGAAAGCACUUUUGACGUCCAUUUGGAAUAACCUGAAAUUUUUGUAACAAGCAAACGCAAGUAAUAGACGAAUAGCUUCUAACCUUGCAACUGGUGCGUAAGUCUCGUCAUAGUCUAUUCCUUCUUCUUGCGUAUAUCCUUUGGCCACGAGUCUUGCUUUGUUUCGUACGACUUUUCCUUUUUCGUUCAUCUUGUUCCUGAAUACCCAUUUGAUUCCAAUGACGGAUUUACCUUUUGGUUUAGAUGUCAAUUCCCAGACAUCAUUGAUGUUGAACUGUCUGAGCUCUUCUUGCAUAGCUUCGAUCCAGCUUUCAUCAGAUAAAGCUUCUUCUAUUGCUUUUUGGUUCAAUUUCAGAAAUGAGAGCCACAGCACUAGAUUCUUCAUGCCUUUUUGAUCUGGUGCGGAUUCCUUCAUUAAGUUCACCAAUAAUAAGAUCUUUGGGAUGACUGGAUUUGUGCUUCCAGUUACCAGGUUGAUGAUCUCUUUCUUUAUUUGAUUCUCCAUGAGCGUCUUGAUGAUGGACUUCCAGAAUCUGAGAUGCUUCUUGAGAUGUAGACAUUUGAAGAUCUAGAGUGGAUUCAGUCUCUUCGUACUGAGUCUGGCUGGAUUCAUCUUGCACUGAGUCUUGGAAUUUGACAUUCAUAGAUUCUUCCACAGACUGGCUUUUUUUGUUGUAGACUCUGUAGGCUUUGCUUGAUGUAGAAUAUCCAAGGAAGAUGCCUUCAUCUGAUCUUUCUUCAAGCUUACCAACUCGAUCAUUUGCAUUUUUCAAAAUAAAGCAUUUGCAACCGAACACAUGAAAGUAUGAAACAAUAGGCUUCUUACCUUUGAACAAUUCAUAGGGAGUUUUAUCAAGAAUAGGUCUUAGAAAGACUCUAUUUAUAAUAUAGCAAGCAGUUGAAAUAGCUUCAGCCCAAAAUCGUGAAGAAAUUUUACUUUCAAUUAAAAGUGUUCUAGCCAUUUCUUGAAGAGAUCUAUUCUUUCUUUCCACAACUCCAUUUUGCUCUGGAGUAUAAGGAGAGGAAAACAUGUGAUUAACACCAGAUUUCUCACAGAAUCUCAUAAAAUCUUGAUUUUCAAAUUCACUUCCAUGAUCUGUUCUUAUACUCGAAAUAGCACAUCAUUUUUCAUUUUGAACCUUUUUAGCAAACUUUUCAAAGUACGAAAAGGUUUCUGAUUUAUUUGCAAGAAAAUAUACCCAGGUAAAACGAGAGUAAUCAUCUACAAUUACUAGACAAUAUUUCUUACCUCCAAUGCUCUGGGUUCUUGUUGGUCCGAAGAGAUCCAUAUGUAGCAAUUGCAGUACAUGAUUAGUAGAUACAUGAUUUAUUUGCUUAAAUGAAUUUCUUACUUGCUUUCCCAGAAUGCAUGGAGUGCAUAAGUCAGACUUUUGGUAUGGCAAUUUAGGUAGACCUCGAACAAGCUGCUUUGAAGAGAUUUUGGCUAAUUGCUUCUUGUUGAUAUGGCCAAGUUUUCUGUGCCAUAGAACUGCUUCAUCUUGAAUUGAGAUUAAGCAUUGUUCUUCAUUUGGCUUUACAUCAAGGAGGUAGAUGUUUCCAUGCCUUCGACCCAUAAAAGACUGAGUCGAAUCUUUGCUAAUUCCAGAACAUAUGCCUUCUUGAAAGAAGAUCUUGUAACCAGUAUCACACAAUUGGCUAAUGCUGAGUAGAUUGUAGUUGAGUCCUUCCACUAGAGAAACAUUGCUUAUUGUGAGAUUUCCAAUUUUCACAGUUCCGAAUCCCACAAUACUUCCUUUGCUAUUUCCAUCGAAUGAAACUUUUCCACCAUUUACUUUAAUAAGCUUUAUGAAACUAUUUGAGUCUCCUGUCAUGUGUCUUGAGCAUCCGCUGUCAAGAUACCACUUUACCUUCUUUUUGACAGAGACCUGCAUUCAAAAGAGAGUCUCAAGCUUUCUUUGGUACCCAAAUUUUCUUGGGUCCUUUGGUGUUAGUAGGAUGAGCAUUAUUAGGCCAUACUCUCUUAACAGGCUUCUAGACCAUAGGACAUUCUUUUUCAAAAUGAUCCUGACUGUUACACUUAGAACACCUUAAAGCAUUUCGACCUACAGGUUUUACAAAAACUCUUUUGAAAUGAUUUUUAUAAGCCUCUCUUGAUGGUCUUUUCUUAAUUCUUUCUUUUACUUUCGGAAAAUCAAUCAAAGGGAUUGUUUCAGCUGUCAUACCUAGACCUGACUUAUUGAAGUAAGGUCUUUGGAUUGAAAGAACUUUUUCAAGUUUUUCGGACCCUAUUGAAAAUUUCUUUGAAAUAUUUGAUAAAUCAGUUUUCAAGAAAGCAUUUUCUUUUGAAAGAUUGUCUUCACUCUCUUUAAGAGUAGAAACGUUCAAGUCUAAAUUUUUUACCUUUUCUUCUAAAAUGUUUUCCUUUUGUUUUAAAACUGAGUUUUCCUUUUUAAGUUCGGAAAUCUUUUUAAGAGAAGUCUUAAGACUAAAACAUAACUCAUCAAUAUAUUUAGAGACUUUGACAGGGAUUUUAUAAUCACUUACUUCAAAUUCACUGUCUGAGUCUGAUCCAGAGUCUGAGUCUGAUUGCGCCAUUAGACAUAGGUUGGCAUAUUCCUCAUCACUCUCUUCACACUCUGUAUCGCUCCAGGUUUCGGCUUUAAGAGCUUUUCGAGAUUUCUCAGCUUUUCCUCUUUUCUUUUUCAGAAGAGGACAGUUGGGUCUGAUGUGUCCCUUCUUUUUACAUUCGAAGCAAACUACAUCUUUGUUUGGUUCCUCAUCAUCAACAGACUUGGUCUGCUGUCUCUGAAAACUUUGUUUCUUUGGGAUGAACCUUCUGCCUUUUCUAUUCAGUUUUCUGAAUCUUCUUAUCAUGAGAGCGAGCUCCUCAUCAUCCAUAUCAUCUUCAGAAUCUUCAUGGGAUCAGAAAUUUUUUGUCCUUGGUUCUCAAGACCAUUGACAAUAUCUGUAAAACGACUAAACAUGUCAGUUAUAGAUUCUCCUGGUUUCAUUUUGAAGGAUUCAUAUUGACCAAGAAGAAUGUUAAUUCUGGUCUCCUUCACUCGAUCUGUCCCUUCAUAAGUGAUAUGUAACCUGUCCCAAACUUCUUUUGCUGUAACACAAGAAGAUAUUCUGUUAUAUUCAGUUGGUGACAAGGCACAAUAUAAAGAAUAAAUUGCUUUAGCAUCGAGUGCUUGUCUCUUGUUUAUUUCUUCUUGAGACAUUCCGCUGACUUCAACAGUUUCUUUUCCUCUUUCAGAGAUUGAUGCAGCAGUAGGAGUGAUUCCUCUUUCCACAAUGUCCCAUUCCAGAGGAUCCUUUGAUCGUAGGAAAGCUUUCAUCUUGUUCUUCCAGAUGUUGUAAUCCUUUCCAUUGAAGUAGGGAGGUCUGGUAUUGCUUUGCCCCUCCAUCAGCCCUGGUGCUAGCAUACUAGCCAUGGAUCUUUUACUCUGAAGUAAAACACUUCAAACAAAGUAAGAACACGAGCUCUGAUACCAAUUGAAAUAGCUAGUACGAGUACCUAGAGGGGGGUGAAUAGGUAUACUAAAAUUUCUCGAAGCUUGCACGAUAUCAAUUAGAGUAUUCGCAACAAUUAAAAAUUCAAUCGCAAGACUGAGUAAGGGAAAGAGAGAAUUGAACACUCGGUUUAUAGUGGUUCGGCUUGAUUCAAGCCUACGUCCACUCUUCUGCACUGACAGCCGAUUGGCUGGAUUCCACUAUGAUCAAAGAGUUGUUACAGUGUUGAUCUUCCUUGAUUUCUAGGUGUAGAUGAUCUACCACACUCACUCAAGGCGUCACCAAGUAUAAACACUCUCUGUAUACAAUUUCGCUUAGUCUCAACUAACAAUCAAGGAUCUUCAGACUCUGGAAUUUUUCUAUCGAUCACACACUUAAAACAACUUGAACGUCUUCCUUUUAUACUCAUUCAUGCCAUCAUAGCCGUUGGCACUUACCAAAGGAAUUCCUCCAAUCUACCCGUUGGACGGAAUCAAUCAAGAAGAUCAUCCGAGCUAUUUAAGGAAUCUGAUGAUAGCCCAUCAAUCCUGUUCGCCCAUACAAUCAGGAUCUCGGUUUCCAAGAAUAGAAUAAUCCAAAAUUAUUUCAUCGACUAUCGGAUCUUCAAUCGAUCUUAGAUAAGAAUUAAAGAAUCCGAAAUGAUUAUCCAACCAAAGAAUCUAUUCCAGAGGAUAGGACCAAAUCCUCAACCAUAAAUCUCGGCUUUGGAUUUCCUUCAACACUGGAUUAGAAAGACUGUCAGUGAGAAUAAAGUCUUGAGUCCUGAGUCUUAAGACUUGAGACUUGAGACUUAAGUCUUGAGUCUUGAGUCUUGAGUCUUGAGACUUAAGUCUUGAGUCUUGAGUCUUGAGACUUAAGUCUUGAGUCUUGAGUCUUGGGUCUCGAGAGAACAAAGUCUUCAGACUUUAAACUGACGGUCUCCGAACAUGCAGACUUUAGACUGAAAGAAACGUUUUGUCAGCUUCAAAAUAUUCUGGAAAGAUUUCUCCAACAAUAAGAUGUCUUAUCCUCAUUAUUGUCUCAGAGAAACAAUGCAGAGAGUCAGAGAAUUACUGCAGUUUGGAGGAUUUGGGGGCACUGAAUAUUUGGGAAGGACACUUGCAAAGGAAUGUGAACAGAUGGAACGCCGGCUUUAGCAAAAGAAUUAGAAAGCCGAAAUGUAAUAGAAUAUUGUUCGUGUAUAGAAAUUCUUACUUGAAUGUCUUGUUUAUUGCUCUUUCAUUGUAAAUUCUUCACAUUAAUGCUAUAUCUACUUUUUCCAUUCAUAAAUGUUCUUAAACAUGCUACCUCAGUGGGAAAAAUAUGAACUAGGGGAUAAAUCAUUGUUGUCAUUUGUUGUUUGAAGUGAUUGCUCCCCCCUAACCUCCCCCUUCUUCAAGUUUGGUUGUCAUUGCUGAUAUGUGUACCAAAUGUGAAAUUUGGAUCUCUUUGUAUGCAUAAUAGGAUUUUGAGUAUGAUUAACAGGGCUCAAAAUUGGUUUCUGUGACCAUUGCAAUCCUUUAAUUGAAAGCUCGUGCUUUUGGUUUUACCCAACUCAUCAAUUAUUUGAGCUAAAAUAACCAUUUCUCAUUUGGCUGAUUCAGAACUUCUAUUAAUGGGUUUGUCUAUAAAUAUUUCUAUCCAUAAGCCCAUUACCAUGAAGUUUUACCGAUAUUUUUCAUUUCUUUGCCUGAGUGACUAGAACCUUGAGACUAUAAUGAGAGAAGAUGGAGAGAAAUAAAAGGAAAGCAUUCAAGGUUAGGGGUUUUCUUCUGGAGGUUGUCCUCAACAAUGGUUUUUCACCUACCCUCUAUCUAAUAAUCUAGUUUUCUGUAUUUGAUCUCAAGUUUGAUCACUUGAUAAUGUACAUGGAAGCUUUAGCUAGGUGAUCUUAUCAGACUUGGCUCUCUGUUUAGCUUACUAUCCUUGUGUAUAGAAAUACUGAUCUCAUGUUCCUGAUUAGGAAUUAAUUCAAUCAUCAUAUUUUCAAGGAAGCUGCCCAAAUGCAUUUCUCUUCCAUUUCGAAAAAGAUAUUUUGUUAGAAUUUAUUGCUACUAUUCCCUCCUACGUCUAUUUUGGCACCACCAGAUAUAUUCCCAAUUCAUUGUCCUUCCAUGGGAUAUAUACCUUUCAUAUGAAACUACAUAUGUUAUCAAGAGAUCCACAUGUGCAAAGUAAAAUUACUUUUUCAUGCUAAUCAUUUCUUUGUAUGGCUCUAUAGGAUGACUCUGAAAUUGCUUUCAUACGACUUCUUGAUCUUGAUUCUUUAACUGUCAAUGUUUUAUUCUUCAUAUCUUCCAAAUUAUUUCUAGUUUUUUGUUUGUAGUUAAGUUUCCAACUUGGAAUCUUAUUUUACAGUCCAGCAGCUUUAACACGAGUUUAUGGAAGAUUUUCGAGAUCUUUAAAGGACUGGGUGCUCUUUGUUUCUUGAACUUCUCCAAACUCUUGACAAUGAUCGCUUGGAAUGAGAAAGGACGUUUGCAUAUUGUCAUCCCACAUUGCCCUGAUUAUAUCUAACAAAAGCUUUGUGGAGCUAAAACUGUAUGCUAACUUGAGAGGUUUCUAAAAUACUGAAAGUCUAGCCAACUUGUUUGAUAUAAUGGCUAAUGAAUCGGACGGUUGUAUUUUAAGUGGGAAUCGUAGUUGACAUCGUAUGGAGGUCUAUCGGAGUUUAAAGAGAGCUGUUUGUGAUUCAAGUGUGGAUCUUCAUGCUAAAGUAGAAGCAAUUCGAUGCUUGCCUGCUAAAGUUUGUGGGGUUGAUAAAGAAAUUAGAGGUUCUUACAAUGGGAAGCUGUUGUUAGGUCGAAGGUCUCCGAAUCAAAGUCUUGUGAGACCGAGAUCUUAUUCCUAUUGAUUUUGCUAUUAGAGUGAUGGAGGAUUGUUGGCUGGCGCCGUCUCUUUGUGGGGUUUAGCGAACAUAACAUCAAAGAAAGAGAAAAAAAGUCAAAAAGACAAAAAAGAGGGGCCGUUUGUGGAGUGAAGGUAAGGAAGAGAGAGAGCUCCUCGAGAAGAGCGCAUUAGAAGACGAAAAAGGGGCAGCGAAUUGUCGGUCCAUAUUCGGAGGCCCAACGUAACUGGAAUUGGCUCAAUUUUAGAAUGUUGUUCGUGAGACUAGGCCUUUGAGUUGAUUAAUUUCGUUCGUUGAAAACCUUUUUCAAGUUGUCUCUCAUUUUCUACUAUCAUGGUUAAGGUUUCUUGCUCUAUUUGUAUUAAUCCACCCCAAUAAUGAUGAAAUAUCGUUGUAUUGUUGAUGUUACUAUUCUUAGUGAAAGCUUUUGAGCGGUUUGUGGUUUUUCCCCCAUUGAAUUUUCCACAUAAAAGUUUUAGUAUUAUUGUUGCCUUGUUUUUUUUAAACAUUUCAGCAUUAUAUUUAUUUAUUUUGAGAUCAUAGUGCUGGAAUACACAGCUAGUUGUUGCUAGUGUUGAGUCCAUUUUGGUUAGUUUAAUUUUGGGGAAGAAAUUGCUUGUGGAUUGGAUUAGUUCUUAGUGAAUUGUUACCUAAUAUACCCCAACAAGGUUGUUGGAAUAGGAGUAGAAAAUGUUUCUAGUGUGAAGAAGGUCUCCGGAGCCCAAUUGGUGCGCAUUUGAGACCGUGCUUCUAGUGGGAUAUUAAAGCUCAAUUGAUGUUGCUUUAGUUUUGUAAUAAAGAAUUAGCUCUAACAAAAGGAAAAAAAGGACAUAAAUAGUCCAGUAGUCAAGGGUGCAAUGUCAUCCGUAAACUUUUGAUUUACUUAAUGUUUAAUCGAAAGCCUAAGAUAUAUAAAAAUGUUCAAUAUCGUAUUUCCGUUAAUUUAAAUUUAACGAAAUUUGCUUAUAUGGUUCUCAAUUCAUUAUGAUUUUGAUCAAUUUGAUAACGGAUGCAUGAGAAAGGUGGCUACUAUGGUUACAAGUUAACCCAACACUUUGGUAACCUUGCUUGUUCCGAAAUCGCAUACUUUUCUUCAUGAUAAAUGAGCCUGGACAUCAAGUUCCAUCUGACAUAUGACACAAGCCGGCCCGACUCAGCCUGCCCAUCAAUCAAAAGAGUCUGCCUUCACUUUUGUAAUCAUGUCUGUCUCUCAUUUUUCUCUCUCGCCUGCUCCUCUUCAGCAAUUUUCUCUGCAUGAUUUUGGACUCUAGUGGACUUUCUUGCUCUCUUGAUCUUCCAUUCUUCGACUUGCUCUUUAGCUCUAUUCUUUCCUAACUAGCCUCGAGCCUUCCUCUGGGUUUGAGCUCUAUCCUUCGCAAGCUCUCUUUCACACACAUUUUCCAUCGACACUUCUAUACACUCCUUGCAAAUUGUCUAGCCCGCGCUACGUUUUCAAUUGCUCACGGAAGCUGCUCACGGAAGCUGUGGAGGUUUAUGAAGGACUGCAACACAUGCUUCCACUUCAGCUUUAGUUCAACAAACCAAUGGCUUCUCAAGUUCGGCUCCUAGUUGGCAUUCUUUCACGAGCUAAUGGGUAGUCGACUCGGUUUCCACUCGGUUUCAUGAAGUUUGCUCAAUUUGCUCAAUUUGAAAGGUUUGUCAUUGGUAGUAACAACCCUCUUCUUGAAAGAUAUCCUCUAGCUUCCGAAGAUGCUCAAGUAAAGUUAGCUUCGAGUUUCUUCAAGUUUCUCAAUUAAGUAUAGGUUCUCAAGAAUACAGCCACCCAUCAAAAUCUUCUUGUUCAGUUAUUGCUCACCUUGACCUGGUAGAUGGACAAGGACUCGAGCAAAGUCUAGUUGAUCCUUGACCGCCUAGCUUUGAUACCACUUAUUGAGGGAAAAAGUAUCGAAAAAGUCCUAAACAUAUUGCAUUGGUACUAAUUUAGUCCUAAACAUUUUGAUUGGACUAAUUUAGCCUUAAACCUUUUUUAUAUUGGCACAAACUCAGUUCAUCAGACCAAUUAACUAGAAAUUGCUGACAUGGACGCUGAUCAGCUGAUUAGCCCCGAGAUGGACAUUUUAAAAUAAUAUUUUAAUAUUUUUUUGAAUUUAUUGAUUUCUUUUUUCUUUUUUUCCUUUCCUUUUUCUUUUUGUCGGUGGCCAUUGCCAGUAACUGGCCAUAGCCAUAACCGGUAAGGGUCGGCCUUGUCAAACCAUGCCUGGGCGAGGGUGAGCAUUAGCUGUGCCUUGCUACGGCGAGGCCCCCUCACCAAAUUUGGCGAGGCUGACUGAAGCAUUUUGAGCAAGAAACUAUGGACAAUCAAAGACUCAUUUAUAACAUGUAAUGAAUUUUAGAAAAUGACGAUAAGUAUGCCUGACAUAUACAAAUAAAUAAACAUCUAUCCACAGCUCAAUUUUGUAGGAUGGACAAUUUUCAUCACAUUAUUGUCUAAGAUCAAUGUGACACAUGAGUAGCGGAACAUUGCCAUUUAUGGGAGACCUACAAGGGCAUACAAAUUGUUGUUUUAACGAGUCCUGCAAGGGCAUACACAAUUACUUUUGAAAACAUUCUUAGUAAAUACAUACACUCUCUUGCAUCUAAUUAAAUAAUUAAAAUAGAAUAUAAAAUAUAGUUGAUUAAUAAAAGCCCUCAACCUUCUACCCACAAGACUGCAUUGGUAACUAGCCCUAAUAUCCAUUGAAUCAUCCCCUUUAAAAGCAUUUCCUUCCACUUUCCAAUCCCAUAAAAGUGUCACACCAAUGCGUGAAGUCCAUGAGAGCAUGCAAUAUAAAAUAAAUAAGGCAUGAUAAACUAAACGCUGAAAUAGGCCAAAAGCAUGAACGUGGGUCCAGUAAUUUUUUGGUAAAUUUAGUCUAGAUUCUUUUUGUAUAACUUUAAGUUUAACAUGAUUACCAUCGUUCAAAAAGUGUCUCUUAAGGUUUAUUUGUGUUUUUCGUUUCCCAAUGCAUGGGGAAAAACUAAAGAAAAGACAAUUUACUGUAUUAUAAAGUUCGAAAUAUAUCGGAAGACUAAUUAGGAAGGAAAGUAAAAUUAGUCAUAGCAAAGCAAAAAAGGCCAACUAUCAUUAACCCAUUAGUUGAAGGAACAUGGAGGCUCUUGAGAGGCGACAAUAAUAAUAGUGUACCUUCUUAAUAGAAGCAUUCAUAAGCUGGCAAUUGGCAUCAGAGCCAUGCUUUUUAUACUAUAAAAUUGUAAGGUGCUAGAAUUUAUUAGAAGUAUUUUAUAUAAAAAAUAUAUUAAUCAUUAAAAAAGGGGAAAAUGGAAGAAAAAAAAGUGGAAGGGGCCGGGCCAGGGUUGGGCCUGCCUGGCCCCUCCUUUUCCUGUUUGCUUCCCCUUACGGGACGGCCCGUUCUUCUUUUUUCCCUAGCCCGGCCUUCUUCUUUUUCUCUUUUCCUCCAUUCCUUCUUUUCAGUGCUGAACCGGUUGAAGAGAGGACGGAGGUCCGCAACGCGAGGACACGGGGAGCGUCUCACUGGAGUUGGCCGUCGGAGGCAGACCAGCACCGACGGCUUGCGUGGCAGGAAGCCAUGCGCGCCGGCUAGAGAGCUUAAAAGGGAGGAUUGGCUAGAGAGCUUAAAAGGGAGGAUUUUUGGAGAGAAAUAGAGUGAGAAAGGGAGAGAGAGAGAAAGGGUGGAGAGACCGUGAGAGCAACCGAGAGAGAGCAAGAGUUUGAGAGCGAGGAGCCCUCCGGCAGUCCGGUCACGCCCGAGCCCCGUCUGACGACUCCUGGCCGCGCUCUCGAGCCGGGUAGGGACUCUCGGCCGACACCCCUGUUUGUGCCCCUGCCUCGCCCCGUUUCGGGCUCGCCGAACCAGGCUUCCUCGUCGUCCGGUUCGCGCGAGCACCGGCCCCAUUCGUCUGCGCGCUGCUGUUUUGGAUCACUACUGCUUGUUGAUUAUUAUUGCAAGUCCCGGCGCGAGUUGGUACUCGGUUUUUCCCCCCUUUAAGCCAGUGCGCUUCAAACGUUCGAUGAAAUGCCUGAACCAAACCCCGUUCGGUUUAACCUCUGCUCGAGUUAUUGAAAGUGGUCUGGACCGUUCGAGGCCGUAGCAGCCCGUUGGGUCAUCUCUUACGUUAUUUUUUGUAUGAUGAACGAGCUCGGAGCAGAAGUUAAGCCCGACUUAUGGCCCGAUCCGGCCCGGCUCGGCCCGUAUCCUCUCUCUUUUCUUCCUCAUCGUUUCUCUCCCGACCAUUCUUCCUCUCCCAAUCUUCUCUGCAAAAUUCUCAGGCUCCAGUGCACUUCGUUACUCUCUCGCUCUUCUCUUCCAACAGGCUUUCUUCUAGGGUUUUCGGGCUCCACCCUCUGCCAUUGGCUCUCCCUCUCAGUUCGCAUUUGCCACCAGAUGCUUUGGCUGCUCCCGGAUCUUUUUCAGCUAUGGAGACCGACGAAGGUUCGCGGCACGUGCUUCCCUUUCAGCUACAGUUCGACAAGCCUCUGGCUUCUCAGGUUCGGCUCCGGUCCGCCUUCUUUUGCGACCUAAUAAUGGGCGGGUCGAUUCGAUUGUUUUCCCAUUCGGUUUUGUGAGGUUUUUGCUCGAUUUCUUCCGAUUGGCAGGUGAAGAUGGCAGGAGUGGAAUCCAGAGAAGGAUUUACUGGCGAUGGUCACGGAGGACUCGAAGGUGGUGCUUCAUUGCUUCACUUGGCAGAGGGUCAUUGGCCUUAUUCCCCCCCCCCCCUUGCUUUUCCUUAAAUGUGCUACGAUCCUUUUCCUCAAAUAAACCACUUCAAUUGCCUACCCCGUUCAAAUUGCGUUUGAUGGAGAGUUGGUGAAUAUAGGGGUAAGGUGCUUGAAAGUCUAAAUGAGAACGUGACAUUGAACUAAGGAGUUGGUGUUUUACACAAAAGUGAAGAGUGAAUGAUGGUAAUGGGAGUGAAAUUUUGGAUAUGACAUAGUUACAAGUAAAGAAUCCUGAGUUGAUAUUACUUGAAUGAAGGGAUUUUUAUUUACAGGCACGAUAGAUUCCUAUAAACUUCUAGACAAGACCGGUGCCUUAGUAGAUUUCCAAAACAUAACUGACAAUCAUCUAGACCAACCGGAAGUGUACCGUACUCCUGUAUUGCCAUCUUGCUGCCCUUUUUUCGUACACCAGUCAAAGUGUUCUCGAAGAUAAAGAACUUGAAUUUGAGGGGAUGUCAUUUAUGUUAGAUAGACUAGCUAUGUCAGAUACAGAAAUGCUAGAUGCUCACAUGGAGUCGGCAGGUUUAACCCCUGCAAUACCAUCUCAAUGUCGUCAUGCAUCUAUAUAGUUUUCCUUCGAUUUCUGUUUGUGAUUCUCACAGUGUAAUAUUACUUCCAGCUACUCUUCUUGUACUGGUUGAGUGUUCCUUGCAAGGAGAGAUUUGAUAUAGGCUGGAAAGUUUCUCACAUUUUGUGCAUGUAUCCCUCAUAAUUGCAAGAGUCAAUCUUUGUAUCAAUGAAUCAUAUUAAACUUUUUUUACCUGUUAAUAGCACUAUUUGAGCCUAGGAGAAGUUAAGACUUAUUUAUACUACCAAUUCCACUCCUUGGACUCGAUGUAGUAAGUGAAACUCUGCUUUCCUAUGGUAUUAUUACUAUCAGCAAGCUAACAGAAUAAAAACUCAGUUAUCAGAAGAAAAUGAGCAAAUAAAAUGACUAGCGGGUGCUCGGAAGAUAGUGAAUUGAGCCAACGUUGAUCUCAUCUGUGAUGCUUUGCCUAGGUUAUGAAAGCCUCUGUUCACAACAAUUUGUUCACAUGCUUAGAUGUGGGAAUUCAUUAGUUUAUAUUUUUUUUACCAACUAUUUUUCCAUUUAGAUCACCAUUUUUUUAAGCUAAGCACCAUUUUUUGGUAGAGUAAUGCUGAAGAUGUUAAGUCCAAGUAAAUGAAAAUGGUUUACUAAGUCACAUGCGAAAUAUUUUUGUGUUAGGUGUCUGUGAUAUACUUGCCUAAAUACUUGGAUUUUGCCACUUCAAACGAGUUCUAUAAGCUAGUCUUUGUAUCCAUAGUAUUGUUUCUGUUUUGAAAAUGUGUUGGUCUCUCUUUGGAUCCAAAGUUUCCUUUUCUCUUCAACUUUUUAGAUCUUGACUUUAGGCUGUAGAGGCACCCUUCUGUCACAAUAAAGACAUGCUAUGUGGAUGAUGGUUAUGCCGAUUAGCACAAAAUCAUAUGUGAGAUCUUAGUUGGAAACUACACAAUUAGAUACAAUGUUGGGAUACAGGGUAAUUAGAGUAACUUAAAAAUCCUCAGAAAAGUAAGUUUCUUUUAACACAUCAGAAGUUCAACUAUAGUGUACCAAGGGAGUGCAAACGCAUAUAAGAAAAGAGCCCAAAAAUUAAAGCCAUGUACAGAAGAACAACUCCCAAAACCAAAAGCGAGCUCAAAUACAAGAUAAAUUAUCGACUAUAUUGACCAAAGCAUUUAUAUCCAUUUGCAGUCUCCACCAUACCAAAAGUGUACGACUUUAGGCUCUCUUGUUUAGCUCUUUCCAAAUAAGCCUAAAAACAGAGAGACAAAUUGAGUUAAUCCUUCUUUUCUUGCUCCAAAAAACCUCCAAUAACCCAAAGAUAAUUCGGUGCAAGCAUAGGAAACUGUCCAAACCAUUCUUGUCCAUGAACAGUGAAGGAGGAGAUGCCGCAUAGAUUCUGCCUCCUCCUUGCAGAGGAAACGCCUGUUAACCAAUAUUUUGCCCCUUUUUUGUAGGUUAUCUGAAGGAAGGAUUCGUUCCCAAGUUGCUUCCCAAGCAAAAAGAGAAACUCUAAUCUGAACCCUCACUUUACGGAUCACUUCCCAUGGAAAAUCCGUUCUGCCACUAACAACCUCCCUAUUGUGAGCAGCUUGUAGUGAGACUUCAUUGGAAAGAUUGCAUCUAGGGCAGAACCAGCGAUGGCAAAGACUUGAGAUUUCGAUUGGCAUCUUCCACUGCUCUCGACGUUAAUGACCAUCUUCUCUAGCAGAAGUGCGUCUCCUGGUAGAAGCAGCAUUGGCAGGGCAAGCUUGCAUCGGUCAUAGUUGAAAGAACGAGCUACAAACCUGGCAGUCUAUACGCUCUUCAGGUGCCGAGCCAAGCACGAGUGAAGGUCUGUAGCAGGAAGAAUUCUUGUGCCUCGCAAUAUGAAGAAUGGCCAGAUCAAACAUGGCAUGUACAUUUAUUGGUAACAAGACUUAGUGAUCUGUCCAGAAAGUGGAUGAGGAUAAGCAUAGACACGAAUAACAUUCGGAUUCUAUAUGUUCAAGUUCGAUAUGCAAUCGUCACAAAUUGGGAAAAAAAAAAUGGCACACAGAAAGGGGGUGGGUUUUAGGCGGUGAUGGCAAACAAUGAGGUCAGAGUAUUUCUAUCCGGCUGAGUGUUUGGAGCUUGGGUGGUGAUGGCAAAUGGCUUGGUCGAGUUCGGGCUUGGCCCGUCAUCUCAACAUUUAGCAUUCGUGAAUGUUCGCUCUCGUGACAUGCUGAUUUGAAUAAUUAACUAGCAUUUUUUUUAAUUCAAAAGUAAAUCAGGAUUAAUUAUCACAUUGCUUUUUUUCAAAUUACAAUUUCAAGAACUAAUCCACGAUCACGUUUGCAUCAAUGUGAUGUCCCAUGAGUCCUCCAACGCUUCCGUACUAGCAGCGAAAUCUCCUCUCGUCGAGCCACUUCGUUUUGUUGUGGUGUGCAACGAGAUUAUUUGUACAAUUGAAUGUAUGGACCCGAAUCAAACGAUAUCAUUUCUUAGACAAACUUGAACAUUAUGCCAUAUAUGACAUUAUUCGUAAAUUGACUUGAAUUAAGGCUCCAUUUGUUUCACCAAAAAAAAAAUGAAUGAUUUGAAAAAUAUCAUUUUAAAAAUUAUUGCUCGUAUUGCUUGAAAGAAUCCAUUAAUAAAAUAUAUUUCAUUCUUGACAAUAAUUUAUAUUCAAAUAUUUGCAUACUCAAUAAGAAUUUCUCGCAUUCGCUCAUUUUUGUAACUGUACCAGUGAUUUUUUUUUUGAAAAAUAAUUUUCCAUAUUGUUCGCUUUUCCGUGAAGGAUUUUAGCUAGCAAUUCAAUACAGAUCACAAUUCUGGAGUCAACCUUGGCUUCAUCCUUUUAAUAAAAUAAUCGAGACCAAUAGGCAUUUAUCACACUUGCCAGUAGAUAAAAGCACAAUGAUUUGAUCCGUGAUGCACCUCGUAUGAUCUCAACACACAAGCAUACAUGCGCACUUAACUUAUAGAUUUUCCUCAUUUCUUUUUAAUCAGCAACAACACACGCUAGUGUGUAAAAAGCGCAUCUUGUCUACAGUAGUAAAACCCACUUGAUCAAAAUUCUUUGCUCGCAACCAAAAAAAAAAAGAAGCUUAUAAAAAUCAAUAGGAUUUCGUAAAAGAAAAUUUAUGACUUUUUUUCAAUUCGCUGCUUUUCUCUUUCAUUUUUUCGUCUUCGCUUCUUUUUUUUUUCGUGUUAUUGUGUUGUUCUGGCUGGAGUUUUUUUUUUUUUAGUUCUUUUUUUCAUUUUGAGAAUUCUUGCUAAUUUAUUUCUGGAUAAUUUUUAGAGCAAUUAUCAAAAGUUCAUGUUGGGCAUAAGCAAUGCAAAAAAUGAAUGAACAUAAGGUAUCCGAAUACGUAUUCAUAGCAUAUGGUUUAGUCUCAUUGAAUCUUCAUUUGCUUAGCAAAAAGGAGACAAGGUAAAAUGAAACUCCUUGAUUCCUACCGUUCUUGUAACGAAUUUCGAAGAACGAAUUAUUAUGUACCCUUUGAAGAUUAUCAACCACCAAUCCGANNNNNNNNNNNNNNNNNNNNNNNNNNNNNNNNNNNNNNNNNNNNNNNNNNNNNNNNNNNNNNNNNNNNNNNNNNNNNNNNNNNNNNNNNNNNNNNNNNNNUCGAUAAAAAAAAUAAACAGAAGAUACAAAAUAAAAACAGAAUAAAUUGGAGAAAUGAAACGAAAUGGAAAGAGGAAUACAACCGAACAAGGGUCACCCUAUUAAUUCAGAAGAUUCAUAUUCCACUGUGGAACAUGUCCUUAAAAGAAGCAAGAGAGGAAAAAGGGGAAAAAAAAAUGGCAAGUACACUUGGGGUUUGAUAAAUAUUUCAAUUUUCAGGGAAAAAAAAAAAAGGAAGACCCGCCCCUUCCCCCCGCCUCCGACUAUCAAACCGAGUGUACCAGCUCUGUUCCAGUAAAGCUGGUGGCUGCGGUUCUCGGGCUACUUGAUGUAAACCGACGAAGGAGGGUGUCGACGCGUGCUUUCGUUUCAGCUUCGAGUUCCGACGAACUGCUUUGGUUUCUCAGGUUCAGCUUCCGUUCGGGCAUUCUUUCUAUGACAUAAUGGGUAGGUCUAAUCGAUUGUUUUCCUAUUUGGUUUUGUGAGGUUUUGGCCCGAUUUCUUCUUAUCGGAAGGCAAGGAUGGCAUGUGGAAUCCAGAGAAGGGUUUGCUAGGGAUGGUUGCGGAGGACUCGAAGGUUUUUUAAGAUGUCUAUCCUAGGUUUUGGCUCGAUUUCUCUCACUCAAGCCAAUGUAAUUUAAGAUGUGAUGAAAGUAAUUGUCUGUUAUUUUUAAGUUCAUGAGAUGCCUACUUGACUGGAGAGAAGCAGGACCUCUUGAAUUGACUUGGUUGACCUGAAGAAGAGGAAGCCGAAGCUCUCUUCCGCAAUUUUAUUUUCUUCUGAACCAAGUGUCUAAAUAUGCGAGUGUUUGGUGGCAGAAAUAAUGCAGCAGAGAAAAGAAUGACACCUUUUUGCAGUGUUUGUUAUCACGAAAUGUUCGUAGAAAUGCAACUUCAUGUACAUUUCCAGGAGACAUUAAAGGGUUUAAAUUCCUUCUUCUUCCUUUUUCACAUUUUUUCAGCCUCUUGCCUAUCAAAUAAUUAAGCUAUUUUCACCUUCAAUGUUGGUUUGGUAAAUCUUUUCAACCCAAUCUCAUAUCAACACACUACGUACUCAAAUGAUAUCACUUACAGUCCAUGUGUUGAUGGAUUAUUCGAGUAGUGUGUAUAGUAAAGUUAUCGUCUAUGUGUUGAUAGAUUAUUGGAGCAGUUUAUAUAGUGAUUUUGACACGUCAGUAACUCUAAAGGUAAUAGUAAGUGUACUCAAAUGGCAAUCAUAAUUUCCCAGCAACUUGAACAAGUUGAUAAGUUGUGCAAUGAAUGUUAUUAAAUUAUUAAAAUAAUCGGCAAUUUCGAUACAAUCAAGCAAACAUUCAUACUGAUUAAAACAAAAGUUGGUAAUAUCCUCUAAGAGUUAGUAAGUGCAUCUUAGUAACUUUAACAAAUAAAAAUGUUGGCAAGUUAUUGAAACAGGAUAGUGGACUAUUUCAAACAAUCAAAUAAUAUUGAUAUAAUGACUCAAAUAAGAGUUGACAAUUUCUUACAAGGGUUAGUAAAUUUAAUAUGCCGAAAACCACUGUAAAUAAAUGAUAGUAAAAAAUUAUUCAAACCCAUGAAAAUUUUGAAAAAAGAAAUCAAGUAAAUAGUUGGUAAUUUAGAACUUAGUAAAGCUAAAAUAAGUUAGUGACUUACCCCCUGAAAAGUUGCUAAUUUACCCAAAUCAAGAGUAGUAUUAUUCUAUAAAAGUUAGUAACUUUAACAAAUAAAUGUGGCUAACUCAAUGACGUAAUCGAUAAUAUUGAAACAAUCCAAUAAAUGCCGGUAAUUGGAUUGAAAUAGGAGCCUGUAAUUUUCUAUUAAAGUUAGAGAUGGGUUCGUACGCCCUGCAAACCCCACUCAAUCGCACCUCCGCACGUUAUUAAAAAAAGAAAAAAGAGAAAAGACAGGAACGAAGGAAAAAGAAAAAGGUAGAUGCAAGAUAAAGUGGGGCCCAAUCCCCAUUGCAAUUAGCAAUUGUCCCCAUGUGGGGCCUCACCCCACCGGACACGUCAACAUCAUUUUAGCCUUUUCUCGCCUUUUCACCCCUCAUCUCAUCUUCGAGGCCUAGCUCCCUAUUCCCAGAACUCCCAUCUUCAUGCUAUCUAAAGCUUCACCGAGCCAGGAGGAAACAUUCAAAAUCUCACGCUCAAAAGUACUCCUAUACCACUGUUACUCAUUCCCGCUCUUCGCCGAACCACUGUCUCCUACCAUCGGCUAACCAUUGCGCUGGCCAUUACAUCCACAAAAAGUAAAGAACAAAAGUGGAGAUAGAAUCGGAUAAACCAACCGGAAUAUUCAAGCUCAAAAAUUAACCCUCGGACCGUCAAGUUUUGAGUGGCUCCUCAUCGAUGACCAUCGUUGAAGGCAGCAGGAAAGCCUAGUUUAUCAAUGGUGUAAGUAGGCUACAAUGGGCACUCGCAACCAGCGAUUGGAACCUUUACAACUAUCUACGAACAGAACAACGACCAGCAAGGGAGUCUUCGAACGAGAUUUGGGCUCUUCGGUUUUCACGAUGGGAAGGCAGGGAGCAAUAGUGGUGCAGGAAAGGGCGGCUCGGGAAUAGUGAGGGCAACUGGCUUGGCAACUAAUGGAGUCGAGAGGAGUGAUGGAGAGGCUCAUCGAAGUGAUGGCGUGGGUUUCAAUCGUCGGAAUGGGCAGCGGCGACUAUUGCUCCAACCCCUCAAGAGAAUGAAGUCCAAGAACAAUGGAUGCAGCUUGCGGUGACGAGGAUGAGGUCGGAUGUGAUGGGGCGACGGUGAAGGUGUAUACACAGCGCUCAUGGAGAGUCAAUCCUCCUUAUUUUUCUCUCUUUUCUCCCUUUUUUUGAACUUGUGGCGCCUCCCUCUUGAACAUAAAAAGAAGCCAAAAGAAGAAGAAAAAAAAGGACCCCUUCCAAGAUGAGAAAAGAACAAAUUUUAUUCUCCAACAGAAUUUUGUGUAAUUGCGCCAUGUGACGCGAUCUUGAAAGGUGUGAGCUCAAAUUCCAUGAUAACAAAUAUGGUGUUCUAACUGGUUAAUCAAUUCUUGAAAUUGAUAUUUCUUUGAUUUGAUUGUAGGUACUUAAAAUUUCAUUAUUUCUAAAUCAAAUGUCUAAAAAGAAUUAAAGACUAUUGAAAUAAUUUUUUUUUUCAGUCAAAGGUAGAUUCUUUGAUUUGACCAAAAAAAAAAGGAUUUUAAGCCAUUUCUAUGAAAACUUGAAAUCUAAACGCCCAUUCCUACACGCUUAUGUUGAAUUAACACUUAUAUGCAAUUAAAGUACUACUGAUACAAAUCUAAUUUUUUUCAAGUUAAGAAAUGAGUGUCGCCACGAUCGGGAUCUUGAAUCUUGAAUUUUCUAACUUUAAUCAUUAGGAUUAUUUGGAUGUCAACAGUAAUAUAUAUUUUUUGAAUAUAUAUAUAUAUAUAUAUAUAUAUAUAUAUAUAUAUAAAGUUCUAAUAGUUGUUGAUAUUUUUUGAAAAAUUUUGGUAACUUACCAAAAUGCUACCAACCGAAUAAGUUAUCAUUCAAAAUUUAGUUGUCAACUAGUUUUGAUAUUUACCAAUGCUAUUUGUACUUUACCUGCACUGAACAAUGUUCGGAUUUUUGCUUAGUAGAAUCUUCCUGGACCUCUUUUCAUGGUAUCUUCCAAAGCCAAGCAAUUGCAAUUCUCAGCUUUGAUUCGAUUUGUUUUCCACUUUCAAAAUGUUACGAAUACCUCUAAUUUUUUCAAUAGGAAGGACAAAUCAACCUAUUCCACCCAAAUUAAAAAAUUCGAUAUUCAUGAAGAUCGAAUUUCCAAGUUUUGCAUUGGAGAACGUAUUUGGUUAGCAUUUUUUGUUUCGCGUAACAAACAAAAUGUCGGAUAUUGACUAUAUAAGUUAUUUAGGCAUCUAAAGGGACCUACUAAGAGCUCGGCCAAUACCUAAUGACUAUCGUGUGGUUAGCAGGCGGCACGGCCAGUCUCCCAGUCCUCUCCACAUAGCUCCACCAAAGAUCCACAAUACCUCCUAACGCGUCUCUAACUUAUUUUAAUUUUUGGGCUCCGACAUAAAUUCGAUUUGGCUAGAACUCGAGCCAUAAGCUCAAUAACCUUAAUUAGUAGAAUCAUGGAGUCGCCAUCUAAAUGGAGACACACAAUGUGGAUGCCAGUAGCCUUGCAUUUGGGAGGAUGGUGAGGCGAGGAAAGUUUCUUUGGUUGCAAUCUUUUCGGCCAAUUUGAAAAUAAGAGAAUAACAUGUCCAUGAGAGUGGUGAGAUUUAUGAAUUGAUCGGGUUGUCAUUUCUUGCAUUCAAGCCAAUGUAAUUCGAGAUAUUGAAGCAUUCAUCGACAAUUUUUCAAGCUCAUGAAAUAUCAUACUUGAUCAUGAAUGUAAUUUAAGCUAAAGAAUUAUCUCAUAAAAGUUAGUUAUGAUUAAUUUUUAUUUUAUCUGUUUCUUUUAUUGAUAUUUGUAAAGUUUCGCUAGUUAUUUAUAUCUAUUACUACAUAAGUGGAGCCCUCGAGCGUGAUAUCACAAAUCAAGCAGAAUCAAGUAAACAUUUCAUUUCACGGGCUCAAGCUCGCUUAUGUUCGCCUACUCGAUCUUGUUCAUACUCGAUAUUAUAUGAAUGACGAUUUCUACAUAUGUCGGACAAGCUUGGAUUAAAAAAAUCAAGGUUCGGUACUCGGCAACUCAAGCGUGCGAGGCCCAUCACCAUGGGCUCGUAGAUGUAUUAAAAGGCGCGGGAAAGUGGUUACCUCUCCAUCGAGCGACACGUGUCUCCAUACGGGAAGCCAGAAACUUAAGUCCCGAGUGAAAUGAACCCUCAAAUCGGAGGAGUCUCUCCUUCCGGUUCCUCCGUUCGAUCGUCGAUCCCCACAUGGCGAAGACGAAGCGAUCGCCGACCUCCUCCUCCUCCUCCUCUCGUCGAUGCGAAACCCUAGGCGACGGUGCCGAUCGCACCAGCCACCUUGCCCCCGACUCGGUGAUCCACCACAUCUUCUCGUCUCUCGACCUCGCACGCAUUGUCCGCGCGUGCGUUUUUGUCGAAGCGGCGGCGAUCCGUCUGGACCGCCGCCCUGGGACCUCGUCUUCUCCUUCCCCUGGCGGAACGCCUCCCCGUCCGUGGACGGCGUCUUGAUCCUCUAGGCGUCGCCCGAGGUGAGGAAGUUCCACAUCGACGUCGAUUUUCUCGACCGUUGCGCGCCCGAGCUCAGUCCGUGGCUUCGCUUUGCUGUCGACCGCCGUGUCGAGGACCUCUCAGUCGAUGCGACUAAGAGGUUGUGCGAGAUGGCCGGCCAUUUCGCGGUACCGGGGCUCCUUUUAUGGAUGCUCUUCGUUUGGUGAACCUGCACUCAGGGCUCUGUUGCUUCUCGCUGAGUAGAAGUAUCGCUUGGAUUAAUGUUAGGUCCCUGUCCGUCUGUGACUCGGAGGUGAUGCAUGAGAUGUCGAAUGGCAGCCCUGUUCUCGAGGACCUUAGUUUGGAAGGAUGCUACGGUUUAAAGCGAACCAUCAAGCUUUGUUCGAGAACUUUGAGGGAAAUUGCGGUCGAUAGCUGCUUUCGGGAUGCACUUGAUGAGGGUUUCCCCUUGGAGAUUUCAAGUCCUCUGUUGCUGUUUGAGAGGAUUUUCUGGUAUGAUGAGGCAGCUGGUAACGGAAGUCUCAAUCCUUGAUUGAAGCAGAGUCGAACUUUUUUAUGAGAGGCGAGGAUUUUGGAAGG